CCGCACACACCUGCAGCUGAUCAAUUACCGACAGUUUCCUGACAACGAACACUAGCGUUAUUCACAUUUCAUAGAGUUGGACAUGAAAUAGAACUUUUACUAAAUGAGGGACAGAAAACUGGACUUCAACAAAAAAGUAAGUCAGUUUUUAUUUAUAUUAUAUUCGCUGUUUACCUGACUUUCUGCUGUCAAAUAGACCUUUUUCACAGUACGCGGAGGUUAGCAUUCUGCUCACUUCCGGUGUUAGCGUGUGGUGGAGCCACUUAGCAUCGCCCCUAGACGGCCAUUCAUUUUUCACGAUAUCAACAAGCUCGCGACUCGUUUUUUUGAAAAGUAAUGUAAAAUUUUAUGCUUUGUGCUGUUUUACUAACUCCUGUUCUUCAUGAUACUGUCUUAUACUUUACUUUUCGGGAAUUAUGUCUAAAACAGCACAAAGCAUAAAAUUUUACAUUACCUUUCCAAAAAAACGAGUCGCCACUCGCGAGCUCGUUGAUAUCAUAGACAUAAUAAAAGAUUUUAUUAUGUCUAUGGUUGAUAUCGUGAAAAAUGAAUGGCCGUCUUUUGGCCGUCACACGCUAACACCGGAAGUGAGCAUUCUGCUCACUUCCGCGUACUGUGAAAAAGGACUAUCACAGCCUCAGUUUAGUGUUUGUACCUGUGAAGUUGUUUGAGUUAGAGGUUUAAUAUCGCUCUUUGACUGUUUAAAUGCUGUUUAUUGUCUGCUUUAGUGUUUGAUGGCUGAAAAAGAGCCAGUUGAAGCAAAACUUUACAUUUCUUGGUUGUGUUGUCGCCUGUCAGUUGGUUCUUGGUCCUGAAGUUGUCUCUGUUGUGAGCUGUUGUAAUUUUUUCUUGCUUAUAUUUAGCUACAAACCAGUGUUUUGAAUAAGAGGUUAUAAAUUAUGUUUUUGAUUCAGGCUGUGAUAGUUUUUAUUGAACCAGUGUUUUAAGUAUGUUAAUGUUGCAUUCAGUGUCUUUUGCCUGAGAGUGAAUUUCUGCAUACGACUAAGACAUUGUGUCGCUGUUCACUCUAACCUUAUGUCUUCAAUAUUUUCAUGUUGGCCAAAAAGCGACCACGGAAAGAGCAGCCUAGUUGCCUUCAAUGUAAUGUUGCACAGCUUAUAAAACGUAUAUAUCCAAUAGAGCUGAGCGAUAAAAUGGAUUUCAAUUUCGAUCAUUAUUAUGGCUCCCUGCGAUCUUAAAAAUAUGAUAAUUUAGACUGAAUGACCGUAUGCUUCCUGAUGUGUUUGAGUCUAUAUUCUCUGAGUUUUCUGCAGCCUCACUGCGCCCCAGGAGAGACACCUGUACCUUAGCAUCCUUUUCAAAACCUCUACAAUAAAUGAUCCCCUCACAUGCAUUUUUGACAUCCCACAAUGCACCAGCGACAGUUUGAUGGUUAGAUGUCUGUUAUCAAUACAAUCAGGAGCAUCUUGCUGCCAAAUUGCCAACAGGUUUUGGCAGGUAACCGGUGAGGAGCUUUAUUCUCUGAACAACAGAGGAGAAAGGCGUCUUUGUGGAGUUGUCCGGACUAAAUUGACAAGGCCUUUUACAGCCUUUGAUACGGGGCCGGCUGCCUCACACAAUGGACGGCUUAUAAAUUUGCAGAUGUCGUCUGGAAAGCUCAAAUGUCAACGCUUUUCACCACAGCACCAGGGCCCUGCGAGAGGAAUAAUUGAUCGGUUCACCUUUUGUCUCUGGCCAAAUAUUCAUACAGUCAGGACGGGGAAUAAAAGGAGGCAAAGAAAAGACGAAAGAGCAUCUUCCACGGUCAGAGUGUGCAGACACUAUUCAUCUUUUAAAGUCUGGAAAUACAGACCAAAACAUGCUGUGUGCAGGCCGUCUCCUGCAAGUGCAAAUAAAACUAGUCAGGAUUUAAAGUCAGUCAGUCAAAAUCAACAGAAAACCCUGCAAACAUCCAGUUUCUGUGGAUUUAAUGUGUGGAAAAAAAGUCAGUCUGUAUUGGUUUUGUCAACAACAUACAUUUUAUUAUGACGUUUGUUACUGUCUCUGCUCUGCUGAGACAGGAGGCCCUAAUUGGUCGGACCAAUAAAGAUGGCAGCCUCCAUCUUACAUAGCCAGCUAACAAUAGAUAUGACAUUAUUUCACUAAAUCAUCACCGAUUUAUGUUAUUUUUGAGGGUUUGGAUCUAAACAGUCUAAAAAUAAACUGAUUUUCUCUUUGUGGGAUAGAAAAGCCUCUGGAUUUAACACCCAGGAGUUAUCAAAGUGUCAGUUUCCCUCUCUAAGGCUACGUUCACACUGCAGCUCAAUUCCGAUUGACGGAAAUAAAGAAUGUGAAAUUACGAAAUAUUCUGUGGUGAAUUUUGACGCGCCUAACUGUACACAUCAACCCGAUGCGAUUUUGCGUGUUUCCGGGGGGCAAAAGGAGGAGGCAGACUCUGUCCGUCUUAUAUACAGUCUAUGAUCAUAACCUGCAGUGUGAACGUAGCCUAACUCUGUGGUUGAUGUGUCAGGUCAUUGUUUUCUAACUGCAAGGCCAGAGUCGUUCUUGCUCUGUUUUUAUAACUCCGCCCUUCCACAAGCAUCAUUGCUGUCAGGUUUGCCGACGACUCCAUAAAUGACAACUCUUCUUCUCUCCAGAUUCAACUUUUUGUCCAACGACUGUCACCUUAAGUAAUGAAACACUAGAUUACCCUAAAUCAGUGAGAUGUGGUUUGAGCUUGUGGGCCAAAGUUUUGAGCUUUUAUCUGCUUAAAUCUGUCGUCCUGUCUCCCAAAGAGCCACUUUGUUGUGUAUAAACGUGUUUUCAUAUCAUAGAUCAGAAGUUGUUCAUGACAUCUUGGAAAAGUUGAGGUAUUUCAUGUAGUCUUGACCCUAAAUCUGAGACCUAAACUGUGUUGAACUAAUCAUUAUUCCCUCACGCAGUCUCUGACUAUAGACAGCUCUUUUGUAGAUGAAAUGACAGUGAGUCACUGAGUCUCUUUGUUUUUGGCGGAGCACCAACAGGUGUCUGUGUUUAGCUGCACAUUCAGCCUCCUCUGGGUCUGUACAGUACCUUUCAGUCUCUGUGCUGCGUUCAAUAGCCAGUGAUCAUUCAGAUUUGACUCGUAUUGUUGCAUUGUGCCUCCCUCCACUUUCUCUCUCUCUCUCCCUUCAAAGCCGCGCCGUUAAUUUCCAGCCUCUGCAAUUUUCCUCUCCAGUGGCAGAAAGGGAGCGAAAGAAAAGAGAAAGAAAAGAUGACAAAGACGACACAGGACUCCUCUCUUCUCCCUCGCUCGGCCUGUUAUUGUACGGAAAAAGCCAAGCAAUAAUUUUUCUCCGUCAUUGGUUUACUCCUAAAAGCCCGUUUGACGUUGGUCCUGAAAAGAAAGCAAUAAAGAAACCUUUUCAGCGGCGUUGAAAGAGCGAGAGACGCAGGAAUGAAUCCCUUUGGGACGCUGCGACCGGAGGGGCCUUUUUAUUGUCUUUGCUCUGCUAAUCAAAUGGAGCUGAAAUGAAAAUAGGGUUUUCUAUGAAAACAGGGGCCUUUGUUGGCUUUGGGAGGCUAGUAAUUCAUAAACAAUAAGCCGGCUCCUUUUGUUUGGGUUAUAAUAUAUUCCUGCUGCUCUGAAAGGGCUCUCUCUCUCUCUCUCUCUCUCUGCACACGCACACGCACGCUCACACACACACAUACACAGUGAAGUCGGGGUAAAAGCCAAAGCGAGGCAGCAGGCAGAGAGUAUAAAAGGAGGCAGAGAGGAAAGCUUUUCAUUCAUCGUGCUGGCUGAGAGUCAGCAGGAUGCUCCACUCUUCAGCCCGUCAUCCUUCACACCUCUCUCCACUCUUCAUCACUUUCUUCCUCUUUCAACCCUCCAAUAUGCUUUUUAGUGGAAGUCAAACUAAACUUCAGCCAACAGCCAGCCAACAGGUGUGUACUGAUCUGUUUCUCUGCAGCAAACUUGUCGUCUCUGAGGAUUUGGAGUUCAUGCACCAACCAAAGAGUGUACACAGUUUCUACUUUUCUUUCUUGCACUAAAUUUCUGCGAACAGAGAAGGAUUAGAGGUGUGUUUUUGGAGGUAAUGGAGCGUCACCGUAUCCCUUCUCUAGGAGAUGAGGACUCUUGGAGCUUAACUUCAGCCUGUGGAGUAAUUUGUGUGCACUUUUUGACACUUUAUGGCAAACACUGUGGAUAUCUGAGGAUCGAUUUUCAGCAAAUUUUCAUCGCAGGGAAUGAGCUGAGAGAUUUUUUUUGUGAUUCCUGGAGCUCCAUUCAUGUUCUUCUCCUCCUUUUCUUGUGUGACAAAACCACAGCUGCACCUUGGACCAAACUUUCCGGAUGUGUCAGUCUGAGUGAUGUGGAUAUUAAUGAAAAUAUCGGAUUGACCUGACAUGAUGUAAGUUCAGCAUUUUUCAUAAUCGAUACUAAAUACAUCACUGGAUUUCUGCAGUUUCUGCUUUUCUGCAAAAAUUAAAUAAAUAAAUAAAUAAAGACACUAAAUCAUCAGCUGUGAGCCGCAUGAUGAAGAAAGAAGUUGGAAGUUUGUAAUAUGAACAAUUUUCAUGAUGCAAAAACCUUUAUUUCUAUAUGUAGAAAUAUAGGUUUUUAUACCAUCAUGGGAAACUAAAACUCCUCAUUCUAGCAGCUUUGACUUGUAUGUUUCCAGUCUUUUUAAAAAGCCAGAUUCAGCUCAUUGUAGCAGUUGAUUUUGUGAGUUGUUAGAGAGAUCGAAGGGAGAGUUUUCUAAAAUCAGUUUGGAGUAUGGAGUUCAGGUUUUUGGGUUUUAAUGAAAAUAAUAGAUGAUGAAUUCCUGUAGAAGUGAGUCCACAUCAGCCUGUGCAGACUGUCAGGCUUUAUUUUUGACCUCACCAACCUCUCUGAAGGCUUUUUAUGUUGCUGACAUUCAGUAAGUGAUCACUGAGUAUUUGCUGCUGUCAUAGAACAUAAAAUUGUGCAUAAGGAGAUGAUAUUGGUCACAUUUUACAGUUUAAAAGAGUGUGACUGAUAGUGGUUCAGUACCUGCUGUGUUGUAUGAAGACUUUUCUGCAAACAGAAAUGUGUGCAGACAUUUGGGUAUGUUUGGGUGCUUUUCAUUCCUGUGUCAUGUGAUGCUAUGUUUGUGUUAGAAGGCGUCUGAGAUACACAGCUGUGAUGGUGGAGAGGUUUUCUCUGCUGCCCUAUAUAGGGGUGGGCAGUUUUUGGUUUUGCUUUAAGAGGUGCUUUUGUUUUGUCUGAUGUAAAAAGUUUUGUUGUUGCCCGCCUUACCCCCACAUCUUCUGCACAGUUUUAAAUCGCUGUAAUAUCUCCAAACUGCUGAAGUUGAAUCGUGGUUCUUGUCAUUGGUGCUUUGAGCUGGUCAUCUCUGUGUUUUCUUAUUUUUCUUCUGUUUUAAAUGUCCUUUGGUCUGUUUAUCAUUGUCCUCUCAGUAUUAUUGGCUGUAUGUCUUCCUCCUCUUCUUUUAUAUGCCAGGUACUAACAUGUGUUUAAGGUGCAUUAGUGCCCCCUUUAUAGUGUAACUGCAGGUUUAUAUCUUUUGGCCUUUUAGUGAAGACUGGUUGUUAGUCUAUAAAGAAACUUUAAACCAUGAUAAUUACCUCCGCCAAGGAGGUUAUGUUUUCAGUAGCGUUGUUUUGUUGGUUUGUCUGUUAGCAACUUUGCGGAGAAAGAAACUGACGGAUUGACCUGAAAUUUUCACCAGAGGUGCGUCUCAGCCCCAGGAGGAUCCCAUUACAUUUUGGUGGUGAUCCAGACAAAAUUCUGGAUACUGUGAUCCAGAACACACAAAAAUAAGGGUGUCGUUGGAAUUUUCAAUGCUGAAUGAUAACCAACGGGCGGCACAGUGGUGUAGUGGUUAGCACUGUCGCCUCACAACCAGAAGGUCCUGGGUUUGAAUCCGGGUCAGGGCAUUUCUUGUUUUAGGAACAUUAUGAACAGUGAACAUACCAGUUUAAACACAAAUAAAAGUUAAUAAAAGACACGUAACAGUAAAAGUUUUGGUGUGAAUCACAAUAUAAGGGGGGACAUGAGCUGCUUGGCGGAGUGCUGCGCUCUCCGAGUGCUUUUCUAGUUAUCAUAGUAAUCGUUUUCACCCUCAGCUGGAGUCUCACCCUCGAGUAAUGUAACUUCUUGAAAAAAACGCCCCUUUGGUUUCUGAUGAUCAAACAUUCAGCGCUUGCUCUUUAAAAGAAAGUAGGAGCUGCAAUAACUUCACAAUGAAAUAAAAAUUUCAACUUUCAUCCUGUAAAGUUGUUAUUUGGACGUCAUAAAUUCAGAACUUUUAUCUUUAAAAAUGAAUGACCUCAUUCUCUAUAAAAAUAUAUUCAAUCUCAUACAUAAUAAAUGUAAGACUUUAAUCUCCUUAUUUUAUAGCUUUAACCUGAAAUAUAUAACUCUUAUCUUAUUAGAGCUGUCAUUAAUUAAUGACUUUAAUGUCAUAAAUGCAGAGCUUUCAUCUCCUAAUAUUCAACCUUUAGUCAUGUUAUUUCUUUUUCUUCAAAACUUCAAAACUUUAAUCCUGUAAAAAUUUGGACUCAAACCUUGUAAAUCAGUGACUUUAAUUUCUUAUAUUUAAAGACUUUUGCUCCUAAAUUUGUGAGUUUAAUGUCUUUGAUUUAGGACUUCAGCCUCAUAAAUUUAUACUGUAACCUCAUAAAUUUGAGUUUUAUCUGUAAAGUUGUGUUUAUACCUUAAAUUUAUGACACAAAUGUAUUAACUUAGUCUCACAAAUUUAGGACUUCAUCAUUUUAAUUUACAACAUUCAUCUGGUUAAUUUAGGACUCAAAUCUCAUGCUGAAGUGUCUGCUGAAACCAGCUGAUAAAGUUUGGAGGUGAGAGGGAGGUUUUCAAAUAUUGGUACCUGAUACCUGAGCAGAACUGGAGGAAAGGUGUUUCUUUUCUGUCUAUUGUUUUGGAUGGAGAAACUCUACAGCAAGGACUUUACUUCGUUAAUGAGGACAAUGAAUAUGAACAGGGUUGAAUGUUAGUGCUGAUAUGUGAGGGCUUUACUACUUUCUGAAACUGUGCUUGUUUACAAUAUUCAGCCUUUCACUGGGACAGAAAAGCAAAGAUCAUGACACUCAGGCUUUACCAGGUAACAUCAAACUGAUACUCUAUCUUAACCACAGAGGAUGCUGGGAAAUGCAGUUUUGAUCCUGGGAGGACAUGACUGAUUUCAUCCAAAGGGGUGAACAGAAUCAACACAGCAUUAAAAACUCCUCCAUGAUUAAAUUCAAUGAAAUGAAAUAGGAGUUUUAAGCUUUACAGUUUAACUUUGGCUAGUAGAGGCACUCGCAUCACAGCUGGGUUGUUUGCAGUGGUCAGCUGUACAUGUAACUGCUCUAAAAUGUUUCCAGAAUUUGUAAAAACUAGUUUUUAGUUCAUACGGUUUUGUCUGGCUUUACUAGAUUUAGUUUAGAUUUGUUGUUGAAGGAUAAACAACAUGAACGUUUAACUUAAUGAGAUACAUUUCUUUGACUCGUGGUAAUACAGAGAAGAAAUGACAGUAUAUUGGGAUCUUCAUUUCAGUUAAUAGGGAGUCAGGACAAAGUUUGAUGAUGGACGGUGUUCAGGUUCAUCUACUAAUAAUCUUUGUCUGCGAUUUGUUUGACAUUUAACAAAUGGAUUGGUUUGUUAUAAACGCCAGAGAUGUAGUUAUGUUUCUGCAUGUUUACGGAUAAUUAUAACCAUGGACUUUCAUAUUAAAUUAAAAAAGGAGAUAGUAGAGCAAUACCUGCCAUAGCUGCACACAUAGACACAAAGUGAAAUUAAAUUAUCAGUGUUUUUGAUAUUAAACAUUUAAUAGUUAGAUAUUUUAUAGUUCUAUUUAAUACAUCUAUUAAAUAUAAAGGGGUAAGUUGACCCACAUGAUUAUUUAAACUUAAACUUAAAACUUAAACAAAUAAUGUAUAUAUACGGAUGAAAAAUAAUUUUAUAAGACAUUUCCCUUUUUCAAGUAGUCAAUUAUUUUCUUUGGGUUACUAAACAAUAUAAAACCAAUUAAAGUUUGUUUUUCAGAACCUUUUAAUAUUUGCAAUUAUUAAUAUAAUAUUGAAAACUUCUCUUGAAUGAGUGUAUUUAUCAAAAAUGAAAGAUCAUUCUGCUAAUUUGAGUAGCAAAGACCUAAUAAAAAUUAUACCAAGCAGAACCAAGUUGUCCAUAGUAUAUACAGUCUAUGUGUGCACACUUUAUUCAUUAGAGGUAGUGACUGUAAAAAGGUUAAAAUAAUAAUACUAAUAAUAUUAGUAUGAAGACCACCUCAUUGGAAGAAAAGACUUACAUUUUAGUCAUAAAUUUGAUAAGAAAAACGUCAUUAUUUAAGGGUGAGUGUAAAUUCUGUGUGUUAUUUUAGGGCACAGAUCAGAAGAGCCGCCAUGCAUCAAAACUAAAAUAAGAGACAGAUUAUCCAAUGAAGUUAUAAGAGUCAUAAAAACUUCACACUCAGUCUGAAAGCGUGUGAAGACGUCUGAAUUAGUAGUGUCAUAAAUAAAGUUCAUCCUGAAGAGGGUCAUUCUGUUCCAUCUGUUUAUUUUCAGCUGCUGAGUUGAACUUCACAAGAUGAUCCAGAUGAUGAAGAUGAUGAGGAUGAUGUUAUUAACAUGUAGAACCAUCUCCAGUGAGUAGGACAUCUUUUACAUGAUAAACCUUCAUUCUCUUUACUUUUAUUUCCAAAAUUUGUUUCUUAAAUAUUGUAAAAUCAAUCCUAACCUUUAAAUCUGUAGUAACACAAGUUUCUUCACGCACCUUUACAACUUUAGUCUCAUGAAAUUUGACCUAAUAGCCAAAGAUUUACAGCUUUAUGACCAAAAUGUUAAAAUUAAUGACUUUCAUAUUAUAAAUGUAAAACUAUUAAAAUCACAUUUUUCUCAUUUCGUUUUGAUUUUACCGCUCUCUUAUAUUUGCCGACUUUGUUCCUGCAAAUUUGACUUUAAUCUCGUCUCUAUAUCUCAUAAACUAGACUUUUUCUCUUGAUAAGUAAUGAUUUAAAUUUAGUCCUGUUAAUUUGUAAUGUAAUUUACAACUCUAAUCAUUUAUAUUUAUGGUUUUAGCAUCAUAUUUGAUCUUGGUAUUUGAAUAGUUAUAAUUUACAACCUUAUUUUUGUUACUUUAUAACUUUAUAGCUAAACAGUUUAACAAAUUUAUACACAUAAAUUUACAAUUUUACUUUAGCUUAAAUUUAGGGACUUAUUCCACCUUUUCUCAUCAGAUUCUUCAAACGUGUCUGUAUGGAUUCAUGACAUCUUUGUUGGGUCAGACUCUCUCUCUGCAGACUUUCACUUCCUGUUAGGUAUCACUGAGAGAAACUCAUCACUCUAUUUGUCACUAGAAAGAAAAUUGAGUUGCACAAAGAGCAACAUUUUCCUUCAAACUCCAGAAGCAGUUUGCCAUGUAUGAGCGCAGCAUUUUUUGUUCAUGUUUCUUUUUCAAUACGACACCCUAAACUUCCCUCAUCGCUUAUUUGAAACUGUCAGAUUUGGUUGCAGUUUUUCCCCAGAUGUAAUCUCAGAAGACUUCAUUGAAAGAAAUUAUGUUUAAUGUAGUUUGCUGAUGUUUGAAGCCUCAGAAGUCCAGUUUUCAGGGAUCCGUGAGAAGUUUAAAUCACAAUAACCCAGCUACAUAUGAAGAUCAGAAAAAAACAGGUUUAAUAUAUCAACCUACAUCUACAUGUUUUUGUUAAAAACUGAAGAAAAGUAGGUGCUGCAAGUCCUGAUAAAACCACUAGAUGACAGCAGAGCCAAACUAGAAAAUCACUCGGAGAGCGCAGACCUCCGCCAAGCAGCUCAUGUCCCCCUUAUAUUGUGAUUCACAGCAAAACUUUUACUGUUACGUAUCUUUUAUUAACUUUUAUUUGUGUUUAAACUGGUAUGUUCACUGUUCAUAAUGUUCCUAAAACAACAAAGCUCAUAUUAGAUACAUAAAUGCAUGAUUUAUUAUGCAAUAUUUGUAAGCGUACACUUCCUUGUAUCUUCAUUGGUUAUCUUUCAGCAUUGAAAAUUCCAAUGACACCCUUAUUUUUGUGUGUUCUGGAUCACAGUAUCCGGAAUUUUGUCUGGAUCAGGAUCAACCUUUGACACCUCAUAAAACUCAUUGAGAUCCUUUUGUGUCAUUUUUUACUAAAGACUCUGGACAUUUUUAUAGAGUUAAUGCAAAAAUUCCAAAAUUUGCCCUAUCUCACAAUGAUAAAGAAUCCUUCAAAAAAUUCCUGGAUCCAGAAGGCGAUCCGGAUCACCACCAAAAUGUAAUGGGAUCCUCCUGGGGCUGAGACGCAUCUCUGGUGAAAAUUUCAGGUCAAUCCGUCUGUAACUUUCUCCGUAAAGUUGCUAACAAACAAACAAACCAACGCUACCGAAAACAUAACCUCCAUAACAGAAGACUUUUCUUCACUUCUGAGAGAACUUCCAUCGUGUAUUUGUCUAAUUCUUGUGAAAAUAUCUCUUGACUCUUACACAUCUUUGAAAGUGGCGGCUAAUUCAAAGUUUCUUGACAUAAAUUUUGACAUCUUAAGUCACAAAUCAGAUACGAUUUGAAUUUGAAUUGAUUGAUAGUCUGAAAAAGUGACUGAAGAUACAAAAUCCCAUGCCUAAGGGUGCAAGACCAUUUUUAGAGUUGCCAAAUAUCAUGAUCUUUACAGUUUUACAUCAUGGCUAUUUAAAUGGGAAGACUUCAGACUUUGUUUUCUGCUACAAAAAUAAGCACAAAGUUAAUUUCUGGGAUGUUUCUCAGUGAGAAGGUGCAUUUACCUAAGGUGAUCAUUCAGUACGGUGGCCCCAGAGGUCAGUUGCAUAAAUAUUUCAACCAAAAAAAUUUUGAUGAACCACAAAAUUAUUUCCCAUCUUUUUGCAGCAUGACAUAAUAAUACAGUUGACCUCCAUGGCCACUGUAGUUCACGCCUCUGUGGUCGACUCCAAACCUGCUGAAAAAGAAAACUGUAAAACUGUUUCAUAUUAUUGCAAAUUGAGAAAGUGAUUCACAGUAAAAGAAAAACAGCUAUGGUCUUCUUUUCUUUAUUGUCCACUAGAGAGCGCUCUACAUCCACUCUAAAACACAGGGCGGCCUCUGAAACCUUGAAAAGUUCAGUUGCUCCUGUUGGUGAACAAACUGAGUUCAUCACCUGCAGAUUGAUGUUUUCACACCCCCACUGAGCAUGUGCAGAACUAUCUGAAGCUUUUGUAUUUAUCUGUAUUUGUAUUGGCGUUUGUGCGACAGGCUUUAAACUUAGUUAAACGUGUUUGUGUGACAUAAGCUGGAGGAGUGAGUUUGAUAUUUUGGACGUUACAUGGUUAAUUGCUCCUGAUCCAAAUCUGGUUAGAAAGCUCUCAGAUUUUCUGUCUCCUUCAUCUGGAAAAAUCUGCAGUCUGGUGUCAGAUUGAAAAUCGCACAUCAACCUGAAUGACUUUAAAAUUUCGCUUUUAAAAUCUUUGAUUUAAUUCAGGCUUUGUGUGGGAUGUUUUUUCAAUCCUUGAAUGAGGUCAGUUUGAUUUUUAUAAAAACGUUGGACCUGGAAAAAUGAAGGUUAAAGAAAAAUAUGAGACAGAUUGAUGCACAGCACAUCUUUAUUUGGUCUGGAUUCAAUUUCUGACUUUAAUGCUCUUUUAAUUCUGUCAAAUACAAUUAAAAUUUCUUGUGAUUUUCGCUCUUUUUUACACGAUUCUGUUUUUAAGUUUCAAUAUGAGAUGUAAUCAGUUCAUUAAGCCUAUAUCCCUUUGAUUCUCCUCUUAUAAGCCCCCCCAACAAUCUUUUAAUGUGUUUAAAUAAUUUCACUCAUUUUAAUCUCACUGCCUCACAUCUUUUUUUUUCAUCACUUUUUAUUUCCAAUAAUGAUAUCUUAUUUUUCAAAACUCUUUUUUAUUGGCUUUUUUUCCUCUUUAUUUACUAUGAUUCAUGAUUUAACUCCAUUACUGCUAAAAUAAUCAUCUAUUUCAUGACUUUAUUUGCAUUUCUUUUCAUUGACUUCUGGUUUUGUUUGAACUUUCUCGUCUUUCCUCUGUCUCGCCUCACCUUUUUAAAUCAUGAGUCCCUGCCUUUAUUCCAUCAAUCAAAGCACUUAGUUAAUAUUUGUUUCUGGAGGUGCUAAAUGGAAAAAUGUAGAACUAUUUAUAAGCAAAGUAUUCAUAGCAUGAAGAUGCGUUGAGAUCAGUUGUAAUGUUAAUGUUCAGUUUUUAAUUUUUAAUGUGAUAUAGGAUCUUGGAAGUUUGCUGAAGACUUUGCCGGUUUUUUUUUCUCGCUACAAACAAGUCCAAUUUGAUUUUUAUUUCCUAAUACCUAAAAUUACACAUUAAUUUGGCUGAAUGUGGCUCGCAUGUUUUACAUCCUUUUGGACCUUCAGGGCCACCAUGUGCUGUAUAAAGAUAGGAACAGACUGUUACUUCGAAUGUGGAGCCUUGGAUUUGAAAAGCUUUAAAUAUCUCUGCUCUGACAAAUAUUCUCGGUUUAUUGACUCCAUACAAACCUGUUUGAGUUGCCUCUUAUCAGAGUGAUUUUGUCCAAGUAUUCUCUCGCUGAAAAAAAUCACAUAAUCUCAUUUAAUUUUUGGAUUACACACUCAAAUCCCAUCCUGAGUCUUCUGAAUUUGCUUUCUUUCUGUUUUGAGUCUUUCCAUUGUUGCACUUUGAGGAAAUUGCUGUAAAAAAAUGAGUCAUCUGCUGUUUAAAAAGAUUGAUAUCUGGUUUUUGUUAGAGUCAAGUGCACUGGGGGAAAUGUUGGGCUGAAUUGAUGUUGUUACCUGUUGAAUAUCAGCUGUAAUCUUCAGAGCAGAGACCUAACAGUGUGUGUGUUCUUCUGUAGAUGUUUGAAUACAGGAAAGAAACCUGUUGAGAGCCCAAACAAGCAGAUCUACUGUACGCUCAAAUCAAACACGGCAGUACAGAGAUGGUUUCAGAAAUAAAAGCUGCAGACAUAAGUGCGUGCGGUGUUCAGAAGCGCUUUCAGAGUGAGCACAGGACCGGUGGGAUAUGAGAGCCUUCCCAUGGACUGAAUUGCCUCAAAGUGCCAGGCUGCUAUCAAAGCGCAUUAAUGUGAUGGAUAUCCGGCGUUCUGCAUUCAUUCUCCAUGCAGUGAAUGUGGGAGCUGACAAACACAGCGCUGUAAGAGGGCCUGCAGCUCUGAGCAGCUCUCUACCUCUAAAGCAGAGACAAAUAUAGAUGCGGCUCAAGAGCGUUUUAUGUAAAACACAAACAGACGUUUUUCUUUUAACCCAAUUUCUGUGAUUUCCUCUGAGAGAGCAGCUCGGUGCUCUUCAGUCCAUGUGAUCGACAACAGGGGAGUGCUACUCGCCCUCAGGCAGGGAGGAAAGAGUUCAUUUAACUUUAUCUUAUUCAUUUAUUUUGUUGCUUUAUUUCCCGAUAAAAGAUGAUUUUUUCUUGCGAUCCCUGCUAGCUGAUUUUGCCAAAAAGAAAAAAAAAAAAGGAAAUUCUAAAAUCUACCUGGCACAUCUGGUGCAUCUUCAACUCUUUCUGUUCUGUAGGAGGUCUCAGAGUGUCUUUUACCGCCAAAUGAACAUCUGCAAAUUCAGUUAUUUAUACCAGAAAACGUUGGAUUGGAUCAGAUUAGUUAAGCUGCAAAAGAAACAUGUGGCUCAACUGUAAAAAGAAAUCCGACCACAAACCAAAACAAGUGCUUCGUAAAAUCGAACAAGACUGGACAACGCUCUUUAACAUGUACAACAAUUAAACAUCAUAGAUUUGAUUUAGAAAUAACCCGAAUUCAAAUGUUUCUUAAAAAACAAAGCAAAGUGGGGAAAUAUGAAGACCAAGUUGGAAUGAGGUGGAAGUUUUAGAAACAAAAAUAGGCAGAAAUGCAUUACAGUAGAAGAUAAGACAUGUUAGAGACACUUCCACUAACUGGAGAGGUUUGCAUGAGGUGAAAUGAAGCGGUAAUCGAUACUGGCGCAGAAAAAGAUGCAGGGUUAGAAAUCUGAAUGCAGCUCCGUGACAUUUUUAUCACUGAAGGUCCACAUAAUUCAACCCCGUUCCUCCAGUUAAUGAGAGAAAACCUGUAAAUUAGCAUGAACUUCAAACUCCUUUCUGCUUCUCACCCUUCUAGAAAACCACUUUCCAUGAAUUUUCCAGACUUUACCUGAAGCAUUCUCUCAUUGGUCAUGGUGUUUUUGUGCAGAAAAUCAUCUUCCAUGAAUUUUCCAGACUUUACCUGAAGCAUUCUUGCAUGGGUCAUGGUGGUUUUGUGCAGAAAACCACUUUCCAUGAAUUUUCCAGACUUUACCUGAAGCAUUCUUGCAUGGGUCAUGGUGGUUUUGUGCAGAAAACCACUUUUCCAUGAAUUUUUCAGACUUUACCUGAUACAUUCUCGCAUUGGUCAUGGUGCUUUUUGUGCAGAAAAUCACCUUCCAUGAAUUUUCCAGACUUUACCUGAAGAAUUCUCACAUUGGUCAUUGUGUUUUUGUGCAGAAAACCACUUUCCAUGAAUUUUCCAGACUUUACCUGAAGCAUUCUUGCAUUGGUCAUGGUGAUUUUGUGCAGAAAAUUACCAAAAAGCUGGCUGGAAAAAGUGCAGGUCCACAUUUAGUUUAUUUGUGCAGCUCAUUCCAAAAACUUUAAAGUGAGGAAACUCCCCAUCUUGUUUACGCUCUUCCAAACACACCUGAUACUGAAAAAAAUUAGCUGUCACAUUUGAUGCUUCAGUCGAUUUCAAUCUCUGUUUUCAGCUUUUUCCAAAAUCUAUAAACGCAGCUCUUAACAUGGACCGAGAGCUUGAUAAGUGAGGGGUUAAAGGAGGUCUGGGCUCUGCAGGGCUUGGGUUAACUGCAGUGUCAAAGUGCCUUUUUGUCGUCUGAGGGGGUGGAAGGCAGCUGUUCCAAAGGGAUGCUUCAAAUCAGUGUUUUUAGGGAGGAAAAGUUGUUUUUGUAACCGAAGCUUUUAAGGCUCCGUCACCCUGAAAAAACAGACAUGUGGUUGUAUAUGUUGCUGUUGUGCGAUCAAAAUGCAUUCUGGGACUUAAAGCAGGCGCUAACCACAACAGAAAAGCCUCUCCAGCCAUGUAUCAUAGCUGUCUCACAACAAGCCUCGCCUCAAAAUAAUUUCUUAAUCCAUUAAUUGGCGUGGAGCGGCGUGCGGGGCAGGGCUUUUUGUUCAGUAUGUUUUUCAGAGAUGCAUACUAAUCAUAUAAAGUGAUCCUUUGUACUCAGGUUGACAGCAGCGACGAGGGCUUUUAGACGACACACACACACACACACACACAUACAUAUACACUCACACACAUGCAUAGAGGCAUGUGUCUGGGAGCGCCGCUGGCAGAACGAGUGUAUUAUUUUCCCUGAAGAGUGUUAUUUUCCUGUCAAGGCUUGAUGGCAACGUGCCAACAGAUGUGACAGCGAGCGAUCAUCCCUCCUUCAUACAGUACAGGGAGAGAGAGGGAGAGAGAGAGGGGAGGGACAGAUGAGGACGGAGACACUCUCUUAGUAUCCAUCCCUGCUUUUUCAUGCAAAUCGAUCGUAUAUUGAAUCUAAAAAUAUGAUAAAAUGUUUUUGGUGAAAAUUUCAAAGUUUUUCCAAAAGUCUGAAGUUUGAUGAAACAAAUUCAGGCGUCAUGUAUAAAUCUAUUACUUCAUGCACAUUAAGAUCGAAUAGUCGUGGUAAUUUUAGCCAGUAAGAUGUUUUAAAUAGAAAACAUCAUGUUAUGCAGGCCUUCAUAUCAUAUUCCACCAACUUAUUAAUUGGACUGUCUCUCUGUCAAACUAUCCGAGUGAUCCGUCUCAGUGCAUUAGGUGUGUUGGUCUUUGCUUUGAUAUCAUAUUUGUCUACUAAGGUGUGCAGCAGGGCUCUGUAUUAGGUCCGCUUUUGUUUACUAUUUAUGCAAAUUAACUGGGACGAAAUGUAUUAGAUGUAAGAUAUCUUCUCUGAACUCUUGCAGGAUGUGUUUGAUAUUCAGAUUUAACUACUGAAAAACUGCAAACCGAAUACUGCAUUUACUCCUAUUUUAGUGACCCUUCACUGGCUCCCAAUCCGCUUCCACAUUGAUUUUAAAAUUCUUUUAAUCGGUUUUAAAGCCCUCCCUGGUCUUGCCUCUCCUUACCUGUCCGAGCUCCUGUAUCACCACUCUGGCCAGCUACUGUUGAGCUCAAGUCUAGAGGUCACAGGGCCUUUCCAGCGGUCGCCCCAAGACUGUGGAACAGUUAACCUGCUGCCAUAUUAAAGCCCCUCAGACCUUAGGGUCUUUUAAAGCAUCUUUAAAGACCCACAUUUUCUCCCCUGCUUUUAAUAAAUGAGCACACAGGAAUCAGAGACACUGUAGCGUUUAUUCUUUUACUGUCUGUAUUUUAUUCUAUUGUUUUUAAUUUUAUUACCUUCGCCGCCAAGGAGGUUAUGUUUUCGGUAGCGCUGGUUUGUUUGUUUGUUUGUCUGUGAGCAACUUUAUGGAGAAAGCAACAGACGGAUUGACCUGAAAUUUUCACCAGAGGUGCGUCUCAGCCCCAGGAGGAUCCCAUUACAUUUUGGUGGUGAUCCAGACAAAAUUCUGGAUACUGUGAUCCAGAACACACAAAAAUAAGGGUGUGGUUGGAAUUUUCAAUGCUGAAAGAUAACCAAUGGGCGGCACAGUGGUGUAGUGGUUAGCACUGUCACCUCACAGCAAGAAGGUCCUGGGUUUGAAUCCGGGUCAGGGCAUUUCUUGUUUUAGGAACAUUAUGAACAGUGAACAUACCAGUUUAAACACAAAUAAAAGUUAAUAAAAGACACGUAACAGUAAAAGUUUUGGUGUGAAUCACAAUAUAAGGGGGGACAUGAGCUGCUUGGUGGAGGUCUGCGCUCUCCGAGUGAUUUUCUAGUUUUUAUUGAUAUCUAUUUAUUUACUUCUUUUAUUUAUCCCAUGUACAGCACUUUGUUUGACUGCUGUCUUUUUAAGGUCCUUUAUAAAUAAAUUUUGACUUGACUUUACUGUUGUAAAUGCAGAGAAAACCUGGCUCAUGUUGUUUUCAAAGGCAUGUUAUAAAAUGUGCCUGUGGUCAUCACUGCUACUGGAGGAGAACUAGAGGUUGUAAACACUUAAAUAUACCUGGCAUUGUGAAAGAGGACUUAAAUGAGGUGCAAAUUGAAACAAGUUGUGUUCUCAUUGUUGCUCUGUUAUUUUUCAACGUACUGGAUUAUGGUGAUCUCUGGGAUACAGCUUACAAUGCAUCCCUAGUUACCGUUUCUUAUGUGCCACUCUUGGCAGAGUGAGUUAGGAUAUGCCAUGUUUCAUUGCUCAGGAAGUGAACCCCUGAAAAUGGUCUAGUGUCUUAUUGCAGGCAGUGGACGCUUUAUGCACAGGGGUCAGUUUGCUUCAUGCUUUACUGAAGUUUUCUUCUGCACGGGUCAUUGCAAAAGUAAGAACUCGCAGCUAUUAAGUUGCUGCAUGAGUCAUGUGCGGAAAAUUUUGCAUUGCUUUAUGUGGAGUAUUCAUAUCUAAAAAAAAUAUUGAUGUCCGAAAAAAACGCUCUCUGUGUGUAAGGACCUUAAAUCUGUAUUCCUCUCUGAGUGAUCCGAUCUCCUGAGCCAGCACACAGCGCUGCACAGAUCAGCGCUGCUAUUCAGAGCUACCUGAUAAAUAACAGCCUCUGCAGAUCAGAUGAUAGUGUGUGUGUAAUGGCACUGUUCUCUUUUGUAAAGUCUGAAAGUAAACUGAUUCUCUCUGUUAUCUCUCUCUCUUUACCUCCGUCUCUCCCUCUGUGCAUCUUCAUUUACUUCUCCUCUGACUGAAAAACAAAGAAAAAGCAAAACAAAGCAGCAGAAGACAAAAGGGAGAGAAAGAGGAGCGUGUCAUUACGGGUUUUGUUUCUACAACGGCACAAUACCCUGACCACCCUCAAACGAUGGAGAGAGAGAGAUCCUCUGCAUGCAGUCGAGUCGCAGAGAGAGAGAGAGGGAGAGAGAGCGAGAGAGAGAGAGAGAGAGAGAGAGAAAAGGGAAAGGCAGUUUAAUUUAGAUAAUUAUCUCACAAAUUAACCACAAACUCCUUCCCUCUUAAUUACCUGUCUUAGGGAGCGGUGCAGGAAAACAAAAAGCCGAGCCGUGGAGGUCUUUGUUCAGGUCUUCUUGGGGGGUGUAAAUUGGUGGCUCCCCUGCUGAAAGGCCAGAUAAACCUUGGAGGGGACGACCAUUAAAGCAUUUGAUAGGCUAAUGGGGAAUACUGUUAGCAUCCGCGUUUGUAAUUGGACGUCAUAAAUCUGGAACAGGUGAUGGGGGAACAAAAGAGGGGUUUUGUGUGGGUGUCGAGGCCACGGCAUGACUUGUAAAUCCUUUCCCGGUUGAAUGGUGCUAUCUGAUGGUCCACGGAUCUCCAGCAUUGAUUCCUGUGAGUGUGUGGAGCAUUUAUACGUCCUCAGAAACACAAGCAAAUGUUCGUAUGAUCGGGGCUAAUAAAAGGCGCCGGUCUUAUCUGGCUGUCUGCUGGAGUUGAUUCUGUCAGUAGCGAUUAACCUUUCCCUGACUGUGAUGGCUCACCUGAUCAGUUUCAACUCUUGAAACAACUGGAAACCAAAGAUACAGAAGCUUUAAGCUGUUUGACACAAGGUGACAUUUGCACUUACAUUGAUGUGCAAGAAAAUGUAAUGGGGUUGAAUCGUUGACUUGCUGUGACUCUCCUUUGUAACUGAAACAAUCCUGUGUUCAAAACUCAGAACUAAGUAUUUUCAGUUUUUUUCAUUUCUGUCCUGAUUUCGAGAUUGUGUCACUUUGACUACAAGUCGUAGCCUCAGCUUGCUUCUGGUCAUCAUUUUGGACAACAGCAGUACAAACUAUCAGGCAGGAGGAGAGAGGAAAGCAGGGAGAGGAGCAGGAGGAGGCAGGUGUGUGUAUGUGUGUGUCUGAAAAGUCAAGGGACAGAAUGAGCUCAGCGAGAGAGGGGCUGUUGUGACCGUGAGUUCAAAUCAGCUUCUGGUUUAAAAAUAAGGAGAUAUGAUUAGAUAUAGGGCCGGGCGAUAUGGGAAAAAGUUCAUCAAGUUAUAUUUUUUUCAUAUCAGUCAUUUCAUAUCAGUCAUUUCAUAUCGAUACAUAUCACGAUUUAAGUAAAAAUCACAUAUCAAUCUUAAAUUUUCCUUGUUACUCUUAAAUGAAAUUUCACAAUGUUUAUUGGUAGCUUGUCUUUUGCAAUACGAUAAGCUACUGCAUCUUUGAGGUCUUUGUGUCUCUUCGAUGUUUUGUCGUGAGACAUUGCGCUAGAGAAAGCGGACUGAAUGAUCAGCUGUUUUGGCUGCACAGGCGCCAUGGGGGUUUGUAACCUUUUGCAUUGUGCAUGCUCUGCCACACUGCUUCAGGUGGUGAAAAAGAUCUGAGGUUUUCCCCGACUUUGUGAGAACAUGUACUCGACAUAAUUUACAGUGCUCAUUACUCUGCAUCAUGUCCAACCUCAAAAAACCAAAGUACCUCCACACCACCGACGUUUUCAUGCCAGUGUUGUCGAUGAUGUCGUCAUCUCUUGAGCCUUCAUCUGCAUUUCUGUCGGGGGUAGCACUCAUUUCCUUGUUUCUCACUAACAGUGUUGUCGGCUUCACAUGCUAUAGUUGCGUAUAUCUGCAAUUUGCUACUACGCAGUUGUUUGCUACUUGGUUCAAAUUCAGCACAUGAUUGGUUCAGUGUGAAGCGGACCUGGAGCAACUCCCCUUUUCAUUGGCUAUUCGUAUAGUCUACCAAAGCAGAAUGCAGACAAUUGAAAAGGAUAUUGACCAUGUUUUAUAUCAAUAUUGAGGGAAAUUAAUUUUCAAUACUGUUAUCAUUUUAUUGCCCAGCCCUAAUUAGACAUAAAUUAUCAUUCAUAACUCUUAAAGCCCAAGUCUUGAAGCUUUGAAGGAGGUUCUAUCAAAAGACGCACCUCUGGUGAAAAUUUCAGGUCAAUCCAUCUGUAACUUUCUCCGUAAAGUUGUUCACAGACAAACAAACAAACAAACAAACAAACCAACGCUACCAAAAACAUAACCUCCUUGGCGGAGGUAAAAACAUACUUUAAGUGAAAUCUGACUGACAAACAUGGUAAACAAAAAAAGCUAGGCUAAACACAUUAUUAUGAUAUUGCCUGUUUCAUUCCUCUCUGUUUUCUAUAUAGAUAUAGAUAUAGUCUGUAUAAUUGUACAGAUAUCAAGUGUGUACUGUUGUUUGUUUAGUGCAGGCCUCAUGAUGGUUAAUUUUGUCCUGGAUUUUUUUCUUGGUCAGUGUGGAGAGUGAAGUUCGGUGAUGUUAAAGCACAAACAGCCCACAGAGUUUUCACUGAAAUCAUUUAACUUCAUGAUUUUUUACUCUCAUGUGGACACUGAAUCAAAACAAGCAAACUUAAACAUUUAAAGCUCAUAUGACAACACUGUUAGUGCAAAUCUGCAGCCCUUUUCUCCACACCAGGUGUGAGAGCAUAAGAGCGCACACACACACGCACACACACACACUGAGUCCUGAUACUUCACACACACCCUCGGAGCUGCACCAAUAUUUGUGUUUGGCUUCUGUCACGUAUUUGUCCGAGUCCUCGUCUCUGCUCUCCACAUCCAACCGCCAGCAGGUGUGAACAACUCUUCUGCUGAGAGGGACGCACUCUGCUGCUCUCUCCUGUCACGCACACACACACUGUGAGGGCGGGGGAGGAGGGGGGGAGGGCAGGGGAGAGAUCAAUAGUAGUGAGUGUGGAGUUUGGAUAAUUACAGUUGUUAGCAGGCAGAGGAGAGCAGCUAUAGUGGCCUCUCCACUCACACUCUCUUAUCACUCUCUGGCCUGUCAUUACAGCUUUAAAUGCUGCUCAGUGUGUGUGUGUGUGUGUGUGUGUGUGUGUGUGUGUGUGUGUGUGUGUGUGUGUGUGUGUGUGUGUGUGUGUGUGUGUGUGUGUGUGUGUGUGUGUGUGUGAGAGAGAGAUUUUCACUACUCUUCUCUCUACACUUCUCUCAUUUCUCCUCUGCUUGUUUCUUUUUUAUUUUUUUAGAUAAAGUAUUUCCUCUCCUUCCUCUUCAGUCUUCUCCUAAACUCUCUCCCCUCACUUCCAUGUCUUCUCUGUGUUCAUCUGUUUACAAAUAUUACAUCAAAAAUCAUUUUCUAGGUAUAAGUCUGAGAAGUGUUUUGACAUCGGUUUGUAGUAUAUUUGUAGUCUGAGGAGUUUUGACCAAUUAGGAUUCAGCAGGAUUUAGUAUUUUAAGGAAAAUCUUGAUCACAACAUCACAACAAAGUUUUUUUUUUAAAUUUAAUUCCGCUUGAGUGAUACCUUAGUAUAACUUAAUAUUUACAGGAAAACUGAGACUCCCAAAAAGAAAUAAAUGGAUAUAAAUCACAAAUCAAUCACAACAAAUCAGAUUCUUUAACAGAUAAAUGUCUCUGAAAUGAUUCAGAGGGAAGCCUCUUUAUGAUUUACUAAUUACAGUAAAACUGAGACCCCUUAAAUCAUUGGAGGGAUGGAUAAUAUUGAUUAGUAAUAGUGUAGAGCAAAGCCCAUGGAUUACUUUCUACUUAAAAUGAUGAUACUUUUUCCUCCGUGCACUGUGAAUGUUUACAUGUUGUGUUCAAUAAAAAAAUGAAAACAUAUAAUUUCUGUGCAGUAUUAGUUUAAGCAGAAUGUGUUUGUCUAUUGUUGUGACUUAGAUGAAGAUCAGAACACAUUUUUUGCCCAAUUAAUGCAGAAAGCAAAGUAGUCUUAAAGGGUUCACAUACUUUUUCUUGUAACUGUAUAACAUCCCUGCCUCAGAUUUGACCUUGUAGAAAGACAAGCUCUCAGAACAGAGUCAUACCACUAAAUCUAACUUGUCAUGUGCAAAUAAUAACCCACUGUGACUGAACUGACAACAUUUCUUUGUUACUUUUUAUCUCUCUAAACUUUUUUUCCAUCUCCUUUUAACACCUCUUACGUAUCUUUGUCUCUUCUUUCACCUUUCUCCUUUCUUUCACAGCUUCUUUUGUCCUUGUCUUUCUUUCCCUCUUUUUUUCUCAUCUUUUUUUAUUAUAUCCUCCAUUCUCUCCCUGUCCUCACCCUUUUUCUCUGUCUUCCCCUCCUUUAUGCCCUCUCUACCCUCCAGUAAUCUUUCUACAUCUCUUUUUCCUCUUGCCUCUCCUCUCCUCUCCUCUCAGUGAAUCACCUCCUUGUUGUUUGCUCGUCCUCCAAGAACCUCUCUCACCUCCGCCCUGUUGAAACUUAUUUCUUCUGUCCUCUUCUCUUUUAUUUCCUUUCAUACAGCAGAAUUUUCAAACUUUGCUUCAGUAAAUAAAAAGCUCUCUGCCAAGCUCAGACAGUCCUUGGCAGGUUUUAAAGGUGUACACUUGAGUAUGAACCUGCUUGAUCCCUCUGAGGAGGCUGAGGGUCUCUGUUCAAGUUUCCUGAGAAGAAAAAAGAAAAGAUCUUACAGGAGAGUUAGCUUUAUUGGUUUGUGGUAGAGCUUUUUGUCUAACUCAUCAACAGCUUCCUAGGUCUUGUGACACUUCCAAGUGUCAAAUCAUCGACAUACAUUCUUCGUGUACUUAAUUUUAAAGAGAACUGAGCAUAGAGCAUCAAAUUUGGUCGACCACUCUUUGUUUCACACUUUUAGAUUUCAUGAAUAUAAAGCUAUAUAAAAAGUAACACCUACAAGUAGGGCUGGCCAAUAUCGAUAUAAAACAUGGUCAAUAUACUUUUUGAUAGUCGGCAUACUGCCAUGUUUUGGUAGACUAUAUGAAUAGCCAAUGAAAAGGGGAGUUGCUCCGGGUCCACGCCGUGCUGAACCAAUCAUGUGCUGAAUUAGAACCAAGUAGCAAACAACUGCGUAGUAGCAGGCAGCAGCUACACGCAACCACAGCAAUUCUUUUAUUUCAUUUUUUUUUACUAUUAUUAUUAUUUUUUUUAUCUAACAACAAAAUAGAGUGACAACAAAAACAACAACAAAAAAUUUAAAAAAAUACUUUUGUGAGGGAGGGGAGGGGAAAGGAAUAUAUGUAUAAUAGAAAAUAAAAAGAUUAAAUUAAAUUAAAAAUUAAAAAAAAGAUCUUAAUUGGAUUGCAUUGAAAUAUAUAUAAUAAUAAUAACUAUAUAUAUAUAUAUAUAUAUACAUACACACAUUAUUAUGUGUUAUUAUUGUUGUCGUCAUCAUUGUCAUUUGUUUAUUGUUAUUAUUAUUAUUGCAGGUAUUACUAUUGUUGUUAUUAUUGAUGCUUUUGCCGUUGUUGUAUCGUCGCUGUUGUGCCGGUGAUUCGGGGGGAUUGUGUGCGUGUGUGUGUGUGUGUGUGUGUGUGUGGGGGUAUGUGUAUAUAUAUAUAUAUAUAUAUGCAACCAUAGCACUUUAACAGGUGAAGCCGACAGCACUGUAGGUGAGAAAAAAAGAAAAUGAGUGCUACCCCCAGCAGAAAUGCAGAUGAAGGCUCAACAGAUGAUGAUAUCAAAGACAAAACUGGCAGGAAAAGGUCGGUGGUGUGGAGGUAUUUUGGUUUUUUGAGGUCGGAAAUGAAGCAGAGUAAUGUGCACUGCAAAUUAUGUCGAGUACAUGUUCUCACAAAGUCGGGGAAUACCUCAAAUCUUUUUCAUCACAUCAAGCAGCGCCACGCGGCAGAGCACGAACAGCGUUGUUUUCGUCAACGUCAUCGUCAACGAAAAAAACACUGCAGAAUAUAUGUUUGGUGUUUGACUGACGAAAUGCUCAUGAAUUUAGCAACUCUGUUCGUCGUCCACCACUAACAUUUUCAUCUAGUCUCGUCUCAUCAACGUAAACACACAUUCUUCUUGUCACAUUUUAGUCAUCUAAGACUUAUGUUUAGCUCGUCAACGUCACGUCGUUGAAGAGACACAAAGACCUCACAGAUGCAGUAGAUUAUUGUAUUGCAAAAGACAUGAUACCAAUAAGCACUGUUAAAUUUCAUUUAAGAGUAACAGGGAACUUUUAAGAUUGAUGUGUGAUUUUUUUAUAUCGUGAUAUGUAUCGAUAUGAAAAAAUAUAUUGUGAUAAUUUUUUUUCCAUAUUGCCCAGCCCUACCCACAAGCUGUGCCUACAUUUAUAUAUCAGUCAGUCAGAGUAGGACACCAAUAUGAGAUAGAUAAGAAGUUUUUGGAGCUGCUCAUCAUGCUAAGCUACUCUGCAAGAGUCCCAGAAUGAAAGAUGAAAAAAGGAAUAACGGGUCUUCUUCAAGUGUUGUUAUUUCUCGGUGAAGUUUGGAAGAAGUAAGAGUUCAAUGACAGGUUUUAAAAAAUACAGUAGAUGUCAGAUAAAGCUGUCGGAUCACGGUCGAGGAUUCUGAUGUGGAGACGAUAUUGUUACGUACGGGGAUUUGAAGUUUGUUUGAGAAUCAUGCCACAUGAGGGGAAAGACAUUUGUGGGGGAAGGUUGAAUGAAAGUGAACUCAUUUGUUGCUGUUUAGCUAAUUUGCUGUUUUGUCUCUCUCCUAGUUUAAUUUAAAUUGAAGAUUGUUCAGUUUGGUUGACUGUGACCCCACAUUUCUGCCUUUUUUCCUGAUCAUGGGUCCUUGUUAUGCUAUUUUAGUUUUUUUCUUGAACUCCUAUUUUUUGUAUCUCUUCCUCAGUUAGUCUUUCUCUUUCAUCUCUCUCCUUUCUCAUCUCUCUUCCAUCAUCAAUAAUCUCGUCUUCGUCGUCUUAUUUUGCUGUCUCUCCUCUCCUCACAUCCUCUCAUCUCCACUCAUACACUAAUUUCUCUUUAUCUCCUAUCUCCUUUUCUGCCUCUCCUCUCCAUUCUUUGUUUCCUCCUUCCCUCCUUUUUUUUGACACCGGCAUCUCUGCCAAGAAGAGGAUUUUACUCCGUCAGAUCCACGCUCUAAUUUCUCUCUGAGAGGUUUUCACUGUCCAGCCAGACGGGAUUUUCUUAGUUGUUGAGUCUUAACAUGCAACACUGAAAUAGGCCUGGAGAAACUGGAGUUAAAUCCCCUUCAGAUCACUGCACACUCGCACAAACACACACAGACACACAGUUAGUGUUUUGUUGAUUUGCACUGAUGUAGAGGAUUCUUGUCAGACAUAAGAAGGAGAUGAGAAUGAUGGAGAGAAGGAUUAGAUGAGCGAAAAACAACAGCGGUUUGUCCCCUGCGGGCUGUUUGCUCUGAUUUAGAUGGCGCAGGAUUAGCUGAGGAUGAGGAGAUCAGGGUGCCGUGUGACUCAGUGUGUGUUUGUGUGUGUGUGUGAGGAGAAGUGGGCUGCUGAUACGUCGACGCUCGAGGCGAAGCUGUCAGAUAUUCGACCAAUUUUCUUGUUGCGAUCCGUAGGUGGUGCAACAUAUACCAUGAAGGUUGCACAAACACUCUUACACACUCUUACACACACACCAUAUCCAGCGCCUCGAAACACAAGUGAAGUUUUAAAAAUUUAACUCCACUGAAAUUUUAAGUUCUUGUCUUCCUUUCACUACGAAAAACUCAAAUCUUAGUCUGUGGUUUUGUCUUAUUUCGAACAAAAAGUGUCUGUUUGGCUUAAUUUGAGCCACAUUCACCUGACGAGUCCCUGACAAGUCCAUAAAAUGAUACGUAAUAAGGUAACCUUUAAAGAAAUUGUUGUAAAGUCUAUUAACUGCUGUUUAAAUUAGGUCUAUCACUGUAGGGCUCUUUACUGUAAUGUUUUCAGGGACUCAAAAUUAUAAUCAGAGCUGGAAAAGCCUUAUGUGACUGCACUUUGAAGCAACCCCCAAACUUUUUGAACUUGUUCAACAUUUAGACACAAAAAUGUAAAAACUUGAUGGUAGUAAACCUGCAGAUGAUGUGAAAACCAUGUGAAUCUGGUCUUAUGAAACAGACUGUCAGCUGUCUCUCAAACCUUGUGUGUGUGUGUGUGUGUGUGUGUGUGUGUGUGUGUGUGUGUGUGUGUGUGUGUGUGUGUGUGUGUGUGUGUGUGAGAGGAGUAUCACAAUGAGACAGGAAAUCACUGCAAGGAUAAAAUUCUCUCCCUCUCUCCUCUCAUAGAAAAACACUCACAAAUAACCGGCUAAUCUCUGCCUCUGCCCGCGUGCCAUUCAAGGCUCCCUCCAAUUAAAAAGCAUGGGGGACUCGAACCCGCCAUCUUAUUUAUCAUAUUAAUUAGAAAGUCCCCCCGACAACAAAGAGAGGCGUACAGCUGUGUGGCAGCGGAGAGGCCUGGGAAAUGAAGGCUGGUUUGAUUUGUUGUCUUGCUAAUGUGACACCUAUUAUACAGGUUAGGCCUCAGAUACAGCAGCAGAUGGUGAUUCAGAGUCUGUGCUAAAUACAGCAGCUUCAAAGAGCUGCUCUGAGGAGGGGUUGUAUUUAGUAUAUUACAAAUUAAUGUAUUUCAUAUCAGUAACUCAUCGGUCAUGAAGCCUUGGUCCCCAUCAAUCAUCACCCUCCCUCUGAAUGAUGCUGUUCUUCAGGUCUGACGCUGUAACUGCAAAAAUGAAUAACCAUGAAAAGCCAACUGUGGAGCGUGGUAGGCUGCUGUUAUAACCUCAUCUUAUUCCACAUUAUGUUGGGACAGAAACAUAGCGACUACUCUGGUGCUUUACUUUUAUGGGAACAUUUCAGCCUUCCUCAGGUGAACUGCCUCAGCUUUAAAAACCUCGAGUGAUUGGGGGUUCAGACUUGUUGUUAUCUUUGUAAUAUUUGUGCACUUUGUUCUCCGACACGUAAACAGCCGGUCAGCCAUGUUGGAUAUACCGGUGAAUCUGACGUCGCAACAACAUGAAAAAUGUUUGGUCAGAAGUGGACACACAGUAUGCGAAACUUCAGAAAAUUCAACCGUGAUCUGAAAAAAUAAAAGGCCGCAAUAUCGCAGGACGGGAAAACGUCGCUGAUGUAAACGCUUGUAUUGACAGGAUACAGGUUUGAAAAAAAUAUUGACGUCCGAAAUAAUCGCACGAAAAAAACUCCUUUUUUCCUCUAGUAGAAGAUGUCUCAGGAUCAUGAGGACAUUAAUGUUCAAGUUUUACAUUUUUUCAUUCCUAUUACAGGGAGAUGUUUGUGUGUGCAACACUUUAUUUUUGCUAGUUACACCAGUUUAACAUUGACAGGAGUCUCAGGACAUCAUCUGUCUGAUGUCAUGUCCUGAGGCCCCUCCCAUCUGAGUGAGAUUUGUGAACACGCAAAUCUAUGAAGUUGUAGAAGAAGAGCUCCUGAAAAUCUUAAGAUAUCUUCACAAGAGCAUGCGAGAAAAAGCCUGAAUUCUGAAGCUGGUGGUCUGACUGUAAAGAUGACUCAUACAUUUAAAAAAUCUUAGCAUGACGUCCCUCACUGCUAACUGUGUAAAACAAAUAGUUUUUCAGUUCAGAAACCUCUCUGAUGUGUUGAGUUUGCUAAAGAUGCUAAAAGAGAGAAAGAGAGAGAGGGAGAAAGAGAGAGACGGAGGAGGUGAAGAGCUUUAAGAGUGAUAGAGAGAGAGAGCGGUGGGGUGUGGAAGUGGGGGUGACGUGCUCUGUAAUCAUGGGUCUAUUAGUCUGCUCUCUUUAUGACUGAUGGAGCUGGAGCGCUGCCUUAUGGAAGAUAGUCGCUCAGCAUAUUUAACAGCUGACAGGUGUGUGUUUGUGUGUGUGUGUGGGCAUGUAUGCUUGUGUGUGUGUUGUUUAUGGAUCUCAGUAUUAUGAGCUUUGUUUCUGUGUGUGCUGAAAAGUAGAGUAUGGUCUAGUUUGAUUUGACAGACUUACUUCAGUCCAGUUCAUUAGAACCUCUGAUCACUUCUUACCUUUUGUAAUAUCUGUCAUUAGCUGUCAUUGCCUCUUUAAAUGAAGCUGUCAUGUAUUUUAUUACUGAUAAGUGCCUGUGAAGUGAGUUUUUUGGUAUUAAUAAGACAGAUUAAAAUUAAUGUCUUUGUCUUUUUAUGAUAAACAAAAGCAAGCAAGAACACAGCUGACAAGAGUGGUGAUUGUGAAUAAUAGACCUUUUUCACAGUACGCGGAAGUUAGCGUUCUGCUCACUUCCGGUAUUAGCGUGUGGUGGAGCCACUUAGCAUCGCCCAUAGACGGCCAUUCAUUUUUCACGAUAUUAACAAGCUCACGACUCGUUUUUUUGAAUGUAAAAUUUUAUGCUUUGUGCUGUUUAACUAACUCGUGUUCUUCAUAAUACUGUCCGGAUUUUGUAAUUUACUUUUCGGGAAUUAUGAUUAAUAGGUCUGGAAAUUUUCUGAUGAUGGUAACCAUUGCUCUUCAGUAAUGACCUAUUAUUCCCGAAAAGUAAAGUACAAAAUCCGGACAGUAUUAUGAAGAACAGGAGUUAGUAAAACAGCACUAAGCAUAAAAUUUUACUUUACCUUUCACAAAAACGAGUCGCGAGCUUGUUAAUAUCGUGAAAAAUGAAUGGCCGUCUACGGGCGAUGCUAAGCGGCUCCGCCACACGCUAACACCGGAAGUGAGCAGAAUGCUUACUUCCGCGUACUGUGAUAAAGGUCUAUUGUUUGGAUGUUUAAAUAGAUCUCACUUGGAUGGUUGACAUUGGACUGAGGUACAAGGACUGUUUCAGGAUUUAAAAUGUUGUUGCUUUUGUCAGCUAUUAAUAGAUGGAAGAUGCACAGAGAUUCAUAACCCAUAGAUAACUGGCUGAGUAAAAAAGUAACUUGAAAUUUUCUAAAUGACAUGCUUAAACCUUUGGCUUGCAGUGGUGCUGAGGACUAUUGCUCAGUAAUGACAGACUCCUGUGUCAAAUAGUCUGAAAUUGGUCUUACUUGUUAAAGGGACUCUUUGCCAAAUUCAUUUGCCUUUUACGCUGUCAGUUUCUUUUAAACCAAGAAUAAGAGUGUCCUUUGAGCUUGGCCUCUCAUAAGUGAGCAGAAAAAACUGAAGGAUAUGCAGAGCGACACUGUCCAUGGUGCUGAAAGUGAAGCUGCUGCUUUCAGCUGUCCAUGGUGCUGAAACAGAUGAGUACACUGUGUAGAUCUCCAUUUAUCACAGAACCUGUGGCUAUAUUCAAAGUGAAACCGAAUCUUAUCUACGCAUUUUAUUUCUGAAAAUAUCGCAAAAAUCGGUGCGUUUUGGUCGAUUACCAAUGAGCCUCAAAUGCGCAAAAACUGUCUGAUUUAAUCGGCUAGCUGAUAAAUCGGUUGGGCCCUUAUGUUCACAAAGCUUUUUAAUGCAGCUCUAGUUUCUUAUAGGGGAAGAAAUUAGAGAUGCAACAAUUCAUUUGUUUGCUUUAUCUGGCCAAAGAAACACUUAAGAGUUUUUUUCCUAGUUCAGACCACAUCAUUGCAAAGAUAUCUUGCAGGGAAAACACAAGAGACGUAAACACCGCAGUUUAUUAAUAAAUGCUUUUAGACUUCUACUUUUCAGUUUUAUCUGAAGGCAUGUGUGUCAGUGUCAGCAGUGAGCAGGAAGAGGAGGCAGGAAAACAGAGAUAAACAGAGAGGACGAAAGUGAUGAAAGAUGAAGAGAAGGACACUGAGGAGUGAAACAGAUGAUGAUAAAUGAGUGGAGGAGAUCUCAGCGUUAAAACAAGCCUCUCACUCUGUCUCCUCAUAAAGUGUUUGUCUCUCCAGCCAAAAGCUGUUUAGAUUUGAUGGACACUGUGAAGAGUGUGUGUGUGUGUGUGUGUGUGUGUGUGUGUGUGUGUGUGUGUGUGUGUGAGAGAGAGAGUGUGUGUGUCAGUCCAGCCAUCUGGUAACCAGGGCAUUGUUUACUCUGUCACUGCUCAAUAUUUACCCAUCCAUCUCUCGUCCCACUGCAAACCACAAGUGUGUGUGUUCACAGUGAACUCAGGGUGUGUUUUUUUGUGGGUUAAACACUAUUUAAAUAAAGCUGUUCAUGUUUAAACAAAUUUCAUUCUAACUUGUAGAUUAACUUUUCCAUAUUUUUUUGUAUUUUCCUAUAUUGGUAAUAAGCUUUUGGACCGACAGCCUAAUUACUGUUUGAGUUCAGGUAAAGUUAUGAACAGGCGGAUGAAAAUGUAAUCAGUUUGGUCUCUUGUGUAGAAUUCCUGACAUCCACAUAUUGAUGUAAAUUUAAAAAUUUUAAAAACUCAGGCACCAAAUUCACUUGAUGAUGUGACACAAAACCAAUCAGUGUGAGAUUUUCUGACUUUAUGAAUCUUCAAACUUCUUCCAAAAAGCUUUUUUUAACUGUAUGCAAACAUAAUUACAGGCUAACAUGCAAAAGCAGUUUUUUUAUUUGCAUUCCUGACAAUUUCCAAAAUUGUUUCAGACUUUUCAGCCCUUAAUUUGAAUUCGUCUUAGUUUGUGCAUCCAUCAGCAAUUAAUACUGUUUUUCUUGGCCCUCUGUCCCCUCAGAUUGUAUCUUAAAGGUGGGGUAGGCAGGAUCUGAGGAAGUGCCAGUCCCUCUCUGCUCCAACAAGCCCCGCCCACAAACAGAAGCUCGCGCUCGUCCGUAUUGUUCCAAUUAAAUUCAAAUAUAUUGCAGAUAAAUACUUCAGAUAAUUACAAAUGGGGCCCAGUCAAGGUGAAAGUCAAAAGCAUUGGUGCUACUGUAGAUGCCAACAGACUACCAGCAAACACAAUGUUUGCAGGACUUCUAUAACGAGGAUAAAGUGACAUAGUCCAGGACCCGAGGUCAACAGUUUAGCGAUGGCGCUACAACACGCUACAGCAGGUCGGUUUGACAAGAAACACUUCUGUUACAGACACUUGUCUUACUUUGUUAAAGCGGUUUACCUGUCCAGCAGAAAGGUUACAGGGUCACCAAGAUCCCCAAGCGUCCCCCAUCAUUGUUGACCCGGCUUUUUAGCUCUUGUCCGGUCUACCUCCGUUUUAAUCGCCUUAUUCCUCCAGAGUCUCCGGUAUUUACUUUGUAUUCUUGCUUGUGUCGGCAGUCGUGGCCAAAGGAGGAUUCAGACCAUUUUCCGAACUUUCUGGUUGGUUUCUACUGUCCGAUAUUGUCGCACGCUAACUUUGUUUGGGCUCCUGAACGACACGGGGGGCAGCGUCUGCCUCACAACCAACCAAACCAAAUUUUAUAAUGUUGACUACACAGACACAACAAAACACAGCGAUAUCGUAAUAUUACCAAAUGUCAUCAAUAACAAAUAGCUAUUGACUGAUAUCAAAAGCUUUUUUGUAUAAACACCACAAAAAAAGAUGCUUCUUUAACCCCACCUUUAAUCCAGCGUAGUGUCACUCAAAGAUCAUUCAAACUUUCCUUCAUAGCUUCUUUUAUACAAUAACUCAGGGCCAUGAAUUAGAGCCUGAACCAUUACUGACAUUCGACACCCUUCACAUAUCAGAUGUGUUGUGGAAAAAACUAUCAUGGUGAAGUGGAAUGACCCAUCUCAAGCAAACCUAGAAGAGGUGACAGGCAUUUCUGGUGUACUCUAUCUGUAAUUCUUUGUUUGGCCGCUGCAGAAAAGGAUGCAUGAUGGCUCUGCUUUCUACUUCCACAAACAUGUCAACAUGGAGAUUCUUACUCUUGAGAUGCUUUCACUGUGCUGCAGCAGACUAAAUGCUCAGCUUUGUCAAACAGAGAGCAGAGCACUUAUCAGAGGCGGAGAUAUCUCUGCAGCCACAGAUCGCCAUCUCUGUUUCACUCUCCCUCCAUCUACGUCUACUUUCUCGCUCUCUCAUCUCAACCUGUUGUUGUUCUUCUCUAUGUCCUCUCCCUCCAUCCCCCUCGUCUCUGAUCUUCUGCUGCCGUCUAAGCUUCAAAGGUGGUGAAGAGGUUUGCCAUCUCAUCUUCCUCGCCACAGAACCCUUCAUCUUCUUCAAACAGCAGAGUGCAAAGGCUAACGGAGGGUUUCAGACAUCCUCUAUUCUGUUGCUCUGUGUCUCUCUGCAGAGACACUUUGACAGAAAUGCUCUCUGGGUGAAGACAGGGCUGAUCUUCAAAUUGACCUCAGACCCUCUCACUCUGAUCCAGUUUAUAUUUUAUAAUUCACGUUGUUUCUGCUAGUUUGGUUUCAGCGAUAGUUUCCUGAAAAUGACAGUCUGCCACCUGGUACCACAGUAUUAGAGCAUGGUGGACAACUGUUUUACCGUGGUCGUGACGUCCUGUGAGAACUUUUCUGCUCACAGCCAAAUUGAAGAAAAUAAAAAGAAGAAAACCAUCUGAGGGUAGAUGUAAAUUUGGCACCGAAUAGAUCCCAGUGAAACACAACAAUUUAAAGGGAAGUUACUGUUAAGUUAUCAAGUUGGAGGAACUCACAUUGGUUUUAAAAAAUUCCAGUUCCAAAAAAAAGUGAACGUUUAUACUAGGGCCAGACCAAUAUGGAUUUUUUUGGGGGCCGAUACCGAUUAUUAGGGGGGAAAAAAUCAGAUUACCAAUUAAUCGGCCGAUUUUUUCAAUUUAAAAGUUAUAGUAUAUAUAUAUAUAUAUAUAUAUUGUAGAUAUCAACAGUAUACUUUAUACCGUAGAUGUACUGUAGGCUACUGCUCUUCACGCCGACAGGAAGACCGACUGAUCAAACUGAUCAAAUAGCUCAGUCACUAAUGUGUACUGUUGUUUAUUCUACCGUCACUGGCACGGCUAACAGUGUAGCAAGGCUAAUAGCAGGUGGCUAACUCUAACUUUAGCUUGCAUAUUACAUGGUGAUUCACCGUUAACUCGGCGUGACCGAGACCAGCACAGCGGGGAACAUGGUGAAGUGGUUUGAACUGAAACUUGUUGACUUAUUGUGUAUUUCACAAACUGGUUUAUUUACCGUUGAGGCGGACCACUCUCCUCCGUGCGUCCCUGAGCUGCCUGCUUCAGAUCCGUCACUCUGCUGUGCUGUGAGGUAGUUAGUGGAUGAAGAUUGUCAUGAGGUCGCUGCGCCAUCUACAGGAUAAGUGGGGGAACUUUUCAAAUGGCAGAACAUUUUCAAAGUGAAACCGAAUCUCAUUCUCCGCAUUUCAUUUCUGAAAAUAUUGGUGAAAAUCGUCAAGUUUUGGCCGAUUACCUCAAACGGGCUUAAAUUGGCCGAUUUAAUCUGUUGACGCACCUCCCUUCCUACUGGCUCACUCAAUAAAAAUGCAGUAAAAGAUGAAGUUCAAAUAUUGGGUCCAUAAAAUUUUUUUAAUUAAACCAAUAAAGGCUGUAAAAUGUCUUACAGAUCUUAAAAAGGAGAAUUAAAAUAAAAGCAGUAGCUCAUCAGUGAAAAGUCAAGUUCUUUCUUAAAUCUGUAACUCACACCUAACUGUUUUAUUCGGGAAAUAUAAUGUCAGACUUGAAUUUUAAUUACAAGGAUGAGCGAUAUAAAAGACCCAGUCCGUUUAACCUUAUUAAUACAUUUAUCUAUGUAUUUGUGUAGGAUUAAACGGGAUUAUACAACAUGUUUUCAUGCUAAACCUCUUGGGUGUGAUGCACCAGAGGGCCACAUGCUAAACACACACUCUCACACACACACAUUCCUCAUCUCAGUGCGAGCAGACUGACUGAGUAGUCUCACUAAAGGCUUUUUAAUAGACUGCUUUGUGUGGGAGGGGGGACUCUGGGUGACGGGUCGAGGUCUCGGGGGAGACUUAGAUUGGGGGUGGGGGGAUAAACGGCUCAUUGAAAACCCAACAAAGCAGAGAAUCUAUGUUAGCUUCACUGCUGAAACUACAAUAAUUAUUCAAAACAACAACAACAAAAUCAUGAUGAGAUGAAAAAGACUCCAGUCUGCCUGCUCCAUGGCUUAAGACUUGGAGGUGCACAGUACAACUUUAAAUUUGAACUGGCUAACUUCUACUACUUUGCUUUCCAAAAGAGCAACCUGUUGUUAAAAAUGAUGCCAAUGUGUAGUUUUAAAAGACUGCAGUUCCUAGAGUGUCCACUAGAGACCUGAAGAAAAGUAAUACUGUGUCUACAGAGCCCAAGGCUGCACGAGUUAGGCUCUCACUUCUCUCCUUUCUUGGGGUGGAGAGAUGGAAGAAGUGAGAGGAGAAGGAGGAGACAGGGUUGUGUUUUGGUAUGAAUUUAAUAUGUAAACGAUCAGCCGGUCAGCCAUGUUGAAUAUACCGGUGAAUCUGACGUCGCAGGUGGACACACAGUAUGCAAAACUUUUUUAGGGUUCAAAAAAAAAUAUUGACGUCCGAAAUAACCGCACGAAAAAAAAGCUUCCGGUAGGUAAGGACCUUAAGUUUUGGUGUUUUAAAGGGCCGUUUAUUAAAGCUUGUUUAAUUAUUGGAUUUCUAUUUGAUGCGUAUUUUAAUUUUUUGUUUUGUUUUGUUUUUAUGGAGAGAUAUGGCAGGAAAUCAAAAGCUGGUUGUAGCAUGAGAAAUAGCUGUUGCUGAUGAGUUAUAUUAGGAAACAGGGCAUGUAAACUGAGCUUUUCAUUUGGGUUCGAGGUUUUAGUACCCUACAUAUCUAUUUCCAGAUGUCCUGUUGUCCAAUGCUGUGUCCAGAGCAGAUGUCAUUUACAUAAAUAUGAUAUAAACACCUCUUUAGCGGUGAAUUUGAGAGCAGUUUUGAGGAUUUUCUUUUUCUAAAUUACAAACUGAGGUUGUAACUUUUUGUCAGCCUAAUGACUUGUCAAAAUGUUCCAUCCUGAUUAGACAUAGGUGUGAAAAUAAACAGGAACAUGCAGCCACUUUCUAAAACUGGAAUAGUUGGGGGAGAUUCGACUGGUCCAGAAGCUCCAGUUUCAGGUCAUCAGAAGGUGACAUGUUUGACUGCAUCAUCUCGGGGAAGGCGAGAUGUUUGGCUCUGGCGCGUGUUUCCCGUCCCCUCUCUGCUGCAGAGAGUGUGAAUGAAGACGUUUAUUACAGCGGAGACACAGAGGAUUAGCACAGGGCUUAAACCAUUCUCAUGGUAAUGCGUGGAGCUGGGAGCGCGCAGAUAAACACAAACACUCACCUUAUCGAAACACCCAGACCUGAAAGACUACUCCUUAACAGCAACCACAGACCGGCUGAGAGACGCCGCAGACAACAGGAAGCAGACUCAGAGUGAGGAAGAUGUCAGUUUGUGGAGGCAGAUUACGGCCUCUUUCAAAAAUAAUGUCUGGACAAUAAAAUCAUUUAAGGUACAUCCAUCACACUCAGAGGAAGGUGGGAGGCCAUUGUCAAAGCUUAGGCUAAAAAACAACAACACAUGGACCUCAGUUCAGGGCUGCAGGACUGGACAUUUAGAGUGAUAUGUGGUUUAAGUUUUUAGGUAAGGUCCCCAUGCAAGAAUAAUGAAGCGUUAGGAUCUUCUUCACAAGUUAAACCUGAAACACCAGGAGACCUUUUUGUUGCCUUUUUUAUAUGAAAACUUGGGACAGUCUCAGCAGAUGACUGUCUAACAUAAAUCUGGUUCCGCUCAAAGUUUCUGCCCUUUAAAGAAAGUUUUUCCUCUCCUUCAACUUGGUAAAAGCGGCGAAGUGUUACACUCAUGGUAGAUUGAGAUGGAUCAGAGUGGGUUUGAUUUUAUGAGAUGUGACAAUGGUUGGACAUGGACAAGGUUGGACAAGUGAUACUUUAGGUUAGUGCAUGCAAUGAGAGCUUACCUGUGCCAACAUUACUGUAUGAAAAAGGUGUCAAUUUUCUAAUUACCUCCGCCAAGGAGGUUUUGUUUUCGGUAGCGUUGAUUUGUUUGUUUGUUUGUCUGUUAGCAACUUUACGGAGAAAGUUACAGACGGGAAAUUUUCCCCAGAGGUGCGUCUCAGCCCCAGGAGGAUCUUUAUCGUUGUGAGAUAGGGCAAAUUUGGAAUUUUUGCAUUUAACUCGAUAAAAAUGUCCAGAGUGUUUAGUAAAAAAUGACACAAAAGGAUCUCAAUGACUUUAUGAGGUGUCAAAGGUUGAUCCUGAUCCAGACAAAAUUCUGGAUACUGUGAUCCAGAACACACAAAAAUAAGGGUGUCGUUGGAAUUUUCAAUGCUGAAAGAUAACCAAUGGGCGGCACAGUGGUGUAGAUAGGCGGCACAGUGGUGUAGUGGUUAGCACUGUCGCCUCACAGCAAGAAGGUCCUGGGUUUGAAUCCCGGUCAGGGCAUUUCUUGUUUAAGGGGGGACAUGAGCUCCUUGGCGGAGGUCUGCGCUCUCCGAGUGCUUUUCUAGUAUUGGUAUAGCUCUUCACAAACAUCUCUGUCUUGUAGAGGUUUAAUCAGCAGACUGUUUUCUCUCAUAAAGUGGUUGUAAUGUGCGCUAAAAUGUUUACAUGAUGGAGCAGAGAGGACAGCUUACUCUCUGCCAUCAUAAUCCACGGUAUCGUCUCUGCUCCAGGCCAUCCUCAGCGCUCACUCGUACCUUCUUCACAUUGUUGUCCGACAACAAUCUCAGCUCACAAAUCCAUGAACCUUCAAAUCUUCUCUCUUGGCGUUGGGUUUGUUGUUUUGUGUUUUGGCUCCUUGAAGAGGAAAUGGGGAAGAAGCUGAGCUCUUGGGAUUUUUUUUUUCUGAUCCCUCUUUUCAAUGAACUCUUCAUCUUUAAACAUCAGGGUAACAGCAGAUCAUGGAGUGAGGAAGACUCCAAGAUUUGUCUGCCAUCGUCGUCUGAAAAAGAGGAGUGAAGUGCGUGCAAUUCAGAGUCUGACACUGAUGACUCUACAGAGCCGUGAGUUUAUAUUUGAUGCCCUGAAACAGUCUGGCGCCAACACUGAUCGUAUUUACAACUCGACUGAUUUUAAGGGGCAAGUCUAGGUCACAUCUGGAGUCUCUCAAGGACAAGUUCACGUCAGGGUUUUGGGACCAACAUUAACGUUUAACCUCUGCAGUAUCCUUGCCAGAACUAUGAGGUAUGGACACAUGCUCUUUCUCCUCCUCCCUCCUCUUCCUCUCCCCCACAGUGACAGAGAUGUAGCUUCCAGAUCUCUCCCCUGCCACCUCUGAUUAGAGCCGGCGUGGGUGAGACACACCUGUACAGCUGAUGGGAGACAAUGCGGCCGCUUCCUCCCAGAGAUUGAUUUUCUCCAUUAAAACGGGCCCUUUGUCUAAAAACCCUGCACCCCUUUUGUUAUGCUAAAGAGAAGAUGGAAGAUUUCCAAUUCAAUUUGGGCUGAGACGAGGGCCGGUCAGCUAUAUGGGCGGCCAUUGUUCUGGCUGAGCCCGCUGGGACGACACUAGCGUCUCCCAAACGCCAAUUAAGCUGGACGGAGAGACGGACAGGGGGAUAAUUGACAGGCAGGAGAAAGGCAGCCGUCUUCCUCUCUGUCUCAUCAUUGAAAAAGAAAAUCAAAGAGAAGGAGCAGCAGAGGGGAGGAAAAGUGAGGGAUGAGAGGGAGAACAAGCAGGAGAGGAGUAAUAACCUGUAAUAUGCUGCCCAGAGCAAAUUCAGAUUACAAGAAGUGUUUAGCUCACGGACGCGACUUUGACCCGGGAGGCCGAGUAAAGACAAAGAGAGCCGUGAUUGAAAUCGGAACUUUGGUUUAAUGAUGAUUGAUUUCAUAUUUGAGAAAAUAAGGCCAAGUCUUCUCAGAAAUGACACGUCCUUAAAGAGCGCGUUUUACAUUAACUUUCAUUAUCUUCAUCCUUCAUCAUUAACCUGUCACAGGUCCACUCCUGUUUUAAUCACUUAAGAUGCAUCUAAUUAAGGGUAAUUUAAGGCAAACUCUUUAAUACUUUCACACUCAUCUCAGAGGAUGUCUUAAGAAAAGGUGGACUUGUCAUCUCUGUUUUAUCAGUAAGCUGUUUUAGGGCAGCCUGAGCAUACCAACAACUGAUAUAGUCUGUUUUGAGGUAAGAGAGUCCAUUCAAGACAGUCAGAUUCUUCACUUCUGUCAGUGAGACGGGUCUGUGUCACGUAUCUGAUGUAGGACAGCGUCUUAAAGGGACAUGAGACCAUAGUCUACCUACACACAUCCAAAACCAACUCUUAUUUAUUUACUUUUUUGACACCGAAUAUACCGAUACGGGCAAAAUGAUGUCCGUUAUUGUUGUAAAUUUUGGUAUCGAUAAAUAUUCAGUUUAUCGCCCAGUCCUAUGAUGAAGUAAAUGGUAUCCUAUCUUGAUUUUAGUGUUGGUGGAUGUACAACAAAGGGCAUAGUCUGAACCUCAUGAGGGUAUAGGGAUUACACAUCUUGGGACUCAGUGCUUUUUAUUCAAAGUUUGAUAAAAUAAUAGAUUUUCUCCCCGCAAAAACGUUUAGCAGAGGUGGGGGCUUGACGACUCGACUUGAGACUCGACUUGGACUUGAGUCCCGUUUUUGACUUGCUUGAUGUUCAUAAAAUGACUUGGACUUGCUUGGGACUUGAUUGCUAAAGACUUGAGAGCAAAGACUUGAGACUCGACUUGGACUUGCAUAUAAGGACUUUCCCCCACCUCUGCCAUUUAGAUUGUGUAAAGGAAUGCUAGGAUGUUUUUUUUAGGUCUGUUUCCCUCCUUUCUGAUGAAAGGUUUGGUCUGUUGGGGAUGCUUGACUCCAUCUUACCCUUUUACCCUCUGAGGGUACCCAGAGUCUAAACUCUGUUUUAUACAUUUUUUUGCUACAUUUGUUUGUGGUUCUUUUCUUUGUUUUGUUGUAUGAUUGGUUAUUAAGGUACCCCUUCUUUUUAUUUUUGCAUCAUUUUACCAACUUUAUUCUGAAUUAUUGAGUGACCAAACGUCCUCUUAUACCCAGACAUGUCACCUUUUUGGGGGGCUGUCCGACCUGUCCAGGAGGAGUUUAUAAAAUCCUUCAAAUGUCCGAGGUUUUGUGUGGAAGUUGGACUAACUGAGUUAAAAGCGCUUAAAAACACUCGACCCGACCUGAAAAACCCUCAAAAUUUUGUGUGCGACUCUUCCCCACAUAGUAGUGUCCUCUUUUUUGGGGGAUUCAGAAUAUUGUCACCCUAGAAUUAUUUCUGAGAUUCUCUGGUCAGGGUCAGAACUCAGACUCAAAAGUGUACCUUUGUCUACGUCAGACCAUAAGGUUCAGGUUUGGGAUUUGAGAACCAAACAAUCUGCAGAGGUGAAUCAGUCUAAUAAGAACAGUGAAAUCCAGCUUGCAACAAGUCUUUGUCAGGGAUUGCUGCUGGAUAUGCUUUGUCAUGCCUCUGUUCAAUCAGGAUCAGUGCUCAAGCUUUUAAUUAAAGGGUUAUUACGCAGACUUUAAGUCAAACAUCCACCUGUGCAUGAAAAGCACCUUUUUAACAUUUCCUUACUGACAAAUCCAAUUAGCUCUUUCCUCAGCUGCUUUCAUAUAUGAGACCUGAGCUGAGAGGCUUGAUUUGGGCUCAGAAAGGCUGGAAUUCCUGGUUUUAAACCCAGAGAUGAUUACAGUGAUACAGACACAAAGACGUUCAGUACCUGCUCUCCUUCAUUUCUCCACAGAGAGCUUUGUGAAUGAAUUAAAUUCACCAUAGACUGGAUACCUGCUCACUCUCAGUGGGAGCCUCAUAACUCUGUGAAUUAUAUCUCUCCAAAUGCGUUUUUAUCCGUCUGGUAUCUGAAGAGAGGUGUAUUGAUAUGUCACCUGAUAACGCGUAACAAAUUGUAAAAUCACAUGAAUCUUUUUGGGAUUGAAACCUGUAUCUUGGUCACUUUUUUUAAUCUCAUUUUUAUGCUGUAAGUCAACUCAAACUAUAUGCACCCUGUCAUUGACUUGUACUGUACAUAUCUGCAAAAAUAACAUGUUUUUCUCCACUUUCUCUCUUCCAAACCAAUUUUUUUUUUUUUUGGUGUUUCUUACUGUUUCUCCUUCAAAUCAUAAUUUCUCUCGCUUUUAUCCCUCCACCCCUCCUUUUUCACUUUCCCUCUCUCUGCUGGCUUGUGACAGACGGCCUAAUAGGAUUUAAUAAGCCCCAUUUGCAUGUCAGCCUUUUAAAUUUUCUGUAAGAAAGAAAGGCAAAAGGAGGGACGGGGGGGUGGAGAAGGAGGGAGGGAGAGAGGGCGUGAAGGAAAAGAAAGAAAGAGAGGAAGAAAGGAGGGCGGGAUUGGAGUGAGCGUGACGGCGGACGAUGAUUUAAAGACCCUUUUCCUCUUUUGAUUCAUGUAGAGAAGCAUCAGAACUGCCAAUAUCUGCAUUUUUCCUGGACUUGUCCAUCAUGAUUCUCUGGCAGAGCGAGCAGAGAUCUGAUUUCAGUGCGGGGAAAAUAGCUCAUUAUUUUUUUAUUGGCAUUUUUUGGUCUGUAUGUUGUUCCAGUUUGUCUCGAACACGACAAAUAUCACAUUUUGUUGGAAAUUUUAUUUUCAGUGAGAGCUGGCAACUUCACGUCACUUUCACUAAGUGGCUUUUGUGCUUUUGUUUGGGGUUUUUGAAGGUGGAGUGCAACAAAAAGGUCAAAAAUUCAUCACUGUAGACAACGAGAUAUCGAGUAAUACAGGACAAUCAAUUUCAGCCACUUCACAGAGCUCCUCUCUGGUCAUUUGAUGUUCAAAAUGGUUGAAUGUUCUCACUAUGAAACACAACAGGUACAGCUUUUUACUAAUAACUCUCUUCUUCAAAUGUUGGUCAGGGAUUUAACCUCUUUCCCCUCAAAACAGUGACAUUUUUAUUGAACGUUAGUUUUUUUGGAGGUGAAAUCAGUACAUCGUGUCAAGCCAAAGUUUGAAAAAAGAGGAGGCACAUGACAGAGCAGCUAAGUAAGAUCUUAUCGAAUCUUAUUGAAUUUCCUUUCGGGGAUCAAUAAAGUUCUUCUCAUCUUAUCUUAUCUUAUCUUAGUUUCUCAAUAUCUUUCGGGAGCCAUUUUUAUGGAAAGGGUUCUGCAAAACUUAUAGAAUAGAAUAGAAUAGAAUAGAAUAGAAUGCUCUUUAUUGUCAUUAUACAAACAUUGUACAACGAGAUUGGAGAGGGUCUCCCAUUCAGUGCAAGUAAAAAGUAAAAGUAAAGGUUUAAAAUAUAAAAUAUAAAUAUAUAUACGGAAAAGAUGCAAUAGAGUGUUGAAACAUUGUUGUUAAAUAGAUUCCACACAGUGGACAGUAGCAGCGACGGUAAAAAAACUUAUUGCACAGUAGGUAUGGCUAUGUAAAGAUGAAUACAACAGUGUUACAUGCCGGAGUUCAGGGUGGUGAUGGCUAUGGGGAAAAAGCUAUUUCUCAGUCUAUUCGUUCUUGCUUUGAGACAUCUGUAGCGCCUGCCAGAGGGCAACAGCUCAAACAGCUGAGAACCAGGAUGUGAAGUGUCUGCAGUGAUGUCACAGGCUCUGCUGAGACACCGGGAGGUGUAGAUGUCCAUCAUGGACGGUAGAGGACAGCCAACGAUCCUCUGUGCUGCUCUGAAUGUUCUCUGAAGCCUCGUUCUGUCAGCCUCAGUGCAGCUCCCGUACCAGGUGGAGAUGCAGUACGUCAGCAGGCUCUCGAUGGCUGAGCAGUAGAAGGCCAGCAGCAGCUUACUGUCCGAGUUGUUCCUCCUGAGGUCUCUCAGGUGGUGUAGACGCUGCUGAGCCUUCUUGAUGACAGUUGUGUGUCCAGGAGAGGUCAUCGGAGAUCUGGACUCCCAGGAACCUGAAUGUGUGGACUAAAGUAUUAAAGUUAAUGAAAAAUUAACUUUAAUACUUUAUGGGAAUCAUGUGACCCACGGGAAUUCCCAAAAAAUGUCAUCCUCUAGUUUAUAUCGCCCAGCCCUAUUUCUUACAGGAGCUUAAACUUCAGCCAUGCAGGUUGCAGCUCCAACAAAUGCAUGUAGUCCUCUAUGGUUUCACACUACAUCAAGAUUGUUGUUGAUGUAAUCUUUGUCAAUCUUUUGUUCAUGAUGAAUUACUGUUAUGUUUUUUUUUGCAAAAAAGUGUCACUGAGUAGAUCGAGACCUGCUAUAUAUGGUUUAAUGUUAAUUGUACAAUUUGGCAUAGGUUUAAUAUUUGAAUUGUUGAUAGCUGGAAAAUCUCAAUUUUUUUGUUUUAAUCAUGAGAAUUAAUUUUUUCCGCAAAGAGUUGAAAUUUUUUGGGACGGUGUUUUUUGCUCCUCCAGCUCUGGAAUGAAGAGAGAAAUGUUAGGCAAUAACAGUGUGUGUGUGUUUGUGUGUGUGUGUGAUGGGGAGGCUGUCGCUCUGUAAGGAGGAUAAAAGGUCCAGCCAAAAACCAUGAGAGUCACACACACACACAUCUCCUCUCACACUCACACACUCGGUAAUCCCCAUGUUGGUAGCUGAUGUUUAUUGGCGUGUAAUAGGAUCAGGAUGAGGCAGCGUCAAUAUCAGAGCAAACAUCUCACACCCUCUCUCUCUCUCUCUCUCUCUCUCUCUCUCUCACACACACACACACACUCACACACACACACUCAGCCGCUGAUCAAACAUAGCCCAGGAAACAUUGUGAUCCAGGAGAGAUGAGAGGACUAAUCCUUUUAGCCUUCUAAGAAGACUCUCCUCCUCCUCCUCCUCCUCCUCUUCGUCUCUUUCUCUCCCCGGCUCGCUUCCUCAAUCAUUCUUCUGUUACUUUUUUUUUUUUUGCUUGACAACAUUGUUUCCCCUCUCUCUGUGCCACUUUCACUGACAGGGACAGGGCUAAAGAGAGAGAGAGAGAGAGUCUGAGCUAAAUAUACCCGCUGUGUGUUUGUGUUAAGAGCAGAUUGAUCUGCUUGGUUUGCUCAGAGAUUAGACCUGAUAAAUCCUCCUUUUUAAACUGAACCAGCCCUCAUCAGCCUCCUCCCUCCCACACUGCAUUCAUGUGUGUGUGUGUGUGUGUGUGUGUGUGUGUGUGUGUGUGUGUGUGUGUGUGUGUGUGUGUGUGUGUGUGUGUGUGUGUGUGCCAUCAUCCCUACAGGACUGAACCAUCAGAAUUUAGAGUUUUAGUUUGGGCUAUUUAAAUUUGAAAGGAUGAAACCACUUUUGGGGGCACCACAGAAUCAUGGCUGAUAACCCAAUAUUUGAUGCAAAGUCAAGAUUUGUCUCCUCCUAAUUACAGAAAAUCAUGAUUAAUAUUUUCUCUUUUGAUUGUAUGAAGAAACUAGAAAAGCACUCGGAGAGCGCAGACCUCCGCCAAGCAGCUCAUGUCCCCCCUUAUAUUGUGAUUCACACCAAAACUUUUACUGUUACGUGUCUUUUAUGAACUUUUAUUUGUGUUUAAACUGGUAUGUUCACUGUUCAUAAUGUUCCUAAAACAAGAAAUGCCCUGACCCGGAUUCAAACCCAGGACCUUCUUGCUGUGAGGCGACAGUGCUAACCACUACACCACUGUACCACCUAUCUACACCACUGUGCCGCCCAUUGGUUAUCUUUCAGCAUUGAAAAUUCCAACGACACCCUUAUUUUUGUGUGUUCUGGAUCACAGUAUCCGGAAUUUUGUCUGGAUCAGGAUCAACCUUUGACACCUCAUAAAACUCAUUGAGAUCCUUUUGUGUCAUUUUUUACUAAAGACUCUGGACAUUUUUAUCGAGUUAAAUGCAAAAAUUCCAAAAUUUGCCCUAUCUCACAAUGAUGAAGAAUCCUUCAAAAAAUUCCUGGAUCCAGAAGGCGAUCCGGAUCACCACCAAAAUGUAAUGGGAUCCUCCUGGGGCUGAGACACACCUCUGGUGAAAAUUUCAGGUCAAUCCGUCUGUAACUUUCUCCGUAAAGUUGGUAACAAACAAACAAACCAACGCUACUGAAAACAUAACCUCCUUGGCGGAGGUAAAAAUGUGCUCAACUUUCAAGUCAUUCAUUUUUUAGACUUCCCUCUCGAUAGGAAGACGAGUUACCCUCCCUUAGUAUCUAUCCGGUAACUACACUGGAUUGAAACAUGGCAUUUUCAUGGUAACAAUCUGAUGAAUUCAGUGGGGGUUUGGGGGCUGCGAGCUGAGCUGAUUCUCACUCUAGUUCAAUUGCUGACUUGUUUUUCUGGAUUAAUUUGUAUAGAAGAAAAUGAGACGGAGUAGUAAUGGCCACUGGAAUUGAAUCCAGUAAUUGUUAAAAACACUUAAGCAAAUUAAUAAACAAAACUUUAACUGGUGUUGGGGGGCUGUGAGCUGAGCGAGCUGACUUUUAUUUUAGCCAAUUUUGACAUGCAAGUUGAAUAUUCUUUUUUGCCAAACAAAUGUAAAUCAGUUCAGUAAUUAAAAUCGUUUAGUGCUCUAAAACAUCGUCUCUUCCAGACACUUGCAGUCAGGUUCAGAGUCCUAUGAGCUGAGCAGACCUCAGCUCACCAGUUGACUGUAUUUCUCUGGAUUGACGCAUAAUAGAACUCUAUUUUAUAUACAACCGUGCCGUCAGAUGCAUGUUCGGAAUGACUGGUCAGAAGCAUUAAAUAAGCAUGUAAUGCAAAGGUUUACAUGUACUCCCACUGCAGGAGUACACAUGCUUGUGAACAUGUGUGUAUGUCUUCAAACAGAGCUGUGAGUGCUUAAUGAAUUUACUCUGCUCUGAUUGGAAAUUAAUUAAAACAGCCUCAAACAGACAGCCGCCCACAGGGAGCCCCAGCAACACACUGACAGACAGAUUACUGCUCCGAGGGGGAGGAAGGGGGAGAGACAAGGGGGGGGUCCAGAACUAUCAGGUGCACCUUCUGCAACCCCACAUGCCAUGAGUUAUAAGCACCGUCUACUUGUUGUCAAAUUUAGAAACUGUGCUCUGUGGAUUUCAGCUGAAUUAUCUGUUACUAUAGUCUAAAGUUUAAACAAUAUACUGAAAAAAAAAAUAGCUAAGCUCUUUAGUUUUGUUAUCAGUGUCACAAGCCUCCAGACUGUAUUUCUUAUUGUAGUUCUCUUGGAUUUGUAAGGUCAAAUGAAACUCUUUACACCAAGGUAUACGUGCAUAACUCUAAGGCUUACAUUAACCAAACAUUUCCAGGGCAAAUCUACUUCAAUUAUUUGUUCAUUUUCUUUUAAAUGAAGUUAAAAAAAGCUGCAGGGACCAAAACAGGAUUUGUGUACCAGGUUAUGAACAUGUUAAUUUCUGCCAUAAAGUUGGUCAUUGUCAAAAAGGGGACCCAAUAGGGAUUGACUCACUUUCGGAGCCAGCCUCUAGUGGACAUUUGAGGAACUUCAUGUUCCUGAAGGCUGUCAGUAACUACUAUUAAAUGUGUAAAUAUCUUCGCAUUUGAAAGUGUCUCAAGCUGAUGAUAAUAAAAAAAUAUACAUCAGUGUAAAGUUUCUUAAAGUUAAAACAUUUUUACAUCUGAAUGAACACAAACAUUAGUUAUUUUCAUGUGUUUGAGCAGUUUUUAAGGUUGAUGUCAGUCCAGCUUAUUAAACUGUGAAUGUAAAUAAAAUGAACCGAAGUAUUAGAUUAAUCCCUAUGACAGCUGAAACUGAAUGCACAUCUAUGAAUGAUUUUCCUCCAGCGAGACAAGUGUGAAUGAGACGAGACAAGUAAUAAGACAGACAAACAACAGACACGUCAAUAGUGACAAGUUACUGUACUGAAAGAGGACAAAUCUGACCGCGUCCUUUCACAUUAUCACAUUGUCCUUUCAAUCAGAGAAUUUGAAAACCUCCUCCUUCACAUGCAUGGAUGCCUUUUGAUAGGAUUAAUACCAUUAAAUAACCAAAUGACUCACACAAGUCUUCGCUGAAAUACUUUAAAUCCUCGUCUUUAUCCGAGCUUCUCUCUUUGCAGACCCCAAACAUACAAAACUGUCACUGGAUCACUUUGACACCAGAAGUAAAAACACUAAUCAUGACAGAAAAAUAGUAGUAGUUUAUUUGUCCCAUAGGGAAAUUGAAUUGCAGAAGAUCACACAUUUGGCAUUUCAUCAAGAACAGUACAGAUAAAAAAAAUAAAACAGCAUGUAAACAACUUUCACACAGAAUUAACAGUAAAAAUAAGUAACAUCAUAAUCACACUUCCUAAGUCUCACCUUUAACCUGAUCAGACCAGCUGAGCAGGCUUUAGGUGACUAACUAUGUGUUGGGUCUAAAACCUGCAACAAAUGACUCAAACACAAAGAAGAGAAAGACAAUGGUAUCAGAUUUCUUACUCGCGAGGAGAACGGACAGAGAUACGUUCAAUUACAAUCUCCUCCCGCUCUAAAGUCUAUCUUGUCGUCUCCUCUCUUUUUAUUAUCCUUAGGGUGGUCCCUACUUACAUGACGCUGCAUACACUAAAGGGUGGGGAAUCAAUCUGCUGCAGCGUAUUCACUUACAUAACACAUAAUUAUACUAGAGUAAAUAUGUGCAGACUUCUUCUGGAGAUGUCAAGAUGACCGCUGACAUUUCACAGUCUCCUUUGUGGUGGUUAACUGUUCACAGCGGAGACAGGUACCCAUCUGCUUACAGGAAGAAGGCGAGCUCAGAGAUGUAAGAAAAACACACGAGUUGCAAAGCAGAAGCUGAGUAAAGCUACUGAUAAUUUCUAUAAACUUUUAUACACAUUACCCUAACACUAUGGCUAUUUGGUAUUUAGGCAUUUAACGUUUUUCCUGUCCUGUCUCUGUAGAUGUCUUCCAUACAUGGUAGAGUAGUGCCCAGUAACUUACUGGAUAUGGAUAUAAUUUGUCUAACCCUCUUUUUCUGUGCCUCUGUGGCAUUGCCAAACCAGCAAGUAACACAAAAAGAAAGAAUCCAUUUGGAGCAUUCUCCUUUCAACAGUAAAAGACAGAAGUUUCUUUAAGUGGAACAUUCUUUGUUGAGACUUGGUACCAAUCCAAUCCAUUUUAUUUAUAUAGCACGAUUUAAACAAACACAAGGUUUCCAAAGUGCUGCACAGCAAGAUAAAAAUACAGUAAGUAACAGAAUAGAAGCACAAUAAAACAAUGAAGAUAAAAUAAAAUGAGAUGAAAACACAGUACAAUCAAAUAAAAAGCAAAUAAAAGACAAUAAAAAUGAAAUCAACCUUCUACUGAGUGUUAAAAGCCAAGGAGAAGAGAUGGGUCUUAAAAACAGACAGAGAGGAGGCCUGUCUGAUCUGCUGAGGCAGGUUAUUCCAGAGUUUAGGAGCAGCGGAUCAGCUGAUCUGAGAGAGCGGGACGGAGUGUAAAAAUGUAGAAGCUCAGAGAGGUACGGCGGGGCAAGACCGUUGAGGGAUUUAAAAGCAAAUAAAAGAAUUUUAAAAUGAACCCUAAAACGUAAAGGCAGCCAGUGGAGUGAAGCUAAAAUACAAGAGCAUGCUGGGAUUGAGCUGAUUUACGACAGAGAAGCAGAUUUAAUAUUUUAGUAUUUGUUUCUCUCCUCUCAGAUUCCCUGUUUGGACUCAUCGGUGCUGUCUAAGAGGACUCUCUCUUUCAGAUCAUACCAUUUCUUCAAAAGCUACGAACAGACCACAAGGUAAGACAGCUGGUUGUUCCUGAACCUGCAUGGUUUUGACUUUGACUUUCAUAAGCAUUUUUAUUUUCAUUUCUUAGUGGGCGUAAAUCACUAAAACUCUGAAAUAACUACCUUUAAAAUGUCUAUAAGAUUACUUCUGCAUCAAGGAAACCCCACAAACACAACCCAAGUUUCUUUUCUUUUUAAUUGAAGUAGUUUCAUCUUUAAAUUAAUUCUCUGACGUGAGCAUGUAGUAAAAAAACGAGGCCAGAGCUGAAGUUUCUGCUCCACGUGAUGCUCUGCUGCAGACGUUGAAGCUAAAAGCAUCAGGACUCCACCUGUUGCUGCGUCAGAGCUCUUCCUCCUCCGGUUCAGGAAGUGUUAACUGGCGAGGCUCGCUCAGGCAGACAAUGAUGUUAAAGACUAAUUGACGAGCACUUUAAAUAAGUCCUAAUUAGAGCACGGCUGGUAAUAAUUGGGCAGGCAGUCUGAGCACUAAUUAGCGUUAAAAAUAAGCCUGCUAUGUGCAUGUGUGUGUGUGUGUGUGCAUGUGUGUGUGUGUGUGCAUGUGUGUGUGUGUUACGGUGUGGAUGAAUGAUCUCUGCAGGGGGGCUGAUGAAGAAGCAGACGGAGUGAGAGAGGGAGAAAGGGGGAGAUAAAAUGCCGCCCCUCCUCGCUCUUUUGUGGUGGCGUGCAGUCUGUGGGUGGCCCCCUCUCUGCACGAGGUGGAGGGCAGGUGUUAUAUCUGUGUGUGUGUGUGUGUGUGUGUGUGUGUGUGUGAGUGAACUUGCUCCUAACAGGACUAAUUGAUUCUGUACCCUCUCCUUUUCCUGCCCAGUCUUUCCCUCUCUCGCACACUCUGUUUUUUCUCCUCCGCUCGGCCUCUAAUUGCAGAGAGGCAGCUAGGAAACAGCAGUAAUAGAUUUGCCACCUGCUGCACAGACACAUUAGUAACACACUCGAAUGACUUGUUUGCCUCUCUCUCUCUCUCCCUGCUGUUGUCUCUUCAUUGUUUACAGCGAGUCCUUUCAGCCAGCGACCCAGGUGUACUGAUCCCCCAUCUGGAUAUCAGCCAGCCUGCAUGUUAAAAAUACUACCAGGUGGCACUCCUCUUAAUGUAUGAGAUAUGUUUUCGCCAUAUUUCUUCGCUGUGACUCUGUUGAGUUAGUAGAGCUUGAGUCAUGCACUUUAUUUCUGAGGAGAGCUUUUAGCAGCUGUGUUGUCAACUAUCGGUGAGAAGCUCUGAACUUCGUUUCGGUCCAUUUCUCGUUUCUAUUCAUGUAAUUUACUGUAACUUUUAUUUUAAAAAGCGGUUAUUUUGAAUUCGAUGCUGGAAACAUGGGGAGAUAGUUGAUAUGGGAUCAUGUUUCUUAAUAUGUGUCAUCAGCUCUUCUCCUACCAACACUCUGUAAACAUUAGUGAGUCCAGGAGACCAGUUUCUGUACUCUGACAGUGAGAUAUUGUCCCAUUCUUGCCUGAUAGAGGAAGACUAGAGUCUCCUUUAUCCUACUUUUUUUGUCUUGAGGUACAAAAUAUUUUUAGUGGGUGUCAAGGUCCUUACACACCGGGGCUGAUGCGAAUAUAGAAUGUGAAAUUACGAAAUAUUCGGCAGAGAAUUUUGACAGGUGCUAGUCCGGCCUCCUUUGCCUCUGAUUGGCAAGGAAAUCUGGAAACGUCAUCACACGCUCAAGCCAAAUGGUCAGCACUUAUAGCAAGUCAGAGGCGAUAAGAUAAGCACAUGAAACUAUGCUAACAACCGUUAGCUUACGGCGACCGGUUGAUUGUUUACGUGUUGGAGAACAGAGUGAUUUUUGAUAAAAGACACAAACAUUACAAAGAUAACACCCGGAGGACAACAUAGUGUCGGAUCUCUCAUAUGACGAUGGUUUGUGCGCUUUAACAGUUUGAUAAACGUCUUUGUUUUAACUUUCAUCUGUGCUAAGUAACUUUAGCUCGUAAGCUAACCUGUUCAGAUACAACAUACCAUAUGUAUUUUCACUGUAAACUCAAACUCAAUCACAGCGUUUCUGUCACAGCACCAUUAGGUCUCAGUUGCGUUGUUCCCGGUGUGUAAGGAACGUAACUGUGAACACGGCGCUCAGAUGUUUUUAAGAGUAAAAUACUUUGUCAUGCGGCGAUUACAACUGGUAUAGCUAACAAUAACUAACAAUGGCUAACAGUAGGCGUCUAUCUUAGUUUUCUGACUUGUUUACUGGAACGCUGUCGACUCGGGUGUAACAUCAUUCCCAGCUUCGACAGCCGACUUCCGAGGUAACAAGAACGCAGCGUGAGACCUACUGGAAAAGAAAGUUAGUAUGAAUGUCAUAGUCUCUUUCCUGGAGAUAAAUGUGUGUGGAUGAUAAAAUGACUUGGACUAAUCUGAAUAUGGUCGUUCUUUUUUGUUAAUAUUUGAUCUAAUCUGUUAUCUUUAGUCUCGUUGGCUUAUCUUUUUAAGCUUCUACCCACAUUGCCAAAACUACAACCAAAUGGUUUGAUAUCCAAAAAGAAUGUAAAAUUUCCAUCUCUCAGACCAUACAACAUUUUUUUUCAAUUCCUCUCAAUCCAUCCUAAAACAAAUGGUUAUUGGGAGUGAUUUUGAACCCAUGCAGUGAUUUCCACUAUAGAGUCAUGUCUGUUUUCAACUUAGUACUGCUUAAGGACUUAAAGAUUACAGCCAUCCACUCUUGUUUUUAUCCCUUUUUGUACAGAGAUUUUCUCUUUUGAUGAUAUGAACCUGCCAUUAAACCUCAAACAUCGAAACUGUCGACAGAAUGUGGAAUCUGCUCUUUCAAAAGGGAGUGAUCUUGAGACAUAUCGAGCUGUUCUGAAAGACCCAUUUUCUUCAAGUUUAUGAGUAUUUUGAACUGUGAUCAGUGGUGAGGUCUGCUUUUCAAGUCCAAGAACUUGAAGUCGUGUCCUCUCUGUGUAACCGCAGCAGGAUUCAUCACUCACUCAGACUUAAAAUUAAAAAUUAUUUGAACCACUAAUUAAUGGCACAGCAGAGCCAGUCUGAAAUGAACUGUCUGGUUUGGAACAUGCCAGCUGUGCAGUUGUUGGUCUCUAAUUGCUGGUUAAUUAAUUAAACAUCCAGCGGAUUAGAGGAAUUAUGGGCAAUUGUCCUUUAACAACUCUUAACAAGGUCUUGAUUAUGGCCUCAGCUGUAUCCUGUGGCUCAAAUGAUCCUUCAAUUAGUGAUGGAAAGCUCUAGAAGAGACACAUUUGAGGAUGAGAUGAUGAAUAUGAGAUGCAAAGGUACUUUUUUUUCCAUUUCGCAGCAGCAAACUUUUUAUUCCUUUUUUUUAACAUUAACACAUUUCCAAUAUGGGAGUAAAAGGGUUUCUACAAGACCUUGUCCAGCUACAGGGUCAUUGGUGUUAGGUUUCAGUUUUUCAACUAAUGAGAAUGUUUUUAUUCAACAGCAGUCCACAGCAAUUUCAAUUUUUAUAAGAUUUAAAAAACACAUUUAUACUAUUAUUCUACUUGGUGCAUUCAACUGAUUACCUCCACAAAGGAGGUUAUGUUUUUGGUUGUGUUGGUUUGUUUGUUUGUUUGUCAGCAACUUUACUUAAAAAGUUACAGACGGAUUGACCUGAAAUUUUCACCAGAGGUGCGUCUCAGCCCCAGGAGGAUCCCAUUAAAUUUUGGUGGUGAUCCGGACAAAAUUCUGGAUACUGUGAUCCAGAACACACAAAAAUAAGGGUGUCGUUGGAAUUUUCAAUGCUGAAAGAUAACCAAUGGAUGGCACAGUGGCGUAGAUAGGCAGUACAGUGGUGUAGAUAGGCAGUACAGUGGUGUAGAUGGGCGGCACAGUGGUGUAGAUAGGCGGCACAGCGGUGUAGAUGGGCGGCACAGUGGUGUAGAUAGGCGGCACAGUGGUGUAGAUAGGCGGUACAGUGGUGUAGUGAUUAGCACUGUCGCCUCACAGCAAGAAGGUCCUGGGUUCCAAUCCAGGUCAGGGCAUUUCUUGUUUUAGGAACAUUAUGAAUAGUGAACAUACCAGUUUAAACACAAAUAAAAGUUAAUAAAAGACACGUAACAGUAAAAGUUUUGGUGUGAAUCACAAUAUAAGGGGGGACAUGAGCUGCUUGGCGGAGGUCUGCGCUCUCCGAGUGCUUUUCUCGUUUUUGUUAUGUUGUAAUUUUGAAGUAAAGCUGCAGUUUGUUCUACAACUUUUUCCUGCAAUUCCAACUUCACUGCACUAUAAUAAACUGGGGUGUUUUUGAGCUCUAAUAGGGCCUCAUACUUCCAGCUGCAUUCAUGUAUAAAACCGGUCGUAUUUCAGGACUCUGACACAUGGUGACGGGAAGAUUUCUCCAGCCUCUGCAGCCCUGUCACAGAGAUAAACGUUGUAGAUUUCCCAUCAUACACACAUGCACGCACACACACAUACACUGGUUGUAUGGAGAUAGGAAGGUGGCUGACAUUUGUGGAGCCCCGGGUGAGGACAUGGCCUUUUCUCCUCAUUUCUCCCGGCCAAUCACCCAGACUGAAAGGGGACGAAGAUAAGGCCUUUUGUUUGGCCUGACAAUGUCCCACUGAUACUGCCGUGGGAGACCAUUCAGUGUGCGAGUCUGUGUGUGUGUGUCUGCGUCUAUAUGUGUGUGUGCAUGCUGGGUCCCGUCCCUUAAAGACAGGGAGCCCCUCAGAGAAGUCAUUACAGGAGCAUUAUUCUCAUCAGAGCUGCCUCCAGACACUAAACUUCUACAUGCCCACGAUCACAGAGCUGAGGACAAGAUGGCGCACAAGAUCAGACUUUAAACUCAAAGUCCUGUGAGGAAUUUAUGAUCCUGUUUUUUGCAUAAGUUAACCACUGCCUAGAAGAAAGAGUUGUCCUUUUAGCUCAAAAGCUUUGAUAUGUUCAUAAAUUCAUAGAAAAUGUUGUCCUACACCCCGAACAAAUCAGAGCUGUUGUCACUUUGGUUUGAUGACAAAAAGGAGCUGGGCUGUGAGCUACUGUUGAGCUGGAGUACAUUUUUCCCCUCUGUGUUGAAACCAUUAUUCUCUUUUUUUACAUUGAGGCUGCCAUGACAGUGACUGACAGCUGACAGCGAGCACACGACUGCUGCAGAGUACGAUUUGCACUGCCUGGUUGCCUUGACGUCUGAACAAUGCGACUCAAAUCUGACAGAAUUCUCCUUCCAAGAUGUUUUAUUUUAUUUCAUGUGCAGUUUUCUGUAUCACUGAAGCAGAAAGAAACGCAGGAAGGGUCAGGUGAAUUUGAACUUAGGGCCACAACCUUAUUGUCUGUGUUAGAAAGAUAAGCCAACUAGACUAAAGAUAACAGAUUAGAUCAAAUAUGAACAAAAAAGAACGACCAUCUUCGGAUUUAUCUCCAGGAAAGAGACUAUGACGUUCAUACUAACUUUCUUUUCCAGUAGGUCUUACGCUGCGUUCUUGUUACCUCAUAAGUCGGGUGUUGAAGCUGGGAAUGACGUUACACCCGAGUUGACGGUGUUCCAGUGAACAAGUCAGAAAACUAAGAUAGACGCCUACUGUUAGCCGUUGUUAGUUAUUGCUAGCUAUACCAGUUGUAAACGGCGCAUGACAUAGUAUUUAACUCUUACAAACACCUAAGCACCGUGUUCACAGUUACGUUCCUUACACACCGGGAACUAAGAAAAUAUAGGACGCGAAAUUAUGAAAUAUUCGGGGCGAAUUUUGACGCGCCUGACUGUACUCAUCAAGCACGAUGUGAUUUUGUGGCUUUCCAGGGGGGAAAAAAUACCCGCGGACAUACAGGGUAUUCUUUACGUUUGUUUUGCCCUUUUGGGGUUAAUUUCAGCCUCUCAAGUGAACCUUGUUUUAUGCAAUUACAUCCACCAGUCAGCCAGCUCACAGACGCGUCUGCUGCGCCCAAUACUUUAAUUGGAGAGCAAUCGUAACGUUAACGUUAGGCGUUUUAAAGUUCGCCAGAAGCCUAAGUUUUGGGACAAACCCGGUCGGACCAGCAAGUGGUGGGACAACUUCGUUAGAGGGGCUGUGCCUGCAGAUGACACUGUCACAUGGACCCGACAAAAUGGCGUAGCUUCCGCAAGCAAUGCAUGACGCAUCACGCUGUUACGAUUCAUCGGCCAAUCAGGUAGCUUUGUUCCUGAAUUUUUUUUAAGCGGCACCAGAUAGGAUUGAGUUUGAACUAACUUGAGUUGAGAACUAACACGUGUGGACAGAUACAUUUAUUUAGACGAGAGGACAAAAAUAUCCUGAUAAAUAGGAUUGGGUAUCGUUUGAUUUUGAACGAUUCCGAUUCCAAUUUCGAUUCCUCAUUUCGAUUCCGAUUCCUAUCGAUUCUCUAAUUUGAUUCUUUUAAAAGGCAGGAUAUCAAAAAGAAAAAAGAAAAAAAAGCAUGGUUUGAAUGAGGGUGCUAACCGGGGCUCUUCUUUUUGGAUGAAAUUUCUGAACUUCUCCAUGAAUUUUUAAAUCCUAUGAACUUUUUAAGAACUUUACUAUGAAUUUCUCACAGAGCUAUUUUCAACCAGUAUAUAAAUAUCAUUUUUUGUUUUCAGGUCGUUUGUCUAUGAAAAAGUACAAGGGCUAACGUUAGGUGGAUAUUUAAGUUUACUCACCGUACACAGUUCAAUUUGUUUACCGCUUCAAAGUUAACAGAAGUAAUUUAUUGUUUCACUUAUCUGAUCCUGACUGGUUAGCGGAAGACAGGUGUUGUGCUGUAGAAUGCACCCCUGCCAUAGAAUGCCUCCCCUCCACUGAUUAGCUUCUUAGUGGAAGAAAUAUGAUCUCAUAUUUAAUAAAACACGGGUAUUAGAUCAUGAAAACGUGUCAAAUGGAGCAGUAAACUUUCGUUUUGUUUGUAUGUGUCUCAAAAAUGCACACAUAAAGGUGUACUUGGGUAUAUAAACUGUACAGUAAGCUGUUAAUGUAGAGAACAUUAUAUUUUCCGGACAGUAAAUAUUCCGAAUCAGAGGGCUAUUGUUUUCGGCAUAUCGGAAUAGCCUGAAUGAAAUCAUUAAAGGCACACGCUUUAGAUUCCGUCCAACGGUAAGAAAAACUUGGAUUGUUUCGCCUCGUUGUGUACUUUCAACCGCGCUCCCGUCAGGGGUGCAUUCUACGACACAACACCGGCGAAGCGCGUCAAAGACGAGCACUCGGGUAUUUCUCCUCCAUGAAUCCUGAGGUGUUUAAUCAUGUUGGUCGUUUACCCUCCUUUGCAUGAUAUAACUGUAUUGCUAAUGUUGCAUUGAGAUAAGAGUUCAUUCUUCCUGCUAAAGUUAGCCAAACUUUUGACCAACGAAGAAGAAGCUGCCGAACACCAACGAGGACGGAGCGUAUGAGACGAAGAGAGGAGAGAGACAGAGAGAGAUUGUAACCCACAGCGGCUGCAUUGCUGUGGGUUGCAAUGUACUUUCUCUCUCUGUCUCUCUCCUCUCUCUGUGUGGCUUCGUCUCAUACGCUCCGUCCUCAUUGGUGUUAAGCGGCUUCUUCUUCGUUGAUUUUCGGCGGCUAUUUCUUCCGGUCGGCGGACUCUGGCAUCGAAACUUGGAAUCGAAAUUUUAAUAUUUGAACGAUACCGGAAGAAUCGAAGUUUUAGUCCCGAUUCCCAUCGAUUCUCGAUUCUCGAUUCCCAACCCUGCUGAUAAAUAAAUAUCUAUAUACGUGUAGUCCAGGCCUGAGUCGGGGCCAGUACCAGAUAAGCACAUUAAACUAUAAUCUAUAAACGUAAGGUAACAACAGAGACCUAAUGGUGCUGUGACAGCAACACGACUGAGUUUGAGACAGUGAAAAUACAUAUGGUAUGUUGUAUCUGAACAGGUUAGCUUACGAGCUUAAGUUACUUAGCACAGAUGAAAGUUAAAACAAAGACGUUUAUCAAACUGUUAAAGCAUCGUCAUAUGAGAAAUCCGACGCUAUGACUCUCCACAAGUUGUCCUUCAGGUCACAUUGAACGGACCUGAAUAGUUUGCUGACCAUGAUAUAACCGUAAUUGUCAUACAGCAUGACUUAAACUCCGUGGAUAAUCUCUCUGUGGGAUAUUUAUCUAGAAAAAGAUGAAAAACACCAGCUGAAGGCUAUACCAGAGCUUCUUGGGCUUCACUAACAUCCCAGCAGAUCUACAGGCUCAUCACCUCCGUUCAAUGUAAAGAAACCUCUUUUGCUGUGUCAAAUUCAGAGCACUAGUAAGUCUAUCUAAAUCAUGCGGAUUCAUCCAGUUUAAGAAGAAAAUGGCGACCAAAGAAAACUCGAUCAACUGAUGCUGAGAAUCAAAAAAGAAAAAAACGAACUUGAAAUCCAGAUCAUGAUCCUGAUCUUGACUAAACCUCUCCAACAUCCGUGCUCUGGACACCAUGUUUGGGAGAUGUCAUCCCAUAUCGUGUGGAUAGCUGGAUAUUAUAUUGUUAGCAGUAAAUGGUGUUAAGAUAGUGUCAGGUGGGAGGGGGAGUGCUCUCAUUUAAGAUGAUAUCUCUCUGGGAAAAAAGGGGCAGCAGCCAAAUGCAGCAGGUUUGAUAAUUUUGUCAAAUUGCCAGCAGCACUUUGAGGCCUCUCUGCAGAACAUCUUAAAGAAGACCUGCUGUAAUAUAUGAAACCAUCUUCAUAAUGUAUCAGGACUGAAUGGCUGCAAUGCCACUUAAGGUAGUGGUGCUGUAAUUGGUGCUCAAAAAAUCUUAAUAGUAUCAUAUAUCCUGAGCUGGGCUUUUAAAAGGAUCUAUUGUGAGGUUUUGCCUUGAUCUCUUACGCUCACACACACGCACGCACGCACACAUAAACACACACACACACACACACACUCACACAGGAUAAUGCAUUCAAGCCAUCAUUUCAUCGUAGAAAUCCCCGGCGUAUCGGGACACCACAUGCUGUAAUGAUCGUCUGUAAAUGGCUCGGUUGGACCGCUAACUUGUGUAAAUAGUGCAGGCUGAGACUAAUGUACUGUCUUGUAAUAGGGGGAAAUUGCGCACCUAUUACAGCUAGACCCUCACAGAGAGGAGGAGGAGGAGGAGGAGAGAGGAAAAGGAGGUGGAAGAAGAGGAGGAGAAGAGAAAUAAGAAAAAAGGGGAAUUAAUGAGGAAGAUGAAAGAAAAUCAGUGGAGGGAGAAAAGAAAAGUUUGAGUGUGUGUGAGGAGACUUUUGAAGCUCAACAGGAGGGCGUUAUUUGUGUUGUGGUAAAAGCUGAAUGAUGAAUGUAAUAUUUUUGUAUUUCUCUGGAUUUGCGCCCAAUAUCAACUUUGGGACAUGGUUGAUAGGAACAGUUUUUAAUUGUUUACAAAUCAUUCAGAGCCUCUUUUGAAUCAAAAAUAAUAAUAAUAAUGCAUCAGAUUUCAUAUAGCGCUUUAUCAGAGACCCUCAAAGCGCUUUACAUUGGAUACAUCAUUCAUUCGCUCACACAGUCACACUUUGGUGGUGGUGGAAACGUGGCUGCCAUUCUGCGCCUACGGCCUCUCCGACCACCACCAUACAACACUCACAAUCAUACACCAGUGGAGGACACACACUGGGAGCAAGGUGGGUUAAGUGUCUUGCUCAAGGACACAACGGACAGACUUGGAUUAGGGGGGAAUCGAACCGCCAACCUUCCGGUCAUUGGACGACAGCUCUACCUCCUGAGCUACUGCCGCCCCACGAAAUAGUGGAGAGACAACAUGUAAACUGUUGAUACCGGACAUGUCAGGACUGCAGUCAGGCUGGUUUAGCAGCGAGACUCUUCUACAACAGAGUUUGUCAUUUUCUUGCUGAAAUAUGAAGGUCCUCUUUGUCUGGAUGGCAGCAGAUGUUGCUCCUAAACCGGUAGUGGAGCCUUCACAGAUGUAGAAGAUACCCAUGACAUGGACUCUGAUGAUCCCCAGACCAUCAGGGAUGCUGGCUUUGAACUGGGAGCUGAUAACAAGCUGGGUGGUCCCUCUCUUCCUGAGAGAGAAGGAGGAUGGGACAUGUGUGAUUUCCAAAAGCAAUGUCAUAUUUUGAUUCAUCAGACCAUAGGACAGUUUUUCACCUCAGUCCAUCUUAAAUGAGCCCAGGUCCAGAGAAGCCUCUGGUGUUUCUGGAUUUUGUUUCCACCUGGUUUCCUCUUUGCAGUUUUCAUCCUGUAUUUGUUUUGAUCGUCUCCCCUUUAACAUUGAGAUUUCUCCAGAUCCUCUGAAUCUAAAUUCACUCAUUCUCUUACAGAGUGGUGAACCUCUUCUCAUCUUUCCUUCUGAAAGACUCAGCCUCUCUGAAUGUCCUUUUUACACCCAGUCAUGGUACUAACCUGUUUUUUUUUUUUUUUAGCAUUACAACUUUGUAUGAACCUGUUGCUGAAUCACAUUUAAAGAAAUAUCAACACCAGUCCCUAAAGGUCCUUACACACCGGGAACGAAGCAAAUAUACAACAUGAAAUUAUGAAAUAUUCUGAGGUGAAUUUUGACACGCUUGACUAUAAAUCAAGCACGAUGCGAUUUUGUGAGAAGACUGAGCCAACAGCAGACGGAGUGUUUUUCAGUUCUGAUUAGACUCUAGUGUUGAGAAGUCUGUCUGUCAUGAUAGCAUGAACUGAGUCGGGGCCAGUACCAGAUAAGAACAUUAAACUAUAAUCCAUAAACGUGAAGUAACAACCGACUGAGUUUGAGACAGUGAAAAUACAUAUGGUAUGUUGUAUCUGAACAGGUUAGCUUACGAGCUAAAGUUACUUAGCACAGAUGAAAGUUAAAACAAAGUCGUUUAUCAAACUGUUAAAGCACACAAACCAUCGUCAUAUGAGAAAUCCAACGCCAUGACUCUCCACAAGUUGUCCUUCAGGUCGUUAUCUUUGUAAUGUUUGUGUCUUUUAUCAAAAAUCACUCUGUUCUCCGACACGUAAACAAUCAGCUGGUCGGUCAUGUUGAAUAUACCGGUGAAUCUGACAUUGCAACAUCACGAAAUCUGAUUGGUCAGAAGUGGACACACAGUAUGUGAAACUGAAGAAAAUUUGACUGUGAUACGAAAAAAUAAAUGCCGCAAUAUCACAGGACGGGAAAAUGUUGCUGACGUGAACGCUUGUAUUAACAGGAUACAGGUUAGAAAAAAAAAUAUUGACAUACGAAAUAAUCGCACGUAAAAAACGCUCCCGGUGUGAAAGGACCUGAAGUAUUAAAAAAUGUCUUUUUUGGGACACUAACUUGUGGUACUCCAGAUGUUUAAGCUGCUUGUUUGUUGCAGUUUGAGCUUAGGUUAGCAUUUGCUCAUUUUCAUUGUUUGCAGUCAUGCAUCUAAAGUCAAAAUCAAGAAACCUUAAGGUUGUAGAUGUGGGUGCUUUUCAAUGCCCUCUCGCUAAUAAUAUGUAAAGAAACCAAAGAAACGUCUGCUAAUUGAAGGUGUUGUGAUAAAAUAUGAAUGAAAGCUCUGAUAACAGGCUUACAGCCGUUAAUGAAACAGAUGAAAACAGAGUGUCAUUCAUGGUGUUUGAGUUCAUGUGAAUCACACUGAAGUGAAGUAUGAGGCUUUUUAAAUCUGCCUUUUAAAUCGGGGUUUGUUUGCAGACAGAAACCCCUCUCUUAUAGGUGUUUUGUCACGUUGUUGUUGUUUAAGGGAAUUAAUUGAAACUCUGCAGAGCCGGCUCUAAUACACGCUCAUUUCCUUUAGCUACUGUUAAGCGUAAAUUGGCAAACCUCUGCAUAAUGUGUUUGUGUGAAUAGACAGUUUAGAUCGUUGUUUGUUGGAAAUAUUUGUUUGCUCAGUUAUUGUGUUCAUGCAGACGAAUAUGAAGCCUGUCUCUUUAUGCUGCUUCAUUUCUUCUUAGUUGUUUGCUAUUAUGAUAACAAGGAUCCAUUUGAUGUCAGCAGGCCUUUUAUCUUCAAAUGAGCCAUUUAAAUGUCAUUACUCUGUGUGUAUUUUUGUGUGUGUAUGCGCGUGAUCAUUCCUCUUACACGGCCCAUUCAUGUCUCGUCAUUUCUUCUACAAGGAGAAAUUACCAGCAUUCACUCGGAUUCUGCAGCAGCUACUAUUUUCACUUUUUAUUGUUCAGUGGCAUAAAUUUGAGCUUUUGUGCGUCUCUGUCCUCACUUGUUUACUGUUCAAAUAUCAGGCCAAAAUGACGACACAAAGAUUAUUAGAGUCAUUAACAUGGUAAACAUUUGUUUUGUCCUUUUUUUUCAAUUAAAAAUUAUCCAUUUAGCAUUGACCAACAUUAAUGAUGUUUGUGAUAAAAAACCUUUUUAUACCUCUUGGAUCGACACAUUGACAGUAAUCAGAAAUAUAAUUCCCUUCAGGGAGGAGGUGUUCACCAAAGCCUGAAGCUGACUUGAGUGAAGGUCUUUACACACCGGGGCCAACGCGAAUAUAAAAUGCGAAAUUAGGAAAUAUUAAGAGGUGAAUUUUGCAUCCCGGGGAAGACUUUUCCCGGGGAAAGUCCCGCCUCCUUCACCUCAGAUUGGCUAGAAAAGCUGGAAACAUCAUCACACGUUCAAGCCAAAUGGUCAACACUUACAGCCAAUCAGAGGUGAUACGAUAAGCACAUGAAACUAUGGUAACAACCGUUAGCUGACAUUGGUACAGAUGAAAGUUAAAACAAAGACGUUUAGCAAACUGUUAAAGCGCACAAACCAUCGACAUAUGAGAAAUCCGACGCUAUGUUGUCCUUCAGGUCGUUAUCUUUGUAAUGUUUGUGUCUUUUAUCAAAAAUCACUCUGUUCUCCGACACGUAAACAAUCAGCUGGUCGGCCAUGUUGGAUAUACCAGUGAAUCUGACGUCGCAACAACACGCAAUCUGAUUGUGAACGCUUGUAUUGACAGGAUACGGGUUUGAAAAAAGAUAUUGACGUCCGAAAGACUUCGAUGUACAAAAACUAAAAGUUAAGUUACUCUUUAAUAACUAUUGCAGCAGUCACACUCACACUCUUUAAGUCACGUUUUCCUGAGUCAUUGGACCAUUUUUUUCGACAUCUUUAAAAGUGCAUGAACUUGAUUUGUUGAUCUACAUCUCAUGCCACCUCUGUCUAUUUCCUGGAGUGGCAGAUAAGCCAUAGGGCAGCUCUCCCAGUGCUCUAUGGGUAAUUUAGGACAUCCCAUCUGGCAGGUUGAGUUGACAGGGCCUCUGUCUCUGCAGCAGUUCUCUGUAAUUUGCUUGUUUUCUUCUCUGCCAUAGAGCUGACAGACUGCAGGAGUAUUCCUCUCUCUCUCUCUCUAACUCUUUCUCUUGCUCGCUCGCCCUUUUUCUAAGUGUGCUCUCUCUCCUUUUGUUGUCAUUGUGUUAUUCAGCUCAGCUCUGUGGCCUCUGAGUCAAGAAGAAAAACACAGGCUGCAGGCAGCAUAGAAAUCAACCCUACUCUGUCAAAGUGAAGAAAUCUAACACAGCGAUGAAAACACAGUCCUCCAGCAAACACCCGGGGCCUGUUCUACCAAGCAGGAUUACUGCUUAGCGAGGUAACUUGAAGGGUAGGUUAGGGGUUUCCUGCUCUUCUUAGCGAAGUGAGUCUCCAUGGCAACGUACGCUGAACGGCUAACCUGCUCCGGGGCAGGUUAAGUUCCAGAUUGAACUCACAGAGUAUAAAAACCCCACCCACUGACCAAUGAGCUCUCUCGAAAAAUGGCUUGUCCGUUCUUGGAGGAUCCUACAGAUUUCGGUGCUCGUAUUGUCCGAGGAGCACUCCGGCGCGUGAGAGUUUUCAGGGACUGCACGGACGCACUUCCUUUUCCGGAUGACCACCUUUAUGAAAGAGAAAAUUCUGGAUACUGUGAUCCAGAACACACAAAAAUAAGGGUGUCGUUGGAAUUUUCAAUGCUGAAAGAUAACCAAUGGGCGGCACAGUGGUGUAGUGGUUAGCACUGUCGCCUCACAGCAAGAAGGUCCUGGGUUUGAAUCCGGGUCAGGGCAUUUCUUGUUUUAGGAACAUUAUGAACAGUGAACAUACCAGUUUAAACACAAAUAAAAGUUCAUUAAAGACACGUAACAGUAAAAGUUUUGGUGUGAAUCACAAUAUAAGGGGGGACAUGAGCUGCUUGGUGGAGGUCUGCGCUCUCCGAGUGCUUUUCUAGUAUUAACAAUGUUUCUGUCAAACACAAAGAUAUACAAUCUAAACCUAAAACUGACAAUGACCAGGGCAAAAUAGGUUAAAAUCCUUAAAAUUAGCCACACCAUUCAUGCAUUUUGGUGUUAUUGUACGAGUUGCUUUUACACCUAAUUCACUCUUUUAAUGCUGAUGCAUCUCCAGUUUUCUAGAAAUCUUGCAGCAGCACUUAAAUGAUAGGUUAUGCCAUUUUAUGUAAUAUAUGUACGACAAACUCACACCCAAGACAUAAACAGAGUUUAGGAAAAGCUUUUAUCCUUUUAUAAAGUGGUAAAUUCCCUCGUUUCAUGUUGUGGUUUUAAAUCUUCUUGCAGCGUUUUGUGAACAGAACGAUCCGACUGUGAUGAAUUUACGAGAAAAAGGAGUGUUGGACAUAAGCUUUAAGUGCGUGCGCACUGUACAGUGUGUGUGUGUGCAUGUGUGUCAAAAGAACUUUGACAAACAGCUCCCCUGUUUACCAUGGCGACGCCGCGGCCUGUGUUCUCCUGUCUCUACAGCAACCAAGGUCCUGGGCUCUCUGAUUGGCUGAGCUGUUGAACUCACAGUGAGAGACAAAAGAGAAGGACCCGGCUCUGCUAAUUUCUUAUCACCGAAUCCCAUUAGGCUCAGGGCUUUUUUUCAUUAACACACACAAAAGUAAAGUGGAAAUCACCGUAUUCAGCCGGCUCAGCCCCCACUGAGAGCCUGGCCAGACCCCCCACAAACAUCACCCUGCUGGGAUUAAUACCAGAGGAAGAAAGUGACAAAAUACAAGCCUCAUUACCACAAAAAUACUUAUACCUUUCUGACAAAAUACAUGGAACAAAUGAGACUUUAAUGGGUAGAAGUGAUAAACACCAUUUAAAUCAGUGAUACAUGUAGGUUUUUAAGAGUCAUGUUAUCAAAACAUAUCCAAAUACUGAGUUCACCAAUCGUAAUAUAUUAUAUGCUGUCAUAUGUACAUCCAAUUAUGAUCACCUUUGGCUUUGAGGAAAGAACAAAUAAAAGGUACCGUGAUUAAAUGUAGAUACAAAAUAAAACCAAAAGCCUCGUUUUGUUUGCCAAAUCAAGGCUUCCAAUUUAUACAGCAAUUACCUUGAAUAACAGACAUUCCUUGCUAACCUAGCUAGCAUCAGAGAAUAACUUGUUGCUGGCAAAGCCUUCCCUUUUCUCCAACCUCAUCCUUUCAGGAUUUCUAGCUCCAAAUUUAAAGAUGGUGACAGCCAAAGAAACAAAUAUAAGGAAUACAUGUUUUUUUCGCUUGUAUUUCUGAGUGUGGAAGGUGGAAUGUACAGGGUAAGUUUCCACUGAAAAAAGGGCUUCUGCUGUCCCAGGUGUCUCUUUAACAUCUCUCUGCAAACCCUUAUCUUCCUUCCCUCGAUCUCUUCUCUACCUAACAUGUCUUUCCAAAGCAGAGCAGGGGGAGGUAAAGCAUACAGCCAAGGAGGUUAUGUUUUCGGUAGCGUUGGUUUGUUUGUUUGUCUGUUAGCAACUUUUCGGGGAAAGUUACAGACAGAUUGACCUGAAAUUUCCCCCAAAAGUUCGUCUCAGCCCCAGGAGGAUCCCAUUACAUUUUGGUGGUGAUCCGAACAAAAUUCUGGAUACUGUGAUCCAGAACACACAAAAAUAAGGGUGUCGUUGGAAUUUUCAAUGCUGAAAGAUAACCAAUGGGCGGCACAGUGGUGUAGAUAGGCGGCACAGUGGUGUAGUGGUUAGCACUGUCGCCUCACAGCAAGAAGGUCCUGGGUUUGAAUCCGGGUCAGGGCAUUUCUUGUUUUAGGAACAUUUUGAACAAAUAAAAGUUAAUAAAAGACACGUAACAGUAAAAGUUUUGCUGUGAAUCACAAUAUAAGGGGGGACAUGAGCUGCUUGGCGGAGGUCUGCGCUCUCCGAGUGCUUUUCUGGUUAAGGAUACCCAUUAGCUGAAGCCAUAGCAAUCAACUAGUCUUCCUGGUUUCUUCAUAACACGAGCAAGUGCAAACCGUGUACAAAAUACAAUAUCACGAUAAAAAUUAUACAAUCAAUAUUCAAAAAGGUUAAAAACCAGAAACUCAAUCUGGCAAACAAAAUACAGUAAAAAACAUCCACAGAGAGAGAGACAGACAAAAAAAAAACCACAUACAUACAUAAACAAAGCAUAAACAAAAAACACAUCACAGAUUCAAAUAUUGUUUGAUGAAUUAUCAAGACCCAACCUAAGAUGGGAUUUGGCCCAUCUCAUCGAACAUGAGUCUAACACAGUAUGUGAAAAUUCAACCGUGAUACGAAAAAAUAAAUGCCGCAAUAUCGCAGGACGGAAAAACGUCACUGAUGUGAAUGCUUGUAUUGACAGGAUAGGGGUCCUGUGUGUAAGGACCUUAACCCAAAAGGUGUGAUUUUAGACAAACAGACUUCACGUCCUCGCUCUGCCUUUCCUGUCUUCUCUAGAACAUCUCUCUAAAGACACUUGACUGUUUCCUCUCUUUGCAUCAAGUGCGGGACGUGGGGGUAGCAGAGUGUACAACCUAACAUCACGGGGGUGAGGUGUAGCUUAUGCCGGUAAAACACUUUCUAUUGAACUCCACAUACAGAGAAUUUCACAGUAAUACAGAGUAAACUGAUGAAUACCUUCAGAGUCUUUUUGACACUUCGACCUGUUCAGUCUUUAUGUCAGCUCUACGCUCUCCAUCUUUCACCUGUCACCAUUCCUCUACUGCUCCUGACAGGAGGUGGUGGUUACACAUAUAUGCUCCUGUGUGUGUGUGUGUGUGUGUGUGUGUGUGUGUGUGAUAACGGCCUGUAUGAAGCCGGAUUGACAGACAAAGGCCUAAUCGCUCCUCGGCUCCGGCAGCCAAACAGCUCAGAGGAAGUAUUGACCCAAAAGCACCAUAAUCCCCUUCACCUAACGCGGGCAAUUUCAUGUAAUACCUGUAAUAACACGCGUUUAGCUCCAAGUAGUCGUCAAAAGAGCGCCGAGCAUCUGAUUUUAAGAGGUGAGCGCUUUGAAUAAAAGAGACCUGAAGAGUGUAUCAAUCUGUAAUAACAACAUCACGGCCCUGGACUGGCUUUUCUUUUCAAAAUCUCCUCGUCUCUCCCUCUUUGUGUCUAAAUGUGCAGCUCCGGUGACAUCCAGACUUGUUUUAAAGAAACAUAUGGAGGCUCAGAUGGUAAAGAAAAGCCAUGUCAAGCACAGGUUCUCAUUUUCCUUUAGUUCACAUGUGGAUAUCUGACAUUUGAAAUGCCUGAAGGUUGAGGUUAGAUACUGUUUGUGCCUCACUUGUCAGUUUUAUGCUCUCUGCUGUCAGUAGGGGUUUUGUACCAGUGUUGCGAAAAUCGUGGAAACAGCAGAGGCACGGAGGCUGGGAUUUCCUCAGAAGUUGACAGAAAGAAAGGAUCGUUAACACUCGAGAGUUUUUUAACCAAAGAUGAAGUAAAAUUUUGGGUAACGUGCACAAUUUACGCCGUCUUAUACUACCCUCAGACCAGGACUCUUCUACUACAGAGUCAUGCUGUUGUAAUCCCUGUUGUCAGAAUGUGGUUUGUCAUAGUCUCGCAGAAAAAGUCCCUGAAAAAGUCAUUGUCUGGAUCUCAACAGAUGUUGCUCCUAAAUCUGUAGAUAUGCAGCAUUUUUGUCCCAUUGCCAAAAUUUUCAAAAUAAGUUGCUGGAACUGAUUUUAGAAUGAGAAUAUAUGUUUCUGGGAACGCCCUAAAUUAACAGUUUUCUGGGGAAGUAUCCACAGAUCACUACGCUCAGUGUUUAAUACUCAAAUACCCCCUGAUUUCGCUACCUUGUUUCUAGGAAGGGUUGAAUGCCUGAGCCAGUUGAGAGAUACAAAACUAAUAUCUGAUGAUCCCGUGCCAGUCCUCCGCCCAAGCUGGGAGACUGGCACGGGAUAGUCUUGGAGAUCUUUAGAAUGGAAAAGCUCACAUACCAGAUAAGAAAACAGGAGGAUAAAUUUUAUCAAAUUUGGAACAAAUGGAUAACGCAUAUCGCCCCUCUAAGUGCAGAUUUCAUAUGAUCCCGCUGGCUCCCCUGCUCUAAUGUAGAGUGCUUUUACAGAAAAUCUGAGUUUCUCUUUUUUUUUUUUUUUUUUUUUUUCUUGUUACCCUCACUCAGCACAUUUGUAAAUAUUUUCGUUUGGUGGUUUCUUAUUUAAAUUUUUUUUUUAAAUGUAUUUAUUUAUUUUUAGUUUAUUUAUUUAUUUUUGGUGCUGUUUUUUUUUUUUAAUUUAUGUAUUUUUCAUUUAUUUAUUUAUUUUAGGUUCUGUUUUAUUUAUUUAUUUUUCAUUUAUUUAUUUAUUUAUUUUUGGUGCUGUUUUUUAUUUUUUUUUUAUUUUUUUAUUUUUUCAUUUAUUUUUUUUAUUUUAGGUUCUUGGUUGCACAGUGGAAGUCAGGAUGUUGAUCUUCCUCCCAAGAAUAUGCCCUCGACGGGGGAAAGGUUAAGGACACUGACUAUAAUGGACAUGGGGAAGGACGCAAUCUACCCAAGAUGUUGGUUAAAAACAACAUGGAAUAUCGUUUCUGUUGAUGUUGUUUCUCUUUAAUAAAGAAAUAAUUAUAAAAAAAAAGAGAAUAAAGCUGUGAAAUUGCUCAUUUUCAAUGACUAAUAUGCUGUUUUGCACCUUUUUCAUUUAAAUUAAGAUUUCAAAUGAUUUGCAAUCCAUCAAAUUCUGCUGUUAUCAACAUUUAACACAACUCAACGUCUUAUUUUGAAUGGUGUUCUUCAAAUUUCUGCUGUUUUGGGGGUUUUUAUGCACAAGAAGUAAGAAACUCUUCAAAUGUUUUCUUUGAAUAGUUUAGAUUCUCAUUUCUGAUGCAACCCUGGAAAGCCUGGAGAAUUCACAUGCAGGCUUUCUGACACAUUAGCCAGCAUCUUUCUGGCUUCAGCUGCAGAAAUUUAACCGGAGCCUGAAUAUGCGUUGCAUCAUUCUCAUCCCCGAGUUUAAAUCGACCCUGUUUUUUUUUUUUUUGCACCAUGCAUUAAAUUUCUCCCCCUAUUUAUAGGAGACAAAUUUCUUUGGCAGUGGAUAAAACUUUCAACGGUAAUGAUUCAUCAGAGCUGGAGCCCGCAUACUUUCAGGCUGUGUGUUUUGCUGCUGCACACUGAGUGUGUAUAAUGUGAGGCUUAGCCAGGAGGAGAAGUGGUGCAGAUGAUGGAGCAGGUGGUAUUUUCUGUUUGUGCUGGCCUACAAAUACAAAAAAAUGACAGGACAGAUGGAGUAACAAUCAUUCAGAGCAGGUUUAAAAUAUUACUGCCACACUGUUAAGUCCGAUAAAUGAGAAGUUUAAUCAGAAACCUUAUCAGUGACAUCGCCUCGAUCAUAGCAGUCUGCGUUUACACUCUUAAACACACCUUUUUUAAGGCGGAUUUGUUCCAUGUGUCUGAUAUAAAUCAACCUGCUCGUCCUCACAAUAAAACACACACUGCACUCACACACCCUUCCUGCGUGUGUGUGUGUGAGAGUCAGAUAGUAAGAGGCCUCUAUCAUCAAUCUGCAUAUUAGCGCUGGACCGUCCCUUUAAUUUCCUACAGCGGACGAUAACCAUCACGUCGUCUCUGCCUCUCACAGACUCAGACUUUAUAAGUGUGUGUGCGGCUCUGUUUGUGUGUGAAGAGGUUGUUGGCUCACGCAUGUAUUGAUCUGCUAUUGAUUUAGGUUUAAGUGAAAUGAUGUGUGAGAUAUUAAAAGCAUCGACGAGGGAGCGGAGAGGACAAACAAGCCGUCUGAGGAGAUCAGAAACAUCAUUCAAUCAUUUAAAAUCAUUACUCGACCAAAACAAACAUUAUCUCUACAUUAUUAGCUCCCACAGGUGAUUGACUGUGUGUGUGUGUGUGUGUGUGUGUGUGUGUGUGUGUGUGUGUUUUUCAAUGUUAGUGUUUGCUCUGCGUGUCACUCAGGUGCACCCGUCAGCUCCAGAGCAAUGAUUGUUUCACCUUAAUUAACUCUGUGAGGUCCAGGUAUGUGGCCUCGCUGCAGCCUGCGUGAAUGUGCGUGAGUGUGUGUGUGUGUGUGAGUGUGUGUGUGUUUGCAUUCAGUUGUAGCACAUUGCUAGCAAGAGACGAAUGCUAAUCUCCGUCGUGCCAUUAUUCCCAGAGACCUUGGGUGAGACGAGGAGAUGGAGGUAGAUAACGAGGGGAGAAAGAGACGAUGCAGGGAGGAAGGUUAUGAAUGAAGCUUUUGUGAGUGUGUGUGUGUGUGAGGAGAAAGAGUGUGUGUGCAUUAGUGGUAGAAAAGAAAGGUAAAGCAAAUUAGAAGUAUGAGAGGAAGAAGCAAAGAGGGGCGUUACAUGUGGUUUGCAUUGUGCGUCUUCAUUUCUUCAAGGCCAGAGAGAGACAAAGAUGUUUCUGUCUUCAGAAUGUAUACUGAGUGCAAAACAAGGUUACGGUGAGGUGAUAUGAAGGUUUAGCUGAGCCACAAGUCCGUUUAGGAGGAGGGAAGAGUUGGCGAAGGCGAUUGUAUCAUCGUCAAAAAGCAGGUUUGCUGCGUAAGAUGUUAAUAAAAACUGAAUUUGAUGGUUUGCAAGUCAUUGAAAGCCGACAUUUUUAAUCGGGAAUAGAUCUAUGACGACUACUGUCCCAUGGCCUUACGAUACUACGCCACAGACUUGUUAUCAGCUCAGAGUUCAAAGACAGAAUCUGGGGGAUCAUAUUGGGACAGGAUGGAUCUGCAGUAGAAGAGUCCUGCUGCUAAUCUGCCCUGACUUGUCGACCAUUAAAAACAGCUUUAAAUGUGGUGCGAAUCAUCAAAGUUGGUUUUAACCGAUAAUCUACACACACCCCAGCUAAAAAACAUAAAUGACACGAGGGAAGAAUAUGUCUGGAUUCUGGAGUCCACCCUUUGUUAAUGACACCUCCAUCUCAACGCCAGUAAGACAAAAGAGAUGGUUGUGGAUUUCUGCAGGAGGAGGACACCUCAGACUGUUCCAGUGAACAUCCAGGGUCUGGACAUCGAGAUGGUGGAGUCUUACAGGUUCCUGGGUGUCCACCUCAACAAUAAACUGGACUGGUCAACCAACACAGACGUCCUGUACAAGUAAGGGCCAAAGUCGUCUCCACCUGCUGAGGAGACUGAGGUCUUUUGGAGUGUGCAGGACUCUGCUCAGGACUUUCUAUGACUCUGUGGUAGCAUCUGCACUUUUCUAUGCAGUGGUCUGAAGGCCAGUUCUGUCCUGGACUGUUCUUUGGACUCCCUGGAGGUGGUGGGUGAGAGGAGGAUGUUUACAAAGCUUGUAUCCAUCAUGGACAAUCCCUCUCGCCGACUGCACCAGACUGUGGGGGCUUUAAGCAGCUCCUUCAGCAGCAGACUGAGACUUCCACCUUCCUACCGCAGAUCAUUCUUGCGGAAGAAGAAUUUUAGAGGUAAAAUGAAAAAUUCAUAUUUUGGUCUGAAAAAAAACCCCGACAUAGUAUACUAUGACGAAAGUUUCAGAUUUUAGGCUGAAAAAAAAAUUCAGAUUUUAAGAUGAAAAAACAUGCCAUAGUAUUGUCUGAUCACAUUGCCAUAGAAUAGGAUGUUAAAAAUGUAAUAUUUUAUAUGUUUUAUAUGUUAUAUUUUAUAAGUUCUUAAUAUUAGGAUCUUUAUUUUUAUAACUGCAUUUUUGCACUUUCUUUGUCUGUGAUGCUGCUGUGACAAAAUUUCCCCCAUGGGGGAUCAAUAAAGGAAUAUUCUAUUCUUCUAUUCUAUUCUAUAAAAAGUCUGUUUUCCGUUUUUAAACCCAUAAAUAAAUAAAAACCUCCCUCUGUUCAAAGCUGUAGGCAGAGUAAAGGGAAGAAAAGAGUCAUGUCUCUCUUCAACGACCUCAUCUUUUAUCUAUUUCAUUCUUUUGAGCUUUAUUUUCUUUUCAUUCAUGAAAAAAUUUUAUAUCCCUUAAAGAAAGCUGCAUGAGUUUUCAACAGAUCAAACGGAAAACCUCUGUCUGUGUUCUUUGUUUUCCUUUCGCCUCGAUUUUUCUCACAUUUCUUGAAAAAUUUUUUAAAAAAUUCAGGUGCUCCCCUUUUCUUUGUUGUAGUCCAGUGUGAAUUCUAGUAACCCAAAUCUUCUGGUAUUUUCCUGUUUUCCAGGUCAGAGAUGAUCAUGGUGUCUGCGCUGAAGUUGACACAAAUACCUCAGAAAAAAUCCAGUCCUGUGCCUGAUGUGAACCCUGUAUCUGAAGGUAAGAGAUGCCAGAGAUUUUUCAUGAAAUGAACCCUCUGAGUUUGUCCUAAUAAGCGCUCUCAUUGUCCGUCUUUGUCGCUUUAUAAAAGUGAAAUUUCAAGAUCUGCUCUAAGUCAUAAAUGUGAAAGACAUUACAUCCUUCUGUGGUCAAGCUCUGCUUAGAUUCUCGCUCUAUCAAAAGUUCUUUCUUUUCCUUCCAUAUACGCUUAUACUGUGGACAAGUGUGUAUGAGUGUGUGUCUUUCAAUGAGAUAAACACUUGAGCUGCAGAUUCAGCGCAGAAAGGAAAUCUAUAAUGUUUAAUACCAAGGUCAGAGUCAUUGUUUCUCCCUCUCUGCCUGCUCGCUCCAGCACAAUACGACUACUUUCUCCUCCUCGGUGAAGAAAAGUUUCCAAUCAAACACUGCAGCUGGAGGUGAAGAGUCAGUCCCUCCAUCUGCAGCUCAAAUCAGCGGCUAAUAACUCAACGUCCUUUCACUGAGAGAUUCUUUAGUGGUGGUUGGAUGUGGGAGAAAUUUCUGCACGUUUUGUUUGACUGAAAGCUAAAACUUCUUCUAUAGUGAGUUUGAACUUUGGAAACACAGACACAGAAAACUAUGCCUUGAAGGACGGGGUCGGUGAUAUUUGUAUUUUUGUUUCAAAAAUUCCAAUUAAAGAACCAAAACUAACAAUAAAUUUAGCUGACAUGUUGCUCAGUGCCACAGACCUCAGGUUUUAUUCAAAACAGUUUAUUCUCAGUUUUCUAAGGCCCCAACGACACGAAUGUGGAUAUAUUUCAAACCGCACAUAUUUAUGUCGGAUUAGGCCUCCCUACCACACCAAAACGGGAGUUUGGAACACUCAAACCGGAUAAAUCUGAAUCUGAAAAAACAGGUGGAGAAAUUUUUUUUAAGUGGCACUAGAUAGGAUUGAGUUUGAAGCCUACGUGUGGACGCAGAUAUUUUUGAGAACUAACACGUGUGGACAGAUACAUUUAUUUAGACGGGAGUACAAAAAUAAGUUUGCCUUCUCCAGCUGCCUAAUAUGGUAAAAGCUAGAUUUCACUACGGAGCUAGAUUGCCUGUCGAAUUUAAAAUCACUGUCCAUCUUAAAACCCAAAUUUGAGACGGUUGGCUUUAAAUAGUCUGCUAAAAUACCCCAGUCUACAAUCAGCUGAUUGGCCAUGUUGGAUAUACCGGUGAAUCUGACGUCGCAACAACACGAAAUCUGAUCGGUCAGAAGUGGGAACAUAGUACACAAAUUCGGCCGUGAUACGAAAAAAAUAAAUGCCGCAAUAUCGCAGGACAGGAGAACAUCGCUGAUGUGAACGCUUGUAUUAACAGGAUACGGGUUCGAAAAAAUAUAUUGACGUCCGAAAUAAUCACAAUAAAAAAACGUUCCUGGUGUGAAAGGACUUUUAGACUCACCUGGAUCAAACGGACAUAAGUUACACGACGAUCUUUUUUUUUUUUUUGAGGGUUCAUCUCACUGAAGUACGCCAGAGUGCAGCUUUCUGAUAACUGUUUACAGAGAAACUGAGACUCAGAUGAACAGGCGCCCCUUUUUGGGAUGUUAUGUACAGAAUCAGAAAUGAUUCUGAUUCUCUUCUGACCCCCUAAUACAAUACUCCUUGCUGUACUUUGUUGUAGUACUCAUCAGCUGGAGUUACUCCACCUCUACUGCUGUAUUUUUUCCCAUUUCAUGAAUCAGUCAUGUUUGAUUUCAACACCUUGUAUUAGGAGUUGCCCAUUUGUCUUCCACAAGGCCCAGUAUCUUUCAUUUGUCUCUUUUGUGUUCCAUUUUCCACCUGAUAGAGUCAGAGAGAGCUGAGUUUAGUCCCCUCGGCCCCCCUCCUCACCCCUUCCUCCCCCUGUUGUCCUCCUGUCAUGCUCCUGAUCCCUCCAUCGCUGUCAUGUCACAGCUUUUAUCCCGUCACCCUGAGAGCGCGCGCCUCCUUAUUGUCCUGCUGCUCUCUGCUCUGAUUAGGGUCAGGGGGUCAACCGGGGACUCAUCAUUAGCUGAGAGCGUGCACGUGCAUACAUGUGCAGGUGAACAUGUGUGCACGACAUAAUAAGGUGCUUCAGUGAUCGAGAAAGAGGGGAAAUUUGCAGAGAGGGAACAAAGACUUUGAAGAACAAAUGAAGAAAGUGUGUGAGGAAUUCAGUUUUGUACAUUUAUCAGAUUAUUCGAGGUUUUUUUGCUUAAAUACAGAAAAAAAACGAGUCAUUUCAGCUUGAAAUCUUUGACGUGUGCCUGAGAUAUGAGCGACAAAAUCAAAAGAAAUAAAGAAAUUCCUUCUUCUAAGUUUGCAAAUGAAUGUUAAGCAGAAAAAAAAUGUUAAUAAAUAAAAAUCCUGGUGAGAUUGUAAAUCAGUGAUGCCAAGUCAUGUAGGACUUUAUAUACAGUCAAUGGUGGGUCCUUCUUUUUACAGAUUUUUAACCUGAAUUUAAAAAGUUUCUGUCACUUGGUGAGGGGUGUCUCGUCCUGGUUUUUCUGUCUUGUCAUUUUCAUGUUUUAUUUUGAAAAAUAACUCUCCUCUCGUUUCAGGUCACUUGCCCUUCCUCUCGUGUCUCCGGUCUGACGUCUCCCCUGAUUCCUGGUUGUUUCCACCUGUUCCCCAUUAACCCCAUGUGUCUUAUAGUCGGCGUCUCCCUUUGUCCUGUACCAGUGUCUCGUUUAUUCGUGUUCCUCCAGCCUUCAUGUCCACCGCCGUGCCCGAUAACCAUGUUUGUAUUUUGGAUAAUCCUUGAUUCCUCUUUAGAAGAGUGAUUUUCUGUUGUAGUUUUUCCUCUUUAGUUUCUAGUCUUGGUUUGUUUUGUUUCUGUGUUUUGUCUGUUUGCCAUCAGUAGAGAUAUAGAAGGUUUUCAUAGCAAAAUAAAGCGUUUGUUGAUCUUUGAACCUCUGCGUCUGAGUCCUCCCUUAAGCCCAGGCCUGACAGUUUCUAACUUUGUGUCAGGUUUAUUUGAAUAUGUUGCUGUAUGUGAUCAUUUCAGAUGCUCGGGCUGCUGUAAAACUCAAAUGCUGCAGACAGAGGGUCUUUUCACCAAAAAUAUAAAACACUGAGAAACAACAACACAUUUUGCGGUGGCUGCAUGUGUCUGCAUAUGGCAGCCGCGGUGGCAAAUGUGGAGUUUCUUCCCUUGCUCCUGGAUGAGCCGUCUUCACUGUUGAUGGUCAAUGAUGAGGUGACUUUUUUUCAUUUUAAUAAACCACAACAUGAUUAGAAUAACUUUAAACCCAUGCUCUAUAAGGUGUGCUACUGUGUGUUUCAGACAUUCAGUGGAAACACAGCCCUGCACAUCAUCAGCUCUUUGAGGAGCCUCGACACAAAAAGGAGCUGACCCCGGGACAAGGGAGUGUCCUGCCGUCCCAAAUAAUAAUGCAUCAGAUUUCAUAUAGCGCUUUAUCACAGACCCUCAAAGCGCUUUACAUUGGAUACAUCAUUCAUUCGCUCACACAGUCACACUUUGGUGGUGGUAAGCUACCUUAAUAGUCACAGCUGCCCUUGGGGGGCGGAAACGUGGCUGCCAUUUUGUGCCUACGGCCUCUCCGACCACCACCACACAACACUCACAAUCAUACACCAGUGGAGGACACACACUGGGAGCAAGGUGGGUUAAGUGUCUUGACCAAGGACACAAUGGGAUAGGGAUAGGGGGGAAUCGAACCGCCAACCUUCCAGUUAUUGAACGACCGCUCUACCGCCUGAGCUACUGCCGCCCAGAUGGACCUGUAGGUGAAAUCGUAUGGUGUGUAUAUAUGUCAAUAAUACUGCAGUCAACUCCUUUUUCCCCCUGGGAUAUUUGUUCACAGUGAUAGUCUGGAUUGACUCUUUUUUUCAGGUGCAGAGGAUCCUUAAAGGGAAGUACUGCCGAGCUUAAAUCAAGUUCAGAAACGCUGUCAGUCAGACAUUCAUACUAUAAUUCUGUUUCCUCAGUCAGUUUUCUUAUCCUCUGAGUAAAGGGAAAAUGUCUAGAAUGUCCAGUGUCUAGAAUGGAGAGUGAAAGAGGAAACAAACACAGUACUCCUGUGUCUCCACAUAGCUCAGUGGGUAAGGAGACUGACUAGGACUCCCAAGGUCGUGGGUUCAAGCCAAGUCCAGGUCCAGGUGAAAUUUUAAAGUCUUGUGUGUAAAAAGAAGAGGGAAAUAGGAAACAAACAGUGUUCUCUCAUGUGUCCACAUAGCUCAGAGGAUAAGAAGACAGGCUGGCACUCCUAAGGUUGGGGCUUCAAGCCUUAUCAGGGGCAAAGUGAAUUUUAAAGUCUUGUGUCUAAAAAGUAGAGUGAAAGAGGAAAAAAAUGCUAAACUGCUCACUGUCCACAUGGCUCAGAGGGUAAGAAGACAGACUAGGGCUCCUGAGGUUGCCGGUUCAAGCCCUUAUCAGGGCUGAGGUGAAUUUUAAAGUCUAGUGUCUACAGAGGAUACUCAAAUAGGAAAAAAACGCAAAGCACCUGUAUGUCUGUGUGGCGCAGAGGAUAAGGAUGCUGGCCUUGCACUCAGAAAGUCGUGGGUUCAAACCUUAUCCCUGACAAGUUUAAAAGUCCAGGAGCCAAAGUACCAGGAUAAAAGGGCGCGACGUUCUACUCAAUUGGUAUCCCGUGGCACAGGGGGUAUGCAACUGACACCCAAAUACCAAAUGCUGGUCAGGCGGGCAGCCCUAGUUCAAUACCCACGCGGCACGCAGGAGAUCCUGAAGCAAAUCCUGGGGAACCAGGCCCUGGGGGGCGGUGUUUCCUGAGAGCUAAAACAGGGGGGUUAUGAAGCAUGUGAACUUUUGAAGAAACCACGUCAUAAUAUUUUAGCGGGAAAAUGAAAAAUUCAUAUUUUGGUCCAAAAAAAAACGACAUAGUAUAUGUCGAAAAUUUCAGAUUUUAGAGUGAAAAUAAAAUUCUGUUUUUGGGAUGAAAAAACAUGCCAUAGUAUUGUCUGAUCAAAUUGCCAUUGAAUAGGAUGUUAAAAAUGUAAUAUUUUAGCGGGAAAAUGAAAAAUUCAUAUUUUGGUCCGAAAUAAAAAACGACAUAGUAUACUAUGUCAAAAAUUUCAGAUUUUAGAGUGAAAAUAAAAUUGUGUUUUUGGGAUGAAAAAACAUGCCAUAGUAUUGUCUGAUCAAAUUGCCAUAGAAUAGGAUGUUAAAAAUGUAAUAUUUUAGCGGGAAAAUGAAAAAUUCAUAUUUUGGUCCGAAAUAAAAAACGACAUAGUAUACUAUGUCAAAAAUUUCAGAUUUUAGAGUGAAAAUAAAAUUCAGAUUUUAGGAUGACAAAACAUGCCAUAGUAUUGUCUGAUAAAAUUGCCAUAGAAUAGGAUGUUAAAAAUGUAAUAUUUUAGCGGGAAAAUAAAAAAUUCAUAUUUUGGUCGGAAAAAAAACGACAAGGUAUACUAUGUCGAAAAUUUCGGAUUUUAGAGUGAAAAAAAAAUUCAGAUUUUAGGAUGACAAAACAUGCCAUAGUAUUGUCUGAUCAAAUUGCCAUAGAAUAGGAUGUUAAAAAUGUAAUAUUUUAGCGGGAAAAUGAAAGAUUCAUAUUUUGGUCCGAAAAAAAAACGACAUAGUAUACUAUGUCGAAAAUUUUAGAUUUUAGGCUGAAAAAAAAAAAUUCAGAUUUUAGGCUGAAAAAAAAAUUCAGAUUUUAGGAUGAAAAAACAUGCCAUAGUAUUGUCUGAUCAAAUUGCCAUGGAAUAGGAUGUUAAAAAUGUAAUUUUUCAGUGGGAAAAUGAAAAAUUCAUAUUUUGGUCCGAAAAAAAACAACAUAGUAUACUAUGUCGAAAAUUUCAGAUUUUAGAGUGAAAAUAAAAUUCAGAUUUUAGGAUGAAAAAAAAUGCCAUAGUAUUGUCUGAUCAAAUUGCCAUAGAAUAGGAUGUUAAACAUGUAAUAUUUUAGCGGGAAAAUAAAAAAUUCAUAUUUUGGUCCGAAAAAAAAACGACAUAGUACACUAUGUCGAAAAUUUCAGAUUUUAGAGUGAAAAUAAAAUUCAGUUUUUGGGAUGAAAAAACAUGCCAUAGUAUUGUCUGAUCAAAUUGCUAUAGAAUAGGAUGUAAAAAAAGCUAUAUUUUAGAGAGAAAAUGAAAGAAUCAUAUUUUGGUGCAAUAAAAAAAAAAAAAGACAUAGUAUACUAUGACCAAGAUUUCAGAUAUUUAGGCUGAAAAAAAAAUUCAGAUUUUAGGAUGGAAAAACAUGUCAGAGUUUUGUCUGAUCAAAUUGCCAUAGAAUAGGAUGUUAAAAAUGUAAUAUUUUAGCGGGAAAAUGAAAAAUUCAUAUUUUGGUCCCAAAUAAAAAACGACAUAGUAUACUAUGUCGAAAAUUUCCGAUUUUAGGCAGAAAAAAAAUUCAGAUUUUAGGAUGAAAAAACAUGCCAUAGUAUUGUCUGAUCAAAUUGCCAUAGAAUAGGAUGUUAAAAAUGUAAUAUUUCAGCGGGAAAAUGAAAAAUUCAUAUUUUGGUCCGAAAUAAAAAACGACAUAGUAUACUAUGUCGAAAAUUUCAGAUUUUAGAGUGAAAAUAAAAUUCUGUUUUUGGGAUGAAAAAACAUGCCAUAGUAUUGUCUGAUCAAAUUGCUAUAUAAUAGGAUGCUAAAAAUGUAAUAUUUUAGCGUCAAAAUGAAAAAUUCAUAUUUUGGUACAAAAAAAACAACAUAGUGUACUAUGUCGAAAAUUUCAGAUUUUAGAGUGAAAAUAAAAUUCAGAUUUUAGGAUGAAAAAACAUGCCAUAGUGUUGUCUGAUCAAAUUGCCAUAGAAUAGGAUGUUAAAAAUGUAAUAUUAUAGCGGGAAAAUGAAAAAUUCAUAUUUUGGUCCGAAAAAAAAACGACAUAGUAUACUAUGUCGAAAAUUUCAGAUUUUAGAGUGAAAAUAAAAUUCUGAUUUUGGGAUGAAAAAACAUGUCAGAAUUUUGUCUGAUCAAAUUGCCAUAGAAUAGGAUGUUAAAAAUGUAAUAUUUUAGCGGGAAAAUGAAAAAUUCAUAUUUUGGUCCGAAAAAAAAACGACAUAGUAUACUAUGUCGAAAAUUUCAAAUUUUAGAAUGAAAAUAAAAUUCUGUUUUUGGGAUGAAAAAACAUGCCAUAGUAUUGUCUGAUCAAAUUGCCAUAUAAUAGGAUGCUAUAAAUGUAAUAUUCUAGCGGGAAAAUGAAAAAUUCAUAUUUUGGUACGAAAAAAAACAACAUAGUGUACUAUGUCGAAAAUUUCAGAUUUUAGAGUGAAAAUAAAAUUCAGAUUUUAGGAUGACAAAACAUGCCAUAGUAUUGUCUGAUCAAAUUGCCAUAAAAUAGGAUGUUAAAAAUGUAAUAUUUUAGCGGGAAAAUGAAAGAUUCAUAUUUUGGUCCGAAAAAAAACGACAUAGUAUACUUUGUCGAAAAUUUUAGAUUUUAGGCUGAAAAAAAAAAAUUCAGAUUUUAGGCUGAAAAAAUAAUUCAGAUUUUAGGAUGAAAAAACAUGCCAUAGUAUUGUCUGAUCAAAUUGCCAUAGAAUAGGAUGUUAAAAAUGUUAUAUUUUAGCGGGAAAAUGAAAAAUUCAUAUUUUGGUCCGAAAAAUAAACGACAUAGUAUACUAUGUCGAAAAUUUCGGAUUUUAGAGUGAAAAUAAAAUUCAGAUUUAAGGAUGACAAAACAUGUCAUAGUAUUGUCUGAUCAAAUUGCCAUAGAAUAGGAUGUUAAAAAUGUAAUAUUUUAGCGGGAAAAUGAAAAAUUCAUAUUUUGGUCCGAAAAAAAACGACAUAGUAUACUAUGUCGAAAAUUUCGGAUUUUAGAGUGAAAAUAAAAUUCAGAUUUUAGGAUGAAAAAACAUGCCAUAGUAUUGUCUGAUCAAAUUGCCAUAGAAUAGGAUGUUAAAAAUGUAAUAUUUUAGCGGGAAAGAUGAAAAAUUCAUAUUUUGGUCCGAAAAAAAAACGACAUAGUAUACUAUGUCGAAAAUUUCAGAUUUUAGGCUGAAAAAAGAAUUCAGAUUUUAGGAUGAAAAAACAUGCCAUAGUAUUGUCUGAUCAAAUUGCCAUAGAAUAGGAUGUUAAAAAUGUAAUAUUUUAGCGGGAAAAUGAAAAAUUCAUAUUUUGGUCCGAAAAAAAAAAAUAGUAUACUAUGUCGAAAAUUUCAGAUUUUAGAGUGAAAAUAAAAUUCAGAUUUUAGGAUGAAAAAACAUGCCAUAGUAUUGUCUGAUCAAAUUGCCAUAGAAUAGGAUGUUAAAAAUGUAAUAUUUUAGCGGGAAAAUGAAAAAUUCAUAUUUUGGUCCGAAAAAAAACGACAUAGUAUACUAUGUCGAAAAUUUCAGAUUUUAGAGUGAAAAUAAAAUUCAGAUUUUAGGAUGAAAAAACAUGUCAUAGUAUUGUCUGAUCAAAUUGCCAUAGAAUAGGAUGUUAAAAAUGUAAUAUUUUAGCGGGAAAAUGAAAAAUUCAUAUUUUGGUCCGAAAUAAAAAACGACAUAGUAUACUAUGUCGAAAAUUUCAGAUUUUAGGCUGAAAAAAGAAUUCAGAUUUUAGGAUGAAAAAACAUGCCAUAGUAUUGUCUGAUCAAAUUGCCAUAGAAUAGGAUGUUAAAAAUGUAAUAUUUUAGCAGGAAAAUGAAAAAUUCAUAUUUUGGUUCGAAAAAAAAAAACGACAUAGUAUACUAUGUCGAAAAUUUCAGAUUUUAGGCUGAAAAAAAAAUUCAGAUUUUAGGAUGAAAAAACAUGCCAUAGUACUGUCUGAUCAAAUUGCCAUAGAAUAGGAUGUUGAAAAUGUAAUAUUUUAGCGGGAAAAUAAAAAAUUCAUAUUUUGGUCGGAAAAAAAACGACAUAGUAUACUAUGUCGAAAAUUUCAGAUUUUAGGCUGAAAAUAAAAUUCAGAUUUUAGGAUGAAAAAACAUGCCAUAGUAUUGUCUGAUCAAAUUGCCAUAGAAUAGGAUGUUAAAAAUGUAAUAUUUUAGCGGGAAAAAUGAAAAAUUCAUAUUUUGGUCCGAAAUAAAAAACGACAUAGUAUACUAUGUCGAAAAUUUCAGAUUUUAGGCUGAAAAAAUAAUUCAGAUUUUAGGAUGAAAAAACAUGCCAUAGUAUUGUCUGAUCAAAUUGCCAUAGAAUAGGAUGUUAAAAAUGUAAUAUUUUAGCGGGAAAAUGAAAAAUUCAUAUUUUGUUCCGAAAUAAAAAACGACAUAGUAUACUAUAUCGAAAAUUUCAGAUUUUAGGCUGAAAAAAGAAUUCAGAUUUUAGGAUGAAAAAACAUGCCAUAGUAUUGUCUGAUCAAAUUGCCAUAGAAUAGGAUGCUAAAAAUGUAAUAUUUUAGUGGGAAAAUGAAAAAUUCAUAUUUUGGUACGAAAAAAAACAUCAUAGUAUACUAUGUCGAAAAUUUCAGAUUUUAGGCUGAAAAAAUAAUUCAGAUUUUAGGAUGAAAAAACAUGCCAUAGUAUUGUCUGAUCAAAUUGCCAUAGAAUAGGAUGCUAAAAAUGUAAUAUUUUAGUGGGAAAAUGAAAAAUUCAUAUUUUGGUACGAAAAAAAACAUCAUAGUAUACUAUGUCGAAAAUUUCAGAUUUUAGGCUGAAAAAAAAAUUCAGAUUUUAGGAUGAAAAAACAUGCCAUAGUAUUGUCUGAUCAAAUUGCCAUAGAAUAGGAUGUUAAAAAUGUAAUAUUUUAGCGGGAAAAUGAAAAAUUCAUAUUUUGGUCCAAAAAAAACGACAUGGUAUACUAUGUCGAAAAUUUCAGAUUUUAGGCUGAAAAAAAAAUUCAGAUUUUAGGAUGAAAAAACAUGCCAUAGUAUUGUCUGAUCAAAUUGCUAUAGAAUAGGAUGUUAAAAAUGUAAUAUUUUACCGGGAAAAUAAAAAAUUCAUAUUUUGAUCGGAAAAAAAACGACAUAGUAUACUAUGUGGAAAAUUUCAGAUUUUAGGCUGAAAAAAGAAGUCAGAUUUUAGGAUGAAAAAACAUGCCAUAGUAUUGUCUGAUCAAAUUGCCAUAGAAUCGGAUUUUAAAAAUGUAAUAUUUUAGCGGGAAAAUAAAAAAUUCAUAUUUUGGUCCGAAAAAAAAACCCCACAUGGUAUACUAUGUCGAAAAUUUCGGAUUUUAGAGUGAAAAUAAAAUUCAGAUUUUAGGAUGAAAAAACAUGUCAUAGUAUUGUCUGAUCAAAUUGCCAUAGAAUAGGAUGUUAAAAAUGUAAUAUUUUAGCGGGAAAAUGAAAAAUUCAUAUUUUGGUCCGAAAAAAAACGACAUAGUAUACUAUGUCGAAAAUUUCAGAUUUUAUAGUGAAAAUAAAAUUCAGAUUUUAGGAUGAAAAAACAUGCCAUAGUAUUGUCUGAUCAAAUUGCCAUAGAAUAGGAUGUUAAAAAUGUAAUAUUUUAGCGGGAAAAAUGAAAAAUUCAUAUUUUGGUCCGAAAAAAAAACCCCACAUGGUAUACUAUGUCGAAAAUUUCGGAUUUUAGAGUGAAAAUAAAAUUCAGAUUUUAGGAUGAAAAAACAUGUCAUAGUAUUGUCUGAUCAAAUUGCCAUAGAAUAGGAUGUUAAAAAUGUAAUAUUUUAGCGGGAAAAUGAAAAAUUCAUAUUUUGGUCCGAAAAAAAACGACAUAGUAUACUAUGUCGAAAAUUUCAGAUUUUAGGCUGAAAAAAUAAUUCAGAUUUUAGGAUGAAAAAACAUGCCAUAGUAUUGUCUGAUCAAAUUGCCAUAGAAUAGGAUGUUAAAAAUGUAAUAUUUUAGCGGGAAAAUGAAAAAUUCAUAUUUUGGUCCGAAAAAAAAACGACAUAGUAUACUAUGUCGAAAAUUCAGAUCUAAGGCUGAAAAAAUAAUUCAGAUUUUAGGAUGAAAAAACAUGCCAUAGUAUUGUCUGAUCAAAUUGCCAUAGAAUAGGAUGUUAAAAAUGUAAUAUUUUAGCGGGAAAAUGAAAAAUUCAUAUUUUGGUACGAAAAAAACGACAUAGUAUACUAUGUCGAAAAUUUCGUAUUUUAGAGUGAAAAUAAAAUUCAGAUUUUAGGAUGACAAAACAUGUCAUAGUAUUGUCUGAUCAAAUUGCCAUAGAAUAGGAUGUUAAAAAUGUAAUAUUUUAGCGGGAAAAUGAAAAAUUCAUAUUUUGGUCCGAAAAAAAAACGACAUAGUAUACUAGGUCGAAAAUUUCAGAUUUUAGGCUGAAAAAAGAAUUCAGAUUUUAGGAUGAAAAAACAUGCCAUAGUAUUGUCUGAUCAAAUUGCCAUAGAAUCGGAUUUUAAAAAUGUAAUAUUUUAGCGGGAAAAUAAAAAAUUCAUAUUUUGGUCCGAAAAAAAAACCCACAUAGUAUACUAUGUCGAAAAUUUCGGAUUUUAGAGUGAAAAUAAAAUUCAGAUUUUAGGAUGAAAAAACAUGUCAUAGUAUUGUCUGAUCAAAUUGCCAUAGAUUAGGAUGUUAAAAAUGUAAUAUUUUAGCGGGAAAAAUGAAAAAUUCAUAUUUUGGUCCGAAAUAAAAAACGACAUAGUAUACUAUGUCGAAAAUUUCAGAUUUUAGGCUGAAAAAAAAAUUCAGAUUUUAGGAUGAAAAAACAUGCCAUAGUAUUGUCUGAUCAAAUUGCCAUAGAAUAGGAUGUUAAAAAUGUAAUAUUUUAGCGGGAAAAUGAAAAAUUCAUAUUUUGGUACGAAAAAAAAAACGACAUAGUAUACUAUGUCGAAAAGUUCAGAUUUUAGGCUGAAAAAAAAAUUCAGAUUUUAGGAUGAAAAAACAUGCCAUAGUAUUGUCUGAUCAAAUUGCCAUAGAAUAGGAUGUUAAAAAUGUAAUAUUUUAGCGGGAAAAUGAAAAAUUCAUAUUUUGGUCCGAAAAAAAAAAACGACAUAGUAUACUAUGUCGAAAAUUUCAGAUUUUAGAGUGAAAAUAAAAUUCAGAUUUUAGGAUGAAAAAACGUGCCAUAGUAUUGUCUGAUCAAAUUGCCAUAGAAUAGGAUGUUAAAAAUGUAAUAUUUUAGCGGCAAAAUAAAAAAUUCAUAUUUUGGUCGGAAAAAAAACGACAUGGUAUACUAUGUCGAAAAUUUCGGAUUUUAGAGUGAAAAUAAAAUUCAGAUUUUAGGAAGACAAAACAUGCCAUAGUAUUGUCUGAUCAAAUUGUCAUAGAAUAGGAUGUUAAAAAUGUAAUAUUUUAGCGGGAAAAUGAAAAAUUCAUAUUUUGGUCCGAAAUAAAAAACGACAUAGUAUACUAUGUCCAAAAUUUCAGAUUUUAGGCUGAAAAAAGAAUUCAGAUUUUAGGAUGAAAAAACAUGCCAUAGUAUUGUCUGAUCAAAUUGCCAUAGAAUAGGAUGCUAAAAAUGUAAUAUUUUAGUGGGAAAAUGAAAAAUUCAUAUUUUGGUCCGAAAAAAAAAAACGACAUGGUAUACUAUGUCGAAAAUUUCAGAUUUUAGAGUGAAAAUAAAAUUCAGAUUUUAGGAUGAAAAAACGUGCCAUAGUAUUGUCUGAUCAAAUUGCCAUAGAAUAGGAUGUUAAAAAUGUAAUAUUUUAGCGGCAAAAUAAAAAAUUCAUAUUUUGGUCGGAAAAAAAACGACAUGGUAUACUAUGUCGAAAAUUUCGGAUUUUAGAGUGAAAAUAAAAUUCAGAUUUUAGGAAGACAAAACAUGCCAUAGUAUUGUCUGAUCAAAUUGCCAUAGAACAGGAUGUUAAAAAUGUAAUAUUUUAGCGGGAAAAUGAAAAAUUCAUAUUUUGGUCCGAAAAAAAACGACAUAGUAUACUAUGUCGAAAAUUUCAGAUUUUAGAGUGAAAAUAAAAUUCAGAUUUUAGGAUGACAAAACAUGUCAUAGUAUUGUCUGAUCAAAUUGCCAUAGAAUAGGAUGUUAAAAAUGUAAUAUUUUAGCGGGAAAAUGAAAAAUUCAUAUUUUGGUCCGAAAUAAAAAACGACAUAGUAUACUAUGUCGAAAAUUUCUGAUUUUAGGCUGAAAAUAAAAUUCAGAUUUUAGGAUGAAAAAACAUGCCAUAGUAUUGUCUGAUCAAAUUGCCAUAGAAUAGGAUGUUAAAAAUGUAAUAUUUUAGCGGGAAAAUGAAAAAUUCAUAUUUUGGUUCGAAAAAAAAAAACGACAUAGUAUACUAUGUCGAAAAUUUCAGAUUUUAGAGUGAAAAUAAAAUUCAGAUUUUAGGAUGAAAAAACAUGCCAUAGUAUUGUCUGAUCAAAUUGCCAUAGAAUAGGAUGCUAAAAAUGUAAUAUUUUAGCGGGAAAAUGAAAAAUUCAUAUUUUGGUCCGAAAAAAAACGACAUAGUAUACUAUGUUGAAAAUUUCAGAUUUUAGGCUGAAAAAAUAAUUCAGAUUUUAGGAUGAAAAAACAUGCCAUAGUAUUGUCUGAUCAAAUUGCCAUAGAAUAGGAUGUUAAAAAUGUAAUAUUUUAGCGGGAAAAUGAAAAAUUCAUAUUUUGGUCCGAAAAAAAAACGACAUAGUAUACUAUGUCGAAAAUUUCAGAUUUUAGGCUGAAAAAAGAAUUCAGAUCUUAGGAUGAAAAAACAUGCCAUAGUAUUGUCUGAUCAAAUUGCCAUAGAAUAGGAUGUUAAAAAUGUAAUAUUUUAGCGGGAAAAUGAAAAAUUCAUAUUUCCGUCCGGAAAAAAAAAAACAAAAUAGUAUACUAUGUCGAAAAUUUCAGAUUUUAGAGUGAAAAUAAAAUUCUGAUUUUAGGAUGAAAAAACAUGCCAUAGUAUUGUCUGAUCAAAUUGCCAUAGAAUAGGAUGUUAAAAAUGUAAUAUUUUAGCGGGAAAAUGAAAAAUUCAUAUAACCCCCCUGUUUUACCUCUCAGGAAACACCUGUGUCAAUAUCACUGUCGGCCCAUUCAUCUCCUGCGUGCUUUGUGGGUAUUGAACUAGGGCUGCACGCCUGACCAGCAUUUGGUAUUUGGGUGUCAGUUGCAUACCCCCUGUGCCACGGGAUACCUUCUGCACUUUGGGACGAACGUCGCGCCCUUUUAUCCUGGUACUUUGGCUCCUGGACUUUAAAAACUUGUCAGGGAUAAGGUUUGAACCCAUGACUUUCUGAGUGCAAGGCCAGCGUCCUUAUCCUCUGCGCCACACAAACAUACAGGUGCUUUGUGUUUUUUUCCUAUUUGAGUAUCCUCUGUAGACACUAGACUUUAAAAUUCACCUCAGCCCUGAUAAGGGCUUGAACCGGCAACCUCAGGAGCCCUAGUCUGUCUUCUUACCCUCUGAGCCAUGUGGACAGUGAGCAGUUUAGCAUUUUUUUCCUCUUUCACUCUACUUUUUAGACACAAGACUUUAAAAUUCACUUUGCCCCUGAUAAGGCUUGAACCCCCAACCUUAGGAGUGCCAGCCUGUCUUCUUUUCCUCUGAGCUAUGUGGACACAUUAGAGAACACUGUUUGUUUCCUAUUUAUAUCUUCUUUUUACACACAAGACUUGGGACCUGGACCUGGCCCUGGCUUGAACCCACGACCUUAGGAGUGCCAGUCAGUCUCCUUACCCACUGAGCUAUGUGGAGACACAGGAGUAUUUUGUUUGUUUCCUCUUUCACGCUCCAUUCUAGACACUCGACUUAAAAUUUUCCCUGUACUCAGAGGAUAAGAAAACUGACUGAGGAAUAAAGAACAAAGAAUGUGAUUUCUGAGCAUCGACCGCAUGUACACAAAGUAAAUAAUCAAUUGUAAAAUAUUUGCACCACUACAAUAACAAAAGCAAUGAAUGUAUUAAGUCAUGUAAAUAAAACUCUUUCUCUCUUGUUUAUGCACUUCUCAAACUUGUUAAUAUUUUCCGACAAAACAGGCCAGGUGUCAUGACUUUAAAAAAAAAUGUAGGAUCCAACAAGAGACACUUAGUUAAGUCCAUUUAAAACAUGGUUUUUAUUAGAGAUGUCAAAAAGUGAAAGUAAACCCACAUAAUCAUUAGUACUUUUAAAAUCGAACCCCUGAUAUCAUGCUUCGAGUCACCUUAAUCUGCUCUCAGAAACAUAAUCCAGAUUAAAAUAACUUUCAAACACUUUCAAGAAAGAGAGAAAGUUUAAUUCGGUUCAAACUUUACUCCUGUCUCACCAGAUUUCCACCUCAUGACCUUAGAUCUCCAUCUUUACAGAAACAUGUAGCUGUUGUUCUGAAUCUAAAUCAGUUUUCUAGAGGUCUUAUUUUCCUGAUGAGCAGCAGAAUCAACGGCAGAAGUCUGACAGAUGCAGAUUUGAGAUUUGUUUGGGAUUUUCCUGAGCCGAGUUGCUCUACCAGGCCUUUCUCUUUGUGCCGCUCUCUCUGCUGACCCGUCGCUCUCCGUCUCUCUCGUGGUUUAUCUGCGUCCGCCGGACAAAAGGCCGCCACAGGAAACUGCUGAUGCUGUUCUGGUCGAUGCAAACAAACAGCGUCCAGAUCCGUCCACCGGCUGAGUGCUCAGUCCUCUCGUCUCUGCUCCAAUUUGACUCUUUUCUGUCUGAAAUAUUCAAAAUAAAACACUCAGGAGUGUGUGGAGGCUCCUGCAGUGUGCACUUUUGUGUGUGUUUGGUUGUAACAAGAGCUGCUUGGUGUGUGCUGCCACUGUCACUACGCCUGUUUGUUUAGGUGUGUGCGUGUUUGCAUACAUGUGUACAGCGUGUGUGUUUGGAUGCUGCUAUUUGUUCAGCUUGGCCUCUUUUCUCAAGGCUGCCUCAUCGCUGCCAGGAGAGGAGGAUAAUAGAGCUCAGUGUGUGUGUGUGUGUGUGUAUGUGUGUGUGUGUGUCUCAGGGAAUAGAAUCCAGAGUAAACACACAUGUCCGUCUCUCCCCCAGGUGGAGUUCGUUGAAUGAAUGGGCCGACAGUGAUAUUGACAAGCUAACCACAGCUCAUGAGAAUGUCUGUGCAUGUGUGAGUGUGUGCAUGUGUGAGUGUGAGUGUGAGUGUAUGUUUUGCUCUAUAACAAUGACAGAAGUAGGAGAGGUUUGAGCUAAGUGACCUUUUUUUUAAUCAGAUGAGAGGAAACUAGGGACUCACAUUAGAGUUAUUAAAGCAAAUCCUGAUUUAAACGUCGGUAAAUUUUAGAUUGAGCUGCUGAGUUUAACCGUAAGUGAUCUGGAUAACCUCUGAGUUCUCUACUGAAUAGUUACCUCUGCCAAGGAGGUUAUGUUUUCAGUAGCGUUGGUUUGUUUGUUUGUCUGUUAGCAACUUUACGGAGAAAGUUACAGACGGAUUGACCUGAAAUUUUCACCAUCAUUUAUCAUUGUGAGAUAGGGCAAAUUUUUGAGUUUUUGCAUUUAACUCUAUAAAAAUGUCCAGAGUCUUUAGUAAAAAAUGACACAAAAGGAUCUCAAUGAGUUUUAUGAGGUCAAAGGUUGAUCCUGAUCCAGACAAAAUUCUGGAUACUGUGAUCCAGAACACACAAAAAUAAGGGUGUCGUUGGAAUUUUCAAUGCUGAAAGAUAACCAAUAGGCGGCACAGUGGUGUAGAUGGGCGGUACAGUGGUGUAGUAGUUAGCACUGUCGCCUCACAGCAAGAGGGUCCUGGGUUUGAAUCAGGGUCAGGGCAUUUCUUGUUUUAGGAACAUUAUGAACAGUGAACAUACCAGUUUAAACACAAAUAAACGUUAAUAAAAGACACUUAACAGUAAAAGUUUUGCUGUGAAUCACAAUAGGGCUCCGUCCUUCCCUCUCCCCCAACACCGCCUCCAUCCUCGUCCACAGUCUCGUCACCUCCCGUCUGGACUACUGCAACUCCCUCCUCUUCGGUCUCCCUCACACGUCUCUCUAUAAACUUCAACUGGUCCACAACUCUGCUGCCCGGAUCAUCACCAAAACCCCUUUGCCCCACCACAUCUCCCCCAUCCUGCAGCAGCUCCACUGGCUCCCGGUCCCACUAAGAAUCCAGUUCAAAAUCCUCCUGUAUACCUUUAAAGCCAUCCGCAGCCUCGCCCCUCCUUACCUGUCUGACCUCCUCCACAUCGCCACUCCAUCACGCCGCCUCCGAUCCUCUUCCUCUCUCCACCUCACUGUGCCCCCUGUUCACCUCAGUCCAAACUCAAGACACACCUGUUUAAACUGGCCUAUCCAUCCCACCACCCCUAACUCACUCUUUUUAUUUAUUUUAAUUGGUAUUAUUUAUUUCUUCAUUUAUUCCUUUGCUGUUGUUUAUGUUGCUUUGUUGAUUUUAACUGUUUUGAUGAUUGAUGACUUUAAUUGUUAGUAGUGUUUUAUUAUUGUUUUAUAUGUUCUGUAAAGUGUCCUUGAGUGACGUGAAAGGCGCUUCAAAUAAAAUGUAUGAUUAUUAUUAUUAUAAUUAUUAGUAUUAUUAUUAUCAUCAUCAUGAUUAUAAUAAUUAUUAUUAUUAUUAUUAUUAUCAUGAUUAUUAUUAUUAUUAUUAUUAUUAUUAUUAUUAUCAUCAUUAUCAUUAUUAUUAUCACGAUUAUUACUAUUAUUAUUAUCAUUAUUAUCAUUAUUAUCAUUAUUAUUAUUAUUAUUAAUUAUUAUUAUUAUCAUUAUCAUGAUUAUUAUUAUUAUUAUUAUUAUUAUUAUUAUUAUUAUCAUUAUUAUCAUGAUUAUUAUUAUUAUUAUCAUCAUCAUGAUUAUUAUUAUUAUUAUUAUCAUUAUUAUCAUGAUUAUUAUUAUUAUUAUCAUCAUCAUGAUUAUUAUUAUUAUUAUUAUCAUCAUGAUAAUUAUUAUUAUUAUCAUGAUUAUUAUUAUUAUCAUUAUCAUUAUCAUUAUCAUUAUCAUAACCAGUGAUCACUGGUGGUGGAUUUCCCUCUGUGGAUGUCCCAUCAUCAACAUUGAACAGCGUGAACAGGGACAGGACUGUCCCGUCACGUGACGCGUCGAGCUGCUGUGAUAACGUCUCUGUAAAAAGACAGAGAUAAAGAGCCUUUUCUCUGCUCCACAUGCCAGCCAGCUCCCAGCGGCCUCUUUGUUGACACAGUCGCCACAAUGGGAGCUAAAGGCCUCCCAUUAUGAGGCUAACCCCAGGCCCGGCCGCUGUGCUGCAGGGUUAUCCAGUACAGGCCGGCCAGCAUUGGCCAAAGCCCCCUUGAAUAUUAGGCUGGAUAUAUAAGACUGCCCCCCUGCCCCCUGCUGCAUUGUUCAGCCUUAUUCUGCUCCCACAAUGGGACAUCACAGUUUGGAAGUAAUUUUCAAAAAGGGGAAGCCAAUCAAAAAUAAUGGCACUUAUUGUUUCUCUUUUGACACACAUUGCUGAGCGGCCUGCCCCUCCCUCUGCCGCAGCUUUCUCUGCCUGUGUCGCCCUAAACCCCGGGGUGCAUUCAUGUCCAUUAUACGGACAAAUUAAAUAAAACCCCGAAUGGGUCGGAGGGGAGCAGAGAGCCACACUGGCCGUCGUCUGCAGCGGUGUUAGGGUUAGGAGAGUUGGAGUCCGGGGAAAGGCUGGGGAGGGAAGAGGAAAGAGUGAAUUUAAGGGUAAAACUACAGAAAAGGAUUCAAAGAGAGUCAGGAGGGAAACAACUCUGAUGGAGGGGGUUGUGCAAGCAGUCUUGUUGCAGGAGGUCUUCUCUAAUUGGAUUCUUGGAGUACUGAAAAAUGUAGACCUGAUGUCGCAGCUCAUUAGCGGCAUUUAGCUUCUUGAUGGGAUAAAACAUACAUCUUGGGGAUCAUAACUGCAGAAGCAACAGAUCCUCUUUCAUCCUGGACUGUCUCAUAAACGUGCGGAUGUAUACUCUGUCACCUUGUUUGUUGGCUGUUCCUCUCCUUGGAUUGCUUGAGGCCUGCUCAAAGAGAGAAAGGUAUGUUACCGUUUACCAAAGAGGGAGGGUCUUCUCCUGGCAGGUGGUUGAGGCUCAUUGGCUCGCAGGAAUCAGCCAGAAUGUUUCACAUUUAACCGUAAAACUGGCCUCUUCUGAGUGUAGAAAAAUCAAAUUUACUUUUGCAUGGAGAAAUAAAAAAAAAAACGCUCACCAAGUCAUUCAAGAGUCGGUUAAAAACGAGAGAAGUGCAUCCAGGUCCAACCAAAGACAUGUCUGUGUAAUGGAGCUCUGUGGAUGAAGAAGUCAGGAGUGGAACAGGAAAAAAAAGAAAAAACAUCUUCAGUUUGAUAUUUUUUUAAAGGCAGGAGCUCCUGAGUACGACUGGUCUCACUGUUGGUCGUCUUAGUCUGAUAGAGUGGGGAUUCAUGCAUUGAUGUACGAUAAAAUAAACACGGCUGCAGAGAGAAUAAGUUUGCUGAUUAUACGGUUAAUAUCAUGAUUUUGAUGGUGAAACCAGACGUGUUUCAUUCAGAGCUGACUCAGUUAUUAUGAAAGUUAUCAAUCUCUAAAAGGUCAAAUUAACUGUGACGAAGAAACACAGUCUGGUGUUGCAGAAAUAAUGAGCAGGAGUGAUCUGAAACAGUUCGAGGAGACCUGCUCAUCAAUGAAAUGUUCACUUUCAUGUGAAAAUAGUAAAUAAGCAGGCUUCAAAUGUUCACGUCUUGUCCUGGUGUUUCCUGUGGUGUCCACUCCAUCAGGCUUCACCGUGGAUUCAGUGGAUUUUAGUCACUAAUUUUGAGCCCUGGGCCUGUUGCUGUAUUGUUUAUUUUUGUUUUUGGCCAAAGGAUAAUUCAGGAUUAUUAAGGUAAAAAAAUAAAUAAAACUUGCAUGCUUGAUAAGAUUUGGUGGGAUGGGUCUGAUUUGAGAGCUCUCAUGUGGAAGGGAGGGGUGGAGGCUGAGAGAGCAGCAGCAAAGUGUCGGCAGGCCAAAGCAGACAUUUGCCAAUUGGAUUUAGACCAACAAUCACUUAAUUCUUAGGCCCGGACUACACGUAUAUAGAUAUUUAUUUAUCCGGAUAUUUUUGUACUCCCGUCUAAAUAAAUGUAUCUGUCCACACGUGUUAGUUCUCAAAAAUAUCUGCGUCCACAAGUAGCCUUCAAACUCAAUCCUAUCUGGUGCCGCUUAAAAAAAAAUCAGGAACAAAGCUAACUGAUUGGCCGAUGAAUCGUAACAGCGUGAUGCGUCAUGCAUUGUUUGUGGAAGCUACGCUAGUGCGUCGGGUCCAUGUGACGGUGUGGCGGCUUUGACCCAAAACUUAGGCUUCUGGCGAACUUUAAAACGCCUAACGUUAACGUUACGAUUGAUCUCCAAUAAAAGUAUUGGGCGCAGCAGACGCCUCUGUGAGCUGGCUGACUGGUGGAUGUAAUUGUAUAAACCAAGGUUCACUUGAGAGGCUGAAAUUAGCCCCAAAAGGGCAAAACAAACGUAAAGAAUACCCUGUGUGUCCGCCAUCGUUGUUGUUGUUUUUCUUUUUAAUUCACAAGCUGCGGUUUGACGUCAUCGAUCCCUAAAAGUUCAACCACAUGAAUCCACUUAUACGGAUAUUUUUUUAUUUCUCCACUUGUUUUUCCGGAUUCAGAUUUAUCCGGUUUGAGUGUUCCAAACUCCCGUUUUGGUGUGGUAGGGAGGCCUAAUCGGACAUAAAUAUGUGCGGUUUGAAACAUAUCCACAUUCGUCUUGUUAACAGGAUUAGCUCGUCUUCCGCUGUCUAAAUCAUGAUGUUUAUUUAUGUGUCGUCGUUUGAUUUUGUAUUUCAGUGUUACAGACAUAUUUUAGUAGCCCUCUGGCUCACCAGAGUCCACACUAAAAAAAUUUGCAGAGGGGCGGAGCGAACCUUCCAGACAUUAAGCGAGAUAGAGUUUAAGAGGAACUCGAGGUUGAAGAAGAAAAGGUUGCUGAAGGAGGGAGAAAGGGCAGGUGGAGGAGGGUUCGCUCUUUGGGCUCUUUGAAAGCAGCAGAUCCUGACCGAGAGCUCGACCCCAUUUAGGAAGAGCGAGAGACAUGGAGCAGAAUGGGGAGAGAGAGAGAGAGAGAGAGAGACUCUUCACUUAAAGGUCCUCCACAGGACGUCCUCAUUCUUCCCAGAGCGCCACCUCCCCACAAACCCCCCAACUCUGGCCCAGGGGAUGAGGAAAAGCAGGGAAAAGGCCUCAUUUAGGACGAGUGGGGAGAGAGGGAGAGGGAGGACCCCCAUCAUCCUCUGAGGGGGGUCCUGAUAUCAAAACUUCCUCUCAGCAGGACGCAGAGAAAUGUCAGCAGAAGGAGAGCUUCGGUGUCUUUUAUGGUUGGAUUUGGGUAUCGAUUUAUGCUAGUAGAGGUUAUAAUCAAAACAUGUAACCUUUUCUGGAUUUUAAGAGCUGAAUUUAAAAGUGAGGGACCUCGUUUAACGGGAAGAAGAGAAGGAAGUGGAUUUUUCUUGAUCUUCAAAAUAUUCUCUAGCUAAUCUGAGUCACUUGAGUCGCGGCAGAAUUAAGCCCAUUUUUGAUUUGUAGUGUUUUUCACCAGCUUCUGUAUAAAGUCAGAUGUCAGACUGAUGAUCGAAUCACUAUCAUGAAACAAAGAGAAACUCUCUGGUUGUUGUUUUCUGGUUCGUGCUCCACAGACUUAUUUCUGAGGCGACAGCUGAAUCAGGACGCUGCUGGUCAGGCUGCGGCAGCGUCGGCUGUUUUGCACACACAGGUGUCAGCUCAGUGUGUUUAACCUCUCUAGUUGACAGUCAGCUGUUUUCUCUGCUGUUGUGCAAAAUCGGCAGAGUUGUGUGUUUGAGUGCGAGCAACACGAACUACAAGCCUGGAAAAUGACACAAAAAUAGAUGUGAACUAAAACAGAAUUAAAUAAAAUGUGAGUGUAUGUGAUGUUGAUUCUUCUUCUUCACCUUAUUGCCAUGGCUGCUUUUAUUUUAGUUAUUUCAUUUAUCAAAGUGACGAUCAUGACAGAACAUGACCGGCUUUUGAGUGAUUGUUUAAUGUGCUUAUCUGGUACUGGCCCUGGUUGUUGGUUUAUUUUCAGUUGUGUUUUGGAGUUGGUUUGUCUUUAUUUUUGCCUGUGAGGUGAUCUGAAGGGUCUUUUAUUCCUUAUUUGUAUAAUUUUCAGCAGAUAUUUUGAAACUGGACCUUUAUUCAGGUAAAGCUGUUGAGCUGUUACUGUGUGUAAAACUAAAGUCUGCAGCUCCAGAUGACUUUUACUUCAUUUAAACGCUCUUCUUAUUUGCAGAUAUCAUGUCUGAGAGGUUUAGUGUGAUACUGGGGUAUGUGUGUGUGUGCCUGUGUGCAUGUUUGUGUGUGUGUGUGUGUUUGAUCUGGCUGGGGCUGACUCUGUUCCCUCAGAGGGACUAUCAUUGCUGGUAAUCCUCUUCAUGGUCCACUAAUCUGUUUUUCCUGGGGUCACUCCAUCCCACUUCCCCCUCCCUCCUUUCCUUUCCUUUCCUUCUCUUCCUACCUCACCUCAGUUUCUUGUUCCCCUCCCUUUGCUCUGCAGUCACUCCUUUAUUGUUUCCUCCUGUCUUCGUCCGUCCCUCCCCUCAGUCUUCAGCUGUUUUAUCCCUCUUUAUCAGAACCCUUUGCUGUUUAUUAGACUAAGAAUCAAAGGUGUCAAAGGUUGAUCCUGAUCCAGACAAAAUUCCGGAUACUGUGAUCCAGAACACACAAAAUUAAGGGUGUUGUUGGAAUUUUCAAUGCUGAAAGAUAACCAAUGGGCGGCACAGUGGUGUAGAUGGGCAGCACAGUGGUGUAGUGGUUAGCACUGUCGCCUUACAGCAAGAAGGUCUUGGGUUCGAAUCCUGGUCAGGGCAUUUCUUGUUUUAGGAACAUUAUGAACAGUGAACAUACCAGUUUAAACACAAAUAAAAGUUAGUAAAAGACACGUAACAGUAAAAGUUUUGCUGUGAAUCACAAUAUAAGGGGGGACAUGAGCUGCUUGGCGGAGGUCUGCGCUCUCCGAGUGCUUUUCUAGUCGUCACUGAAGUUCUGAUAGAUGGUAUAACUGUUUUUGCAAAAACGCACGCUGUGGUCAGAGCUGACUGUAAGCAAGCAAACACAGCUGUUAAGAGUUCAGUGCGAUAAAUAAUGUCUCUGCAAGUGUUUGAAAAAAGCAGGCAGAGCAUCCAUCCAUUAGGACCUUAGGAUGUCUCUGCUCUGUUUUGAAGACAUAAAGCCUGUCUGUCUCGCACUAAUUUCAGAGCCGAACUGCCGGCUUCUUUCAGUGAUGAGAAAAUUGGUCUGUAAUUGUGAAAGUGCUCUGAGAGAGAUGCCGUUGAAAAUGACUGGCAGCCUUGUUUACAUUAUGCGCUGGAUGCUGGAUUGUCUUUUUCAUGAACUUGGAACAGAUCUGAAUGUGUAAGUGCCGUCCAGCUCAGAGAGAGUGUCUCGAGGUCGGUUCAGUCAGUGAGGGGCGCUGUCAGGACGCCGUAGCUGUGUUCGAAAUGAUGGAAUAAAUGCUCUUAAGGCUCCGGUGUGAGUGCAGGCUCGUCUGCCUGCAGCCCGGUCUGUCUAACAGACAGGAGAAACCCAUUAGCAGGGCUGUGUUAGCGAUCGUCUUGUAAACCGAGGCCCCGGGCAUUCAUUAGGCAUCAAUCAAAGGACGAGGUGUGAUGAUUAAAUGAUGAGUGCGAAUGCUUCACAGUGUUCGCUACACCAGGCCACUUUACUCUGACACUUGAAAAUGGAUGAGAGAAAGAUGUUGUUGGCCGUGUGUGCGGCUGCAGCUGGUUAAUUUAUUCAUGCAGUUAUUAAAGAAAGUGAAUCGUGGAACCUUGAAGUCAAAGCUCCAGGAUACCUUCAGCGCCGGUGCAGCAGCAGGAAUGCAGAGAGCUCACGUUGGCUUUCAGUGCUUAUUGUUUAACUGCUCUCCAUUUAGGAAUUUGCAGAUUCAAGGCUCAGAAAGGAUCAGUCGGUACGUUGCAGGUUGUGUCUUUUAGAAAAAUGUGACACCAGAAGUGAGUUUUAGAUUUGUACUGUUCGAGAAAUGUUAACAAUCCUGGAGGAAUCCACCUGUGAGAAAGUGGUUCACCGGGUUCAGGGUCAGAGGAAUGAAGAGGGAACUUUACAUGCUUUAAGUUUGAACAGCAACACUCGCACUCAGAGCCUGCAGCAGUCAAACCGGAACAUUAGCUCAAAAUCUUUAAAAGGACAGUAUCAGCCUGGUUUUUCACUAACGUUAGACCUUAUUUUACUCCUUCUGUCUUCAUCACACACAGUGGUCUAAACUAUCAGGCAGCCACAGGUGGAGAGAGGAGAGCUGGGAGGACACAGGUGUGAGUAUUAAUGUGUGUCUGUGUCUGUGUGCUCCUGCAGACAGCCUGAAGUAGGAACUCAGGGAGCUGCAGUUUCCAGCACUCCCACAUCAGCUUCAUUUCUCAAGUCUGGAGGCUGCUGGAGAUCUCUGGGAGAUAUAUGAAGAGGCGAGGGUCUCCUGUUUAAAAGAGUUUGGCUCUGUGGAAGGUCAGCACUCUUUGUUGGCUCUUUUGAGAUGUCUGUGUUUGAUGAGGCUGUCCUCCGAUCAUGACGCUCAUCCCUGAUCUUUGACUCCCAUCUUCUCUUUUUGGGUCCAGUCUUUUAAUCAUUUCGAUAGAAUCAGUGGAUGUCUGGGGGGGGCUUUUCUUUUCUACUGACACCUUUCAGAAAAUGUUAACCUGCACCGAGGACUGAUGACUGAGGGUACUUAGAUUAUUACUUAUGUUGUUGCUCUACAAACAGACAUGAAAUCCUUCUAUUUAAGGUCACCAGAUUACAAAGACAAAACCGUGUUUUAUGGCUGGGCGAUAAAACGAUAAAAUUAAUUCCACUCAGUAUCAAUAUAAAACCUGGUCAAUAUGCUUUCCAAUAGGUGGCAUUCUGACAUGUUUUGGUAGACUGUAUGAAUAGCCAAUGAAAAGGGGAGUCGCUCCAGGUCUCCGCCAGACCUCCGCCAAGCAGCUCAUGUCCCCCCUUAUAUUGUGAUUCACAGCAAAACUUUUACUGUUACGUGUCUUUUAUUAACUUUUAUUUGUGUUUAAACUGGUAUGUUCACUGUUCAUAAUGUUCCUAAAACAAGAAAUACCCUGACCAAGAUUCGAACCCAGGACCUUUUUGCUGUGAGGCGACAGUGCUAACCACUACACCACUGUGCCGCCUAUCUACACCACUGUGCCGCCCAUUGGUUAUUUUUCAACAUUGAAAAUUCCAACAACACCCUUAUUUUUGUGUGUUCUGGAUCCCAGUAUCCAGAAUUUUGUCUGGAUGUAAACAGCGAGCGCUACUGCCCCCAGCACAUCCUGUAGUGCACUGCAGUUAUAGAUGAGCAUGAGGCGCCAGCAUGUGAUUUUCAACAACAAUAACACGAUGCGUCGACGCUUGAGUUUUCUUGUCGAUGAAUUUUUCGUGUCGACGUGAUCGAUUACAUCGACUAAUUGUUGCAGCCCUACUUUGAGGUCUGUUUUCUCAGAUGUAAAGCGCAUUAUAAAUAAAAUGUGUUAUCAUUAUUAUUGUUAUUAUUAGUGUGUGAAAGGGUUGUUGGAGUGCGGUAUUAUGGUGCUUUAACCUUUAAAUAUUUACACUGAACAGUUACACACUGAGGCUCAUAAACAAUGUAAAUAGUGUUGAUUACUGUUUCAUUAUCAGCCAUGUGAAACUGCAGUCGUAUGUACUUGUUUUCUGAGCCCUCAGUGUGACACAUGUCAUAGCAUGCUGUUGUAUGUAUGUACUGUAUGAGCGCAUGUGUGUGUUGGAGCUCUGUGAGCGAGCCUGAACUCCAGUGGAGCUGACAGCUUGCUGUGACAGACAGCCUUAAACAAACCCGCUGUGUUGGCCGCUGCACAGGAGAAAUGCCUUUGAUUCUAUUAGGCCUCAGUGUGUGUGUGUGUGUGUGAGUGUGUGUGAGUGUACGAAUGUGUAAGUUGGCUUUGAAACCUCAGGACUAAUAACCCGGGGUGCUUUAAUCUGUUUCGUUAAUUUUUAAAAGAUUUAGGUUUGCUUUUAAAAUCAAUUAGAAGUCAUGAUUUAAUGCAUAAAAAUGUAUUUGGGGUCAAAUGUAAGUUUGACAAAGAGCGACUCGGUCCGUGAUGCAACAUCGACUUCCAAAAUGUACGUCAAAACUAAAGAACCAGGGAUCGUUAAGGUAAACCAAAUGGAUGCUAUGAAAAUGAAGUUUACAUUUGUGGCUAGAGAAGUUAUCAAAACUAAGCUAAAGCCAUGAUCUUAAAAUAUAGAAACUUCCAACGAAAAAUCGAGGGGGUGUCUUCCAUGUUUUUUGCUAAUGCUGGGAGAAACGCGGCAGUCACGUGAGCUAAAGUCCUCCCACAGAAAAGACUGGGCAGUCCCCAUGUUACAAUCUCAAGGCUGUUUUUGUAAAAUGUAGGUAUCACAUGUUUUGGGGUAAAACUGCGCUGGAAAGUGCACCAAUGAUUGACUGGUAGGUGACCAUGUUCUCUAACAACGCCAUUGUUUUGCUUAAUUUCUAACAGGUGCUGCUCUGCUGAAGAAACUUUGGGGACACAACCGAAAGAAGACAUUUCUUCUACGAAAGACACUCAAAACAUGCAGACAUGCAAAAUCUGCACGGCUGGUCUCUUUUCAGGCACAGGAUGUUUUGCAAAAACCACCACAUUAUAAACUAGAAAAGCACUCGGAGAGCGCAGACCUCCGCCAAGCAGCUCAUGUCCCACCUUAUAUUGUGAUUCACACCAAAACUUUUACUGUUACGUGUCUUUUAUGAACUUUUAUUUGUGUUUAAACUGGUAUGUUCACUGUUCAUAAAACAAGAAAUACCUUGACCAGGAUUCGAACCCAGGACCUUCUUGCUCUUCCACAGUGAUAAUCACUACACCACUGUACUGCCUAUCUACACCACUGUGCCGCCCAUUGGUUAUAUUUCAGCAUUGAAAAUUCCAACGACACCCUUAUUUUUGUGUGGAUCUCCAUGAUCCCAAUCAGCUGUACUACGAAGCCGGUUAUCAACUCGAUAACUGAAUCCAGGUGUGGCCACUUCAGAUCUGUGCCCGCACAUGUAAAAGAGGCGGGGUAAGCGGCACUGGACCAUUUUCCACAAUGGACAAAACGGCGAGAGCAUCGUAUUUCACAGCUGAGGAACAGGAUAUUAUCCUGCAUAAAUACGAGGAUCCAUGAUACAAUCACAGCGAGGCCGCCAGAGGGACUGCUGGCAAAAAAUCGCAGAUUGUGUCAAAGGUUAAGUCACUAUGAUGAAGAUAUGAAUGUGUCAUCACGAUGGCACGGAUAGAUGUCGCUACAUUUGUGCAUUCAGUAAUUUAUGGUCCCCAAAUGUGUUGUCAUUCACUGUUUGAUCACCAUCAUCAUCAUCGACCUCAUGAUUUCAGAUACAGAACGUCAUCUGGUAAAUCAAAUGGAUUUGAGCGAUCACGAAAAUAACAAUCCGAGCACCGACGUCCACAGGAUCCGGCCAAAGUGGGCAGGCCAUUUUCCAAGAGAACCGAUUGGUCAGUGGGCGGUCUUUAAUACCCGCUGAGCUCUUAUCCUCAAACAUAACCUGCUCCGGAGCAGGUUUGGCGUUCCGCGUAAGUUACCGGGGCAACGGACCCGGAUAAAAAGAGAUCCACCUUCAUAGUACGGAAAAUCCAGAAGUCAUCCAGAAGUUAUCUCGCUAAGACCAAAUCCAGGACAGGACAGUGGGCCUCGAGGACUGGACUUGAGAACCACGGCUUUAGACAGUGACGAAAUCCCUGUAUCGCCAUCAAAUCAAGAGAUGGGAAUAUUAUGUACCAACGCAGUGAUUUGCUCUUCAGUCCUCCUGAUCACUCCAGUCAACUUCUGGAGCUAAAACUGAUCCUGUUUCUAUUCACACCAACUGCAGAGAAAGAGGCGAGAGUGUCACAGUCUGAGCUAAAACAGAAUCUACAAGCCACUCAACCGCACAGCAUCCACCUGGUACACAGCAGCGAGAGGAAAAUCCAGUCCCUGCCAGCGUGCCAGGACAGUUUUCAACUCUCUGAGAGGGAAACACCUGACAGCUGCCACUCUGGGAGAAAAAUCCCAGAGGGCUGAAAAGAUCCUCCACAUGACGGGAAGCCAGCCGAGCGGGAGCAGAGCGGAAUACCAAACGACCAAAAAGCAUCUGGGGAAGGAGUAUGUGUCUGUUUUAGUGACUUCAACUCAUGGUCUAAAGGUCUUUGACCAUCACCUGAUCAUGUGACCAGAAGAAGAAGGGAUCACUGCUCAAACUCAGAAAAUCAAAUCAUCACAUCAGACAUCUUAAGCCUUUUUAGGUGACAGAGACCAAAUUUCUAAAGGUUUUUAUGCAACUCAUGCUCUUAUAUGAUAGUUGAAUAUUUUUACUUUUAAAGCUAAAUGAGGGAUUUCAGUUUUAUUAAAGCUCUAAACGAGAUAAAGAUUGGGUUCACUGUAACGAGUAUUUAUCAUCUUUAAAGCAUUAGAUCAUAAUGAAUUAACAUUAGAGUCAAUUUAAGUUUUGUUUUUGGUUUCCUAAUUAAAAUGUAGUUUCUGUUUUAUAGAAAUAAGGACAUGUAUUAUUAUUGUUGUUUUAAUUUGGCUGUUAUUCAUGUAUAAUAUAUCUUACACAAUUGUGAUAAGUUAAUACUGAGCUUAAACCAUUUAGAUUUACUGAACAAAUUAAAAAAGACAGCACACACACCUAAACAAACCAUAACCAAUACUACAGGGUAUAAAUAUAUACAAGUAUGAUUUGUUUGAUCUUAUCACUUAAAUGUUUUGCCAUUUGUACUUGUUCUGAUUUUAUUUCAUGUAUUGUUUAUUGACUUUUUCAAUUGGAUUAGGGCUGUCUGCAUGAACGCAUUAAUUCUGUUGUGAUACAGUCUAUAACAGCAGUUUUAAAUCAUGUGCCGUGUUUGCUCCCUCACAAAUGUAGCUUUAUCUAACAGAUAUCCUCAGGUUAGCCUGUGCUGACCUGUCUUAUGACUUAAUGUCACAUGGAACAAACUUUCACACAUGCAGGACCAAACUAGAACUCCUGACAAGUGUAAAUAAUGUCGCAUUAACCAGGAAUUACUGGACAUCAGUGACCGAGGCCCGGACUACACGUAUACAGAUAUUUAUUUAUCAGGAUAUUUUUGUUCUCCCGUCUAAAUAAAUGUAUCUGUCCACACGUGUUAGUUCUCAAAAAUAUCUGCGUCCACACGUAGCCUUCAAACUCAAUCCUAUCUGGUGCCGCUUAAAAAAUUCAGGAACAAAGCUACCUGAUUGGCCGAUGAAUCGUAACAGCAUGAUGCGUCAUGCAUUGGUUGCGAAAGCUACGCUAGUGCGUCGGGUCCAUGUGACGGUGUGGCGGCUAUAACGAAGCAGAUGCCUCUGUGAGCUGGCUGACUGGUGGAUGUAAGUGCAUAAAACAAGGUUCCCUUGAGAGGCUGAAAUUAGCCCCAAAAGGGCAAAACAAACGUAAAGAAUACCCUGUAUGUCCGCCAUCGUCGUUGUUGUUUCUUAUAUAUUUUUUUAUUUCUCCACUUGUUUUUCCGGAUUCAGAUUUAUCCGGUUUGAGUGUUCCAAACUUCCGUUUUGGUGAGGUAGGGAGGCCUAAUCGGACAUAAAUAUGUGCGGUUUGAAAUAUACCCGCAUUCGUGUAGUUGGGGCCUGAUUGGUCAUUUUCCUGUUCCUGAAUGUUUCUCAGUGUGUAACAAUCAUGAAAACAUUUGAUCCCUCUUAAGUUAAAUAUGUUUUAUGUUCAAUAAUAAGAUUAUUUCUGUUUGUUUUCUCUUAAAGCUCCUGUGAUUCACUUUCAGUCCAUGUUAAUUUUACAGACACUUCUUGCUUAUGUGCUGAUUUUGGACAGUCAAAUGUGUCAUUUAAUGUAAAUUCUUUGUGUGGAUAUUGUAAAAUAAGGCCUCUUUGUUCAGCUUCCUGGUUGACACCUACCCCCCCUUAGUACCCAUUUCAGAUACAAUAACGUACAUCAUAAAAAUGGUCAAUCUUGUAACAAAUAGUUUUAUUUGCUUUUGGAUAUAAUAAAGAUUGAUUUAUAUGAAUUUUAGCCUUUUUCAUUAAUGUCAAAAAACUUCCCACAGGAGCUUUAACUGGUUAUCCAGCGUAGUUUUCAAUGUUUAACAGCAUUAUCCUGUGAAAAUAAUAUAAUAAAGCAGCAUUUUUUUUUUGACAAAAUACAUAUUUUGAG
rnacentral:lncRNA from 1 species